UUUUUUUUUUUUUUUUUGGCAGGUAAGGAGAACCAAAUUAUUUAUGGGCUGUUUUUCCCAUUAUGUGUAUGAGCCCAAUGGACUAGAAUGUUCAGCAAGAAGUCCAGCCCUAAUUAGAGUGGGAUCAUCCCAACCUAGAGUUGUCAAACGGAUCGGACCGGCCCAGUACAGUACGAGCACGGCCUACUUAAGUAAGGCCGGCUUGACAAGGUCCGUAUUUUUUAGCCGUACCGGGAUAAGAUAAUUAGGCCCAAUGGGCCGAGCCGGCCCAUUUAUUAAAUUAUAUUUGUAAUACAUAAUAUUAUUAUAUUUAUAUCUUAAAAUUCAAGUAUAUUUAUUUUCUCUAAUAAUAUGUAUUAAAUUUUAUGUUUUCUUUAUAUAUAAAAUAUUAAAAUUUAUGUUUUCUUUAUAUAUAAAAUAAUAAUUUUAUUUUUUAAGUUUUAAUUUUUAAAAUCUAAACAAUAAUGUAGUCAUUUUCCAUUUAAAUGUACUUUUUUUUUCCAGUAAAUAUCAUGAGGUGUCUCCACAUCCGAAUGGUGGGAUUAAUCCCCUCUCGGGGUUAGGCUUGCCCCUAACCGCAAAGUGCUUCCAACGGGUUUCGAACCCCUGCCAUUAAGCCAUCAUGUAACUCGCCAGCUGGAGGUGGCAGUUUGCCAACUGCACCACACCUUGUAGUUUAUUUAAAUAUACUUUAAAUAAAGUUAUUGCCUACUUUUUUCAACAAAUAAUAAAUCUUGUUAGUAUAUACAUAAUUAUUAACAAUAUUUAAAUGAAGUUGUAAAAAAAAUUACAAAAAAAUAAAAUGCAAUACAUAAGUUAAAUUUGACAUAGGCCCAUCUUGGCCUGUUUAGUGGCCCACACGAGCACAAUCUGAGUCUAUAUGAGCUUGGCCCGUGAACUUGGAGCGAGAUUGAUGAUUUUCAUAAAUAAACGGACCCGACACAGCUUAUUUUAUUAAAUGAACUGACUCUAAAUGAGCCGAGCCAGCCCAACACGGCAUGUUUGACACCUGCCCACCUGUGAAUUGAGAACUUAUACUUCAUGAUCCAUCUAGAAAUUAAAAUACUUUUUUUUUUUUUCCAUGGGUGGUUUUGAAUAGAUUGAAUGAUAACAUGGAAGCUGGCGAAUGGGCAAAUAUAUACAAGUCCUAUUUAAGGAUUCAAAACGACAUUGGAGGAAAUUAGGUGAGCCCUCAGUGAUGUUUGUUUUGAGGCUGACCUAACACUCUUAACAGCUUUGAAAAAUAUUCCUUCACGUCAAGUCUUUGAUUGAGAAGCUAAAUUGAUCUCUACCUAUUUUCAAGAAAAAACACCUAUUUGCUUACCAUCAUUUUUCACCAUCAAUUGCAAAUUUCUUCAUCAUCCUCUCCCAUUACGAUCUUUUUACUUAAAGAUUACACCUCAGCUAUAGGCUACAUUUGUCCCCAUUAAAAAAUGAUUGUAAUUUUUAAAGGAAAAAAAAAAACAUGUGUUUACGUAUCACUACCUUUAUCGAAAAUCAACACCAUUUGUUGAUUAACUAAAUCCAAGUUGAAUGUUGUAGGCUAAUAGUAAUCAUGUUUAUUUCGUUUACAGCAUUAAAAUAAAGAAAAUCAAAAUAAUCAAAAGUUGCUUUCCACAUAAGUAAAUUACCCAUACAUGAAAGAAAAAGAAACAAAUGAUGAGAAGGAAAUAUUGUUAUUUUAAUGGUGACAUGCCCAAAACACCCAAUUUAAAAUCAUUCUACGUAAUAUGAACAACAUGGUAAUCAUUUAUAAUUAGUUGAAAAUAACUAGUGUGAUGGGACAAGUGAAUAUUGGACACGAGGAAUUCAUCAUCUUCAUGCUUAGGUCUUACUCGAAAAAAGUAAAAAAAUAAAAGAUAGCAAAUCACUAAUGCUGAAAAAGAAUGCAAUGUGUCUAAGAAUGUUUGUAAAAGUUAUACAAAUCUAAUGCUUAAAUUUCAAUCAAAAUGAAUAAAUUAGACAAUUAGUAUGUGUUGGAGUAAAUUACCACGAGACUUAAAUCUCACGCCAAAAACAAAAAACAAAAAAUUAACAAUAAUCAUGCAUACUUCCAGCAUGUGCACGUGUCAACAUCUUGUGUCGUUUGCGUUUUACAAGCCGAUACGAAAAGAUGAAAGAACGAUGGGCCUACGUAUGCAUGUGUAUCAAAACAAAUUGAUGGCCCAUGGCGUGGAAGUAAAGAGCCGGUGAGGUCGACCCACGUGGCACAAUUUGCAACUUCACGCUGACGACUGCCGGCUGCCCUAUCAACAAACUUAACCGCCCCAACCCACCACGUCAAAGCCCACGUUGAUGUUCCACGUCAACGUAAGAUUAAGUGGAAUGACGAAAGUAGCCAUGUCCGAACACGAAUAUUUGACUUUUACCCUGAAAUAAACGGAGAUGGCUGGUGUGAAUAGUCGAACUGUUGUAGCAUGGGUUUUGAACGUUGACUUGACUGAACCGACGAUUUCGAGCCAAACUCCAAGGGGACCAAACUUUUUAGUAAAACUGUGGAAUAAAUAUAUUUAAAUAAUUGUUUUAAAAAAAACAGGGGCAAUUUAGAGUAAUUUGACAAUCUAAGGACCAGUCAAAUAAUAGAAUCUUUGGCCCUAAGAAAAAAAAAAAAGAUGGUUUGGUAUUCAUUUGGUAAACCUCUUGGCAUGGCAACAGAGAAUUUAUAAUACAAAAUUUUGACAUCAAGAUAUCCAUUCAAAUUUGAUGUUCACACGCGAAACCUUUCAAAUCAAUUUUAAAAGGAAAUUCUGUGAUACGCGAAACCUAAGUCGUCAUUGAUUGGUAGAUCAUAAGUGGAUAUGCCUUCCCAUUUGGAGAUCCAUCUAAUUUUGUAAAUACUAAUUGUCCCGUCAAUUUAUGAGGAUUUAAUACCAAGAUUAGAAAAUAAUUGAAAUUAAGAUUAGAUUCAAGAUAAAUAUCUAGAGAGAAGAGAGGGAAAUCAUCUAGAAGGAAGUUCAUAAUGUAGUUGUGAAUAUCCAUUUUGUGACCGUCCGAUCAAUCUAGCGCAGGGAAGCACACAUGUGAAUGACUUGAGAGUUACAUUUGAUCUUGGACUAGAAGUGGUUGUACAACGUGUGGAUGAUGUGAUGGAAUACAGAGGAUUACAACUUUACGUGUCAACGAGGUCCAAAAGAGUCGACUCAAACUAAUCCGAAGAUUUGAUAUUUUUCCACCAAACUUCUCUUCCUUGCCGUCCCACGUUUCAUACUUGAUCUUCUUCUUAAUCGACCCGACCUUCUGCUCUAUAUAUACCCACAUGCUUCUCAACUGUCCUUUAAGAUUUACAUACAGAUAUUACAUAAACAUAUACUAGCUAGGAAAAAAUAGGAUAAGUAUAGUUGGAAGCAGAGCCUCUGUGAAUCCACAACAAGGAGAUGGAGAACAGGAACAGCAACAACAACAACAGACAGAGGGAAGGCUUUGAGGAAAUGGGUUUUCCUGUUCACAGUCAAGUGAGAAAGAUCAAGCAAGAAUCCGAGAAAAUAAUUGAUUGGCUGCCGGGAAAGCCAGAGAUGAGACCUGUCCUUGGAGAGAUCACCAUGACCAGGCAGAUCUCUCGAUCCCCUUUGGGAAUUUCUUGCUGACCCAUCUCUGUUGGUGACUCUUAGGAGGAGUCCUCGUUUCUUGGAGCUUAGCGAAGAUGGGGGUUUUGGUGGAUGGUCUAUGCAUCUCUCUAGAAUUGAAAAACAGAGGGUUUUGUUCUGUUUUUUUUUUUGUGGCUCUUGCUCCCUUGUUUUCUUUUUUCUUUAUCCAGUACUUUUUGGCCAUGUUCCCCUUGUAAAUAAUACAUAUUUUAGUUUAAUGAUAUGGCAGUCUUGCUCCUUUUUGAAUUUGGCUGUCUGGUCUUGAGGAUCGUAGGUUGCAGAUUUGAUUGUUUUCAUAGAAUAUAAAUCAGUCAAGAUUGAUCAAGUAGGAAGCCCACCAAUCUUGUUGUGUUUCACUUUUUUCUCUUAUUUAGAAAAUAUGUACAUGUUGAGGCAUAUACACUUUAGCAAACAAUACAAAGUUGUUCGCUCUUUGGUGAUCUAAAGAUAUAAUAGAAAUCAUGUGUGCUGUUGGGUUAGUAUCUCAGAAAGUACUGAUCUUUGGACGUUCUUGGUUCUUGUUGUACAUUUUUUUUCUUCUAUGAAGAGGUACGAUUGGUGUUUUCUUUUCAUGAUCAACCAAAAGGUUGGCGCCAUAUCUGUGUUUGGUAGCAAGAAAGUUCAAGUUUGAUUGAGUAUUCUGGAAAGACUAUACUUCGGGCAAUCUUGAUUGUUUGUAUGCGCUAGGUUUUAAAUGAAAGGUCAAAGUUGCUGAUGGGUCUCUCCCAACUAAUAUUAAAAUAUAUACUUUAAAAUGUUAUGUACAAAACAAACCUACACUAAUAUCUUAUGCUGAUCACCAUCAUUGACCUGUUCUUUUUCUAUUUUUGAACACAAAUUACUAGUGAUUCUAUAUUUUAGUUACACCUAACAAUUCAACAAAAUAGCCUGAGGGUGUGGAGAUUUCAUGACACGUUUUUUGUGUAUAUUAGCCCGAGGCGUGGAUGGAUAUUGUUAACAACUUAAAAAGACUGCAAAUUUGCCGCAAACGCAAGCUUUUCCUCAAGAUAUUAUUAAGACAGCAGUUGCAGAUGGUAGGACCGCAUACCAGUCUGUGCAAUCUCAUUGUGUUUAUUAUUAUUUUUGGGAACAAACACAAUUGCUUUUGGCACCAAAUAAAUAAUAUGCAGUGGUAGCAGCGCUGCACACACAUCAAUGCACUUCCUUCCCUUCUCCCCUCCCCAAAAAUGGCUACAAGCCUGCAAAGACUUUCAUAAGCUAAAGUAAAGCUUCCGUGUCCCCUGCAAUUUCGGCUAUUCACGUGUACAAAAUGCCAUCAUCAUCAUCAUCUCUAUCUAUGCAUGUAAUUUUUUGAAAACAACAGUUUUCCAUUUUUGUGUUUGAAAAACAACAAAGUUUGAACUGCAAUUUCAUGAAGAAUAUCAUUUUUGGCUCUUCCAGUCUCUGUAAAUUUAGGUUAAGGGUGACCCUUUUGUAAAUAAAGUUGUCUUUUGUAGUUUUUGUACUAUCACCAGACAUUAUCACCAAUUAUUCUCAAAGAAAAAAACAGUAAAACCAUCACAAAGGGAAGAACAUUGAUCUAAUUCCAAUCACUUUAAUGUCAAAUAUUAUUGUUGUGAUCCAGUAUUGGCACAAUUCAGACAAGCCUUCUCCAAUCACAAGGUUAAACACACAACUUGUGGUUUUGGUUGCAGGUGGAAGAGGAACACAAAAACCAGAUACAAUUUAUUCAUUUCCACUCCCUCACCACCCCGAAAAUGUAAGCCUAUGGUUUCCAGAGAACUGUAGUUUCAGCAAUCAUGGAAGUGACAACAUAAGGAUCCAUGUUAGAAGCAGGCCUCCGAUCCUCGAAAUAGCCUUUCCCAUCUUUCUCCGUGUCCCUCCCAACUCUUAUGGACGCUCCACGGUUUGCCACUCCCUGUCAAGUCUCAGUUCUCAACCCGUUAAGCAAAACAAAUCAAUGCAAAUGCAAACAAGGUGUAUAAUAAGCUCAAGUAUGUUAAUUUACCCAUAUGAACCUCUGGAUGUCUGCUGUUUCAUGUCGCCCAGUGAGACGGCGCUCGUUGCCAUCCCCAUAAGCAGCAAUGUGUUCCUUGUGCCUCAACCCAAGCUUUUCAAUUGCCUUUUUGAUAACUUCAUAUCCUCCAUCGCUUCUCAUGGACUUGGUGCUGAAGCAUCACAUCCCAUCAAAACACUUUCCAAAAUGACGAUGAAUGAAAACAAAAGCAAGCAUAAUAUUUCAAGUGCUACCUGUAGUUUGUGUGAGCACCAGCCCCAUUCCAGUCGCCCUGGUCACACACACAUACCCUCAAACUCAAAUGAAGCUAAAACAAUACAGAUUUUAAGCCAACGAAAUAAUAGAAAAUUUGGAUAUCUCUUCUGACCUCAAUAGGUUUGGGAUCAAAGGAAAGCACCACUCCAGCUAUCUCUGUAAUCCUCUGUAUUGACAGUACAUAAUAACGUAUCACAUAUGAUUUAGCACAUUCAUUGUAGAAUUAUACCAGAGAGGGAAAAAACAGUUCAUUUGGGUAGGUUUAUAAAUUAUAGUACCUCCAAAAUGUAACGAGCAGCCCAUAACUGAUCUCCAGCAGAGAUGCCAACAGUAGGUCCAACUUGGAAUUCCCACUAUAUGCAGUAUAUACAACAGAAGCAAAGCAAUAAGCUAAAUUUAAGAGAAGAUUUUACACAAAAACGAUAUGCAUGUGUAUAUGUAUAUUAACCUGGCCAGGCAUAACUUCACCAUUGAUGCCACUGAUGUCGAUGCCAGCAUAAAGACAUGCUUUGUAGUGAGAAUCUACAACGUCACGCCCAAAGGCCUUAUCAGCUCCAGCCCCACAAUAGUAUGGCCCCUGCUUUUAUUUUAUUUUCACAAAAGAAAACGAAAACAAAAAAACCAGUUACAUCUUCACAUAAACAAGGAGAUUCAUACUUGAUUGUAAAGUAAAUAUUACAAGAUUCAUAUGAUAAUUUGUCACCUGUGGUCCAGGAUAUCCACCGAGAGGCCACCCAAUUGGCCAUUUUACAUCUUUCUGCAACAAAGUAUACUCCUGCUCUAAUCCAAACCUGUAUGUUUUACGUUCAAUUAAACCACUCAAAGAGAGCAAAUAUAGAAAUGAACCAACUGCAAACAGAAUCAAGAUUGAAGAUGGAUGGUAGAACUUAUCACCAGGGUUCUUCAGCUACAACAUCAGGAUGGCUAAAAAUCUUUGCAGCAUUAGCCCUCUUAUUGGUUGGAAUUGGCUCUCCAUUCGGGGUGUAUGUAUCACAUAUGACCUUCAAGUAAUUAAUAAUCAAAAUUCUUUAACUUUAAGAAAUAACUAAAUGCAACUCUACUGCGACACAAUAUUGCUUCCCUUCCUAAAUGGGUCCCUGAAACUUGUUAAUUAUUCAAAGCAGCGGGGACUUACAAGAAUAUUGUUGCCCCUCCUAAAUGGGUCCCUGAAAAUGGCUUGUGGACUAUAUUUAAAGCACCAACGAAAGCAGUUUUCAUUAGUAAGACUUGAAAAACAGAGUGAGGGAGGGAUGAAAACAGAGAAAAACAGAGAAAAACAGGGAGAAACAGAGAAAUAGCAUACUAUAGGAUGACUUCACUGUCUUUCCCAGGAGCUUGGCCAGUGCUAGAACCGUCAUAGUUCCACUUGGGAAGCUUUGAGGGAUCGCUAAGUGGUGCAGGAAGAGUCUGCCUCGUACAAAAUCAAAUUAGUGCAACUUUAACAAAUUAAUACAUAUCAUCUGUUUGUGUGUGUAUCGAUUUAUCAGGAAAUGAAUAAGUAGAGAGAAGUUACCCUGGCUUUGCUUCUGAUGUCUAUACCAGACCCACCGAUCCUGUUUUAUGAUUAUAAAAAGAUUAACCAUACCAAAAUCAGUAUACUCAUUUAAUUAUCACCCCAUUGGAAAAUAUAACCAUACACAUACACAUGACACAAGUAACACAACCAGGAUUGAAAAAAUUGCUAGUUGAGAAAGAAAGACAUGCUAAAACAGAGUUUUUAGUAACUUAUCACCAUAGACAAGAAAAAGAAAAAGAAAUCUAGAAACAGAAAAACAUAGACAAGAAGAGUAGAGAGGGAGAGAAGGAAAAGUGAGAAACAGAGAGAGUGAUUGGAAUAAAAGUAAGCUUAGUGCUAACCAUAUGUACUCUGCAAUAAUCUUUUCAGUGUAAUCGGAGAGGUUGAGGUUGAGAAGAUCAGUGAGGAGCAGAGACAUUUUCACAAACAAAAGCCAAAGGAAAGAAAGAAUGCAAGAUAGGAUGAGGAAGAGAGAGAGUUUGAGAUUUUGGCUUUUGGCUCUUUGCUUUGCUUAGGGGUUGAUAAAAUAUAAUGAUAACGUAUUUUUGUGAAGAAUGUAGCAUAAAUAGGAGUGAGAGAGUCACACUCUUCAGAAAUACGAGUUGAGUUGAGUUGAGUUGAGUUGGGUUGGGUUUGAGUUGUAUUAUUUCAUAGUGCACUCUUGAUGUUGAGAAUUCAUUACUACGUCCGUGACACGGAAAAAAAAUAAGCAACAGCUUAUAUUUAAAUAAUUUUUUUUCUUUAUUUUCCAAGCCUAACAUAUAUGAAAAUCUUUUUACAAAGAUCUUUGUUUUAUUAUACCAAAAUAUCACCACACACAAAAAUUAAAAAAACAAAAACAAAAAAUAGUUUCUUUAGUGUGAAAUAAAUAUCAUAGAUAUCAACCGAAAAAGAAAUUCUAUUUAAAAAUGGAAAAUUAGCAUCACUAAACUAAUAAUUAAUUAUGAACGGCAGGUGCUGAGAGCUGAAUGAAUACUGUUUAUUUACCUGGACACCUAUAAACACAAUGCAUUGCAUGCUAAUGAAAAUUUAGCAGACCCGUUUCGUUUCAUCUAAUAAAUAAAUAAUUAAAUUAUGUCCUAAAUAUUAUUAAUUAAAAAGAAGAAGAAGGAAGAAAUAAUAAAUAUGGAAGUGCAAUUUGCAUCACACCACAUGUCUACUCGAAAUUCUGGAUUUCAGGGUGAGCAAGUAAAGUUUAUCCAAGCUAGGUAAACUAGGUCAUCAUAUUUGAGAUUGAGAUUCAGACACGAGCUAAAGAAAGUUGCAAAUGAAGUUGUUGUUUUCCUUUGUUUUACAUUUACUAGAAGAAACCAAACCAACACCACCCUUCACGGGACGGGUUGCAUUGCAGGCAUCUAUCAGAUAUCUAUCUAUCCUAUUCCUGGAGAAGAGUGAAGGGUAGACAGAAAACUAACUAACUAAUAAGAGUCUAGGCUAAGGCAUCUAUCUACGUUUAAAAGUUCCAAACUGAAACCAAUACAUCAUAAGUUGUUGUGGAAUUUGAUUUGAUGACAUACUUCCCUAAGUCUUUUCCUAAUAAGAGUAGGUUCUCAUCUGUUCUUGCCCAAUUCUCCUAGUGCCGGCGAGGCUACUGCAUUUAUUUAGUGAAAUACACUUUGUCAGUUUGCAAGCCAAUUUGAUUCUUUUCUUUUUAUUCCUUCGUUUGGAUGGAAGGCACUUUGAUUUGAUUCUUUCAAGUCCUACUAGCAAACGGAUCGCAUUUGUUAUUUUCAUGUCAUUCGACUUUUUUACCCUUUAGUUAACGGGUGAAAAAUACCAAACACUAACACGACCUGUUGAAUAACGGGUAUGGAAGUGGCUGGAUAACGGAUAUUCGCAGGUCAUGUAUAAUAUUGCAAGGUCUACUUUCAAAUAAUUGUUCAAGAAAGCCCAUGAGCAGGUCCGGCCCAAUGAAGAAAAGGCAUGGGCCUGUGCGAUGGAUUGGAUGGUGUGACUGGCGGCAGAGUGGUGUGGCGACCACGCAAAUACUUGGAGAGGACUUUAAACAAAUGGCAGUAAACGAAAGGUCAGAGAACACGCGAUUGCGAUUUCGGUGACGAACUACCCUCACCGCCUUCCCCUUUCGCUUUUUCGUAACCCCCAAGCCACAACUCUCUCCCCUUCUCUAUAUAUACCCUCCUCUCUCUUUUUUCUCUGGGUCUGGGUCUGGGUCUGGGUCGGUUUCCCUUCUGAGACAAACCCAACUGCAAAAAUAUCCAUCUCAUAAAAACACAAAACGGGGACCCACCAUACAACAACAGAAAAAAGGAAAGAAAAAAAAAGAAAGAGAGAGAGCAUUUUUAACACCUGAGGAAGGCUAGAGAGAUACUCAGAGAAGUGCCGGAAAAUCUUCUCUCUGUUUCUUAUCAGUUGGGACUAUCCGAUCAGGUGAUUUGCCUUUGCUUUUGUUUCCUCAUAUUGUUUUCAUUUCAAUUCGAUUUUUAGUUGUUCCUGCUUUUAGGGUUUUGUUUCUUUGUUCGGAUAUGUUGGAAAGUUUCAAGCUUGAUUAGGAUUAGAAAGUAAUACGAAUUAAAUUCGUUUUCGGACAAAAUUUAAGAAUUCACUUUGGUGCAUCUCUAUGGGUAUGGCCGUAGGGCUUUAGUUUACUAAACUCCUGGAUGUUUAGGGUUUUGUGUUUGUUGAUUUUUUUUAAAAAACUAAUUGAUUUCUAAUCUGAUUCAAUUGUUUUUUUGAUGCAGUUACUGCAAACUUUUGUGUUUGUGAAUCCCUUUGGUCUUUGUUUGGGUUCGAUCAGCCUAUUUCGGCACCCUGUCGGAGAAUAGGAGGCUCGAGGGUUCGGUGGUUUCGCAGAAUAUGAGUUCUCAGGUCCCAAAUGAGCGAAGGGAUAGGUCCAGGUUUCCUGCUCAGCCUCCUCAGCCCGCUCAGUCUGCUCGUCGAGAGUGGGUCCCAAGAGGAUCCAACCCUACCACUGCUGCCGUGAACCCACCUCCAAGCUUCAAUUCAAACAUCCCGAAUGGGAAUGUAGGACAGCCCAAUUAUAGCUCUGCUCCAUCAGAGAGUCGGCAGCAGCACAGAGGAAAUAAUGCUUCUAGAGGUCAUAUGGGUCGGCCAAUGAACCAUGGAAGGGAGAGGGGAAGGAGCGAGAAUCAGGAGGAGGUUAGAUUGAAGGACUCUAAUUUACCUCAGCUUGUGCAAGAAAUUCAGGAUAAAUUGACAAAGGGCACUGUUGAAUGCAUGAUAUGUUAUGAUAUGGUGAGGAGGUCUGCACCUGUUUGGUCUUGCUCAAGCUGUUACUCAAUUUUCCAUCUGAAUUGCAUCAAGAAAUGGGCUCGAGCUCCCACUUCUAUCGACAUGUCUGCAGGGAAGAAUCAGGGAUUUAAUUGGCGGUGUCCUGGAUGUCAGUACGUACAGCUUACAUCCUCGAAGGAGAUUCGUUAUGUUUGUUUUUGUGGUAAGAGGACAGACCCGCCUUCAGAUUUGUAUUUGACACCACAUUCAUGUGGUGAGCCUUGCGGGAAGCAACUUGAGAGGGAUGUCCCAGGCAGGGGUGUGAGUGAGGAUGAUCUUUGCCCUCAUGUUUGUGUCUUGCAGUGUCACCCGGGUCCAUGCCCUCCUUGUAAAGCAUUUGCCCCGCCACGUUUAUGCCCUUGUGGAAAGAAAGUAAUUACCACAAGAUGCUCAGACCGGACGUCUGUUCUAACUUGUGGCCAGCAUUGUAAUAAGCUUCUUGAUUGUUUGCGUCACCAUUGUGAGAGAACUUGCCAUGUGGGUCCUUGUGAUCCUUGCCAAGUUCUGGUUGAUGCUUCUUGCUUUUGCAAGAAAAAGGUGGAGGUUGUUCUUUGUGGAGACAUGACUGUGAAGGGGGAGGUGAAAGCAGAAGACGGUGUUUUUUCUUGCAGUUCCACUUGUGGAAAAAAGCUUACCUGUGGUAAUCAUGCCUGCGGUGAAGUUUGCCAUCCAGGCCCCUGUGGAGAGUGCAAUUUAAUGCCAACGAAGAUUAAGACAUGCCACUGUGGGAAAACAAGCUUGCAAGGGGAACGACAGAGUUGUUUGGAUCCAGUUCCAACUUGUUCACAAACAUGUGGCAAGUCCCUCCCUUGUGAGAUGCACCAGUGUCAAGAGGUAUGCCAUACUGGGGAUUGCCCACCUUGUUUGGUUAAAGUGAGCCAGAAAUGCCGUUGUGGAUCAACUUCUCGGACUGUGGAAUGCUUUAAGACCACAAUGGAGAUUGACAAGUUUACUUGUGAUAAGCCUUGUGGGCGGAAGAAGAAUUGUGGAAGGCACCGUUGCAGUGAGAGGUGCUGUCCUCUUUCUAAUUCGAAUAAUGUUCUCUCAGGGGAUUGGGAUCCUCACUUUUGCUCUAUGCCUUGUGGGAAGAAGUUAAGGUGUGGGCAGCAUUCUUGUGAAUCACUUUGCCACAGUGGCCACUGCCCUCCCUGCCUUGAUACAAUCUUCGCUGACUUAACCUGUGCAUGUGGGAGGACUUCAAUCCCUCCUCCAUUGCCAUGUGGUACACCUCCCCCAUCAUGUCAGCUCCCAUGUUCAGUCCCUCAGCCUUGUGGGCAUUCAUCUUCUCACAGCUGCCACUUUGGAGAAUGUCCACCUUGUUCAGUGCCUGUGGCAAAGGAGUGCAUCGGUGGGCAUGUCGUCCUCAGGAACAUUCCUUGUGGGUCGAGGGACAUCAAAUGUAACAAGCUCUGUGGGAAGACAAGGCAGUGUGGUAUGCAUGCUUGUGGCAGGACUUGUCACCCACCGCCUUGUGAUACUUCCUCUUCAGUGGAACCAGGUACAAAAACUUCUUGUGGACAGACAUGUGGUGCUCCUAGGAGAGAUUGCAGGCAUACAUGUACUGCACUAUGUCACCCGUAUGCUCCUUGUCCUGAUAACAGAUGUGAUUUCCCCGUCACAAUCACUUGUUCUUGUGGCCGGAUAACAGCAAAUGUUCCUUGUGACUCUGGUGGCAGCAAUGCUAGUUUCAAGGCUGAUACUGUGUAUGAAGCUUCUAUUAUCCAAAGGUUGCCAGCACCACUUCAACCAAUUGAAUCAACGACCAAGAAGAUCCCACUUGGACAGAGGAAAUUUAUGUGUGAUGAUGAAUGUGCUAAGUUGGAGCGGAAACGGGUUCUUGCAGAUGCUUUUGAUAUAGCUUCUCCAAACUUGGAUGCACUCCAUUUUGGUGAGAAUUCUGCUGUUUCUGAGUUGCUUUCAGACCUUUUUAGACGUGAUGCCAAGUGGGUAUUAUCUGUGGAGGAGAGAUGCAAGUACUUGGUGCUUGGCAAGAGCAGAGGUCCUACAAGUGGCCUCAGAGUUCAUGUUUUCUGUCCAAUGCUGAAGGAGAAGAGAGAUGUUGUUAGGAUGAUUGCUGAAAGAUGGAAGCUUGCAGUUCAAUCCGCUGGUUGGGAGCCCAAGCGAUUUAUUGUGGUUCAUGUUACGCCUAAAUCCAAAACCCCAGCUCGGGUGAUUGGGGUUAAGGGUACGACGACAGUGAAUGCACCCCAGCCUCCUGCUUUUGAUCAUUUAGUAGACAUGGAUCCCAGGCUUGUAGUUUCUUUCCCUGAUCUGCCGAGAGAUGCAGAUAUUAGUGCACUGGUCUUGAGGUUUGGUGGGGAAUGCGAGUUAGUCUGGUUGAAUGAUAAGAAUGCAUUAGCUGUAUUCAAUGAUCCUGCUCGAGCAGCAACCGCAAUGAGGAGGUUGGAUAAUGGUACACUAUAUCACGGGGCUAUUAACGUUCUCUCAAAUGGCAGUGCAUCUGUGGCAUCAUCGGGUUCUAAUGCUUGGGUUGGAUUGGGGACAGCUAAGGAAGGAGUGUCUACAGCGCUGAGGGGUAAUCCAUGGAAGAAGGCUGUCAUUAGGGAGCCUGGUUGGAGGGAAGAUUCAUGGGGUGAUGAAGAGUGGGCUGGUGGUUCCGCGGAUGUGCAGGCAUCUGUGUGGAAAAAAGAAGCUCCAAUCACUGCCUCACUAAAUCGAUGGAGUGUACUAGACAGUGAUGUAGCUUUGGGUUCAUCUUCUGUAUCUCCUAGCAUUGAGGACUCUGGAAAACAGUCUUUGGGUGGUUUAAAUCCGGCUUUGGAAUCAAAUGCAAGUGGUUCGACUUCAGGAGGGCAGCAGCAUGGAGGAAAUAUUGCAGAUACAUCUGAAGUGGUUGAUGACUGGGAGAAGGCUUAUGAAUAAAAGAUAGAAUGAAGCAAUUGAUCAAUAUUUUGAUAACUUUUAGUACCGGCGGAAGGGGGGUUGGUAGUAAAUCAAAUACCCUGGCUUUUUUAUUUUUUGUAUUUGGAUGAAUCGUUUUUUAGCCGAAACCCAAAGAGAUGUUCAGUUGGCUCCACAAUUUUAUCGUUGUCAUGAAAGUAUUCUUUUAUCCAUCUUAUUUGAAUGACUUUUUGGUUCAAAUAGAAUCCUUUUUGGAUUUUAGUUGGGCUGCCGUCAAAAUUUUAUUGCCUUCUAUUAUCUGCUUUGAUAUCUUCCAUUGUCAUACUUGUGGAGGCAGCUGGGUUGUUGCUAGUGCUGCUGUGUGGGAGAACAUGAUUCUGUAAAUGGUCAAUUUUGGUUAGGGUAGAAGUAUAUAGAUAUAUAGCUAUGGCUGUUUAAAAUAGCUAUAUAGCUAUGGUUUUUUAAAAGCUACAGUCAAAAUUUCUGGUUUCCCUGUUUUUUUUAAAGUACUAAAAGUACAAGUUAUAGUCUAAACUAUUAAUUAGGUCCCAUUUCAUUCAUGGGAAAUGAGGCUUGGGAAUGAGAAUUCAAUUGCUUUCUCAUGUUUGGUAAGUCCAGGCAUGAGAAAUGAUUAUCUGGCACAUGGGAAAGUAAGGGGUAAAGUGAAGUCAUUUCCUUAAUUUGAGUUUUGUUUUCCCUCAUCAUGAGAAAGUUUAGGAAAAUGAGCCAACAUUCAAUACACAAUUUUCAUGACUAUUUGUCCCUAUGAACAAUUUAUAAUUACAACAUAUCAUUAAAUACAUUCUUUUUUUAUUUGAUUUAACAUGGGUAUAAUUGGAAAAUUAUAUAAACUUUGUUUUCCAUUCCUACUCAAAACAAACAUGGGAAAGGAAACAAAGUGAAAUCUCCUGGUUACUUUCCCGAUAUUAUCAAAUGUGGGAAAUGAAUCUUUCAUUCCCAUUCCUUGGGAAAUGACAUGGGAAGUGAUUUUCCCUCAAAUCCAUUCCGUAAACCAAACGGGGCCUUAGGGAGUGAGAUUUCUCACACAUACACAAUUAUGAUGCUGGGGAUUCGAACUUUAAGACCUCUGAUCUGCAUGUCAAGGUCCUUUUUCACUGGACUAGAUCCCGUUGGCUGGUUUCUACUUAAUAUACCUAGUUUUUGUCUUCUUUUAACUUGUCAAAGGAAUUUGGAUCUUGUUGGAAACUUGCAAUAAGGGUUUAAAAUUGAACUGUGAGGUGAGGAAGUGGGUUUGAAGAUGGCUGCAUGAAAAAGGAUCCAUUAGUAUAGUGGUUUGGAGUAUUUACUCAUUCAGUUAAGGUCCUGGGUUCGAGUCCUAGCAUCCGUAUUGUGUGUGUGAGUUUAAUAUGCUAUCGCCCCUUUCAAUAAAAAAGGUCCUUAAAAAAAAAAAAAAAAAAAAGAAAGAAAGAAAGAAAGAUGGCUGCAUGGAAUUAAUUAUUUGCUUCCACCGUAUAUCAAUGGCAGAAUUCAGUUAUUGGGUUGCUCGCAAUUGCAUUUCUUAGACAUGGUUUAUGGAUGACACACAUCUAAUCCAAGUCUUCACUUUUCCUAUAAAUUAUGAUUUAUGCGAACUCUGAUAUUCUGCAGUCUGCCUUUUUUUUUUCUUGGUGACCUGUUUUUGGGUUCCGGAAGAACGAAAGAUGAUCCCUUUCUUUCGUUUUCUUUCAUUCAUUAUUGAUUGGUUGAUUUUAACUAGUUUGAUUAAUUGCGUUAAAAGAUAGCAAGUAUUUCUCGUUAUGAUGAGUUAGAGAAACUGAUCAACAAACUAAAGUCAAGUUGGACAAAAUACCAGUCCGUAAGUUGCAAACAUGCAAAAUCAAUAAUCGCUCACACAACAUGUGGGCGGUUCCUACCCAAAACACCAACUCCAAACGGAAAGCCAUGUGGAUGUGAUUUGCCUUCUAUCAUUUAUCAAUUAAAUACAAAUGCAUUUCUUAAAAUAAUAAUAAAUUUAAUAAACUCCUCAUACUCUUUAUUUCAAAAUCAUAGGCGUCGCCUUCAGUCCGGCAUUCCCUCUCUACUACCGAUAUAAAAAUAUCCCCUCCACAAACCACAAAUUUAAAAAAAUUAAAAACAGAAAAACAGACCGUCUUCUUUAUUUAUUGGUAAGGUUAGAAGUAGGAGUAAUUGUAUCACCUCAAACAAAACUAUCAACUACUCUCUCUCUCUCUCUCUUCUCUGUAAGUUGUAAUCCUUUACAUUGUGAACUCCGUGUACGAGGCAUUGUGUAAGUCGCUUGGCAUUCCCAGCUCUCUGUCUUUCAUUUAUAUAUAAAUCAACACACAUUUUUUAGAAUUCAGUUUAAUCUUUUCUUUCCAAUCUGUCUACUCCUUUCAGACAUACAUACAUCAUACAUGGAUCCUCAGCUCGGUUCUGCUAACCAGUUCAAGGUUACUUUCUUGCUUCCGUUUUUCUUUUCAAGUACAAAACUUUGUUUAUAAUCUAUUUACUUAUUUGUUUUUCUUUUAAGAAAGUUGCCUGCUUUGGUACUAAAUGGAUGUAUGAACUUGCAGAAGCAUUGACCCAUGAUCUCUCUCUUUGGGUUGUUAUAGUUAGUUGAUUUGUAUUGCCCUGAUAUUUCUGUAGCUAGUAAUUUUUGAUCUUUUACCAUGAAGAGCAAAAAAGGAAAAAAAGCCAAGAUCCAAACUUUCCAUGAUAUGUACUGCUUACAGUAUAUUUCCUUUUGCAUUUAGUCUUCAAAUUGGAGCUCGAUAUCUGGCAUUUCACCUAGGUUGGUGUCGUAAAUAAGCUUGUUUUAUUUGAUCAAUUGGGGUUUUACCAACUUUUCUGUUUCCAAUUCUGGGAUUGCAGAUCACCAGAUCACAUGCUCAAUAUGAAAAAAGAAAAAAUGCAUGUGCGUACAUCAUUAUAUCCAUCAUGUGUAUGUGCCGGUGUUGAAAUGCUCCUAAUUACUUACCGGACCAAUUUAAAUUGCAAUUUGAGUUGCUUCUUGAUGCUAACUCCAGCUAAAGAAGUACAAGGUUACCAUUCAGUGCCUUAGUGUUGCCCCACAAUGAGUCAUAAAGCAAUAGAGAUACAAGCGCAGCAUUUAUCAUGAGCUUCACCUUAUUAUCAUCUAAUUUUUGACUUCAUAUAAUAUACAGGAGACAUGGAAGCAUACGCUUCUUUUGUCAUUUCAGAGCCUUGGAGUAAUUUAUGGUCAACUGAGUACUGCUCCCUUAUAUGUCUUUGGGACAAUGAAUGCAGAAGAUAUCAAAUCAGAGGAGACUGUUUAUGAACUAUUCUCCUGUAUUUUCUGGACUAUUAACAUCAUUUCUUUACUCAAGUAUGCCUUUAUAGUAUUAAGAGCUGAUGACAAUGGAGAAGGUAAUUAUCUACUAUCCUCCUAAUGACAGGAAUUUAUGUGCUAGGAUUGUGCAAUAAUUUUUCACUUUUAUCAUCUUGUAGGUGGUACUUUUGCUUUGUAUUCACUCCUGUGUAGGCAUGCUAAAGUGGGUCUGCUUCCAAAUGACACAAGUGCUAAUGAGGUUAUGCAUUAUGAGACGGGAAGUCCUUUCAAGAUAAAGGUGGAAUCAAGGGCUAGAAGAGCCAUUGAGAAACAUAAAAGUAGCCACUAUUUAAUGUUGUUCCUUGCUCUGUUCGGUUCCUGCAUGACGAUCGGUGUUGGGGUGCUUACCCCAGCUCUAUCUGGUUUGGCAUUCCUCGUCAAUUUUUCUAAAUAAUAUUAGAAAUUUCUAAGAAAAUUCGAUUUCUGCAUUAAACUUAUGUCAGAUAUGAUUAGAUGUUUGAAUGAUUCGUUUUCUUUGUCUUUGUCUUCCUCAGUGUAUUCAGUUUCAUCGGGUGUUCAAAGAUCAAUGUCAGAUAUGGCACACUUAUGUAAGACCUAGCCGUAACUUCAAUUAGAAAAGUAUAUAUUUCUUUCAAUCAUCCUUUAAUAGCUAUAUAAUCAAUCAUUACUCUGACACUUAAGUUGUAUCUUGUGGUUCUUACCAGUUUCAUCUUCACCAAGAAAACAGGAGGCCAUAUCAAAUGCUUUUGAGAAAUGUGAGUACUUUGUCAUCAAGUAGGUACUUCCACUGCAUCUGUUCCACCCUCUUUGCUUAUGUUGUUUCCUGUUCAGUGACCUGAGGAAGCUUGAACACUUUUUUCAUGAUAACUCAACAUAAUUUUUGUAGAGGCACUCUUGCACACAUGUCCAGUAAAAUGGAAAGCAAAGAAACCGGAGAAACUAAAAGGAGAAAUACACACUGCACCUGGAAAAUAAACACAACACAUUCUGAGCCUGUCAAUCAUGAUGGCCAAAGUUUAUCUGGUUCCCAUUGCAUCUACUAUAUUGGUCAUGACUUGGAUAUCUUAGCUAAUCUGUUUAUUCACUUGGAAUUGUAUUUGUUAUAGAUGUACCAGUUCCAACGGCAUCUGCUAUAUUGGUGUGCCUCUUCACACUACAACACUAUGGGACUCAUAAAAUUGGGUUUAUUUUUGCUCCAAUUAUUGUCAUUUGGCUGAUAUUUAUCGGUGGAGGCGGUAUAUAUAACAUUUUCCACUGGAACAAACAAAUUAUCCAUGCUGUCUCCCCGAUGUACAUGUACAGAUUUGUUAAGAACAUUGAAAUCAAAAGUUGGAGGUCUCUAGGCAGCAUCGUUUUGUGUGUAGCAGGUUUUAUUAAGAUCCCAUGAGCUUCAUUUUACUAUCUUUAAUUAAUGCUGUAAUUUUAUUCGGAACCAGAUGUUUUCAUUAGAUCCUGAAACACAGUACCUUUUGCAGGAUCAGAGGCAAUGUUUGCAGAUCUAGGUCAUUUCAGAAAGAAAUCGAUCAAGGUUUUUGAUAUAUCUCAAAUUCUUUGAAUCUUAUAUCAAGGUGUGUUCUGAAAUUAAAAUGAACUUGUGGAUGGUGUCCUGCUGCAGAUUACAUUUGUAUGCUUGAUUUAUCCAGUCCUUGUUUUAUGCUAUGCCGGCCAGGCUGCAUAUAUCUCCAAAAACUUGCAUGCUGCAGAUUUCAAUCAUCUCAGUGAAUCCAUCCCCCGUAAGCACACUUAUUUUUCUUUACUAGUUGCUUCAUCUGCCAACUUUAGAUAUCUAACAUAAAGAAUGUAUUGUUUAUGGAAAGUCCAGACCGAAUUCGCCACUGGUUCAUAGCAUUAUCCCUUCUUGCUUCAGUUGUGGGAAGCCAAGCAACCAUAACAGCCAGUUUUUCCAUCAUAAAUCAGUGCCUAGCACUUGGUUGUUUCCCCAGAGUAAAAGUUAUUCAUACAUCAGAUAAGAUACAUGGGCAGGUUUACAUUCCUGAUAUCAACUGGCUAUUGAUGGUUCUAAGCCUCGCUGUUACAAUUGGUUUCCAUGAUAUUAUGAGAAUUGGUUCUGCCACAGGUAUGCAUUCGAAACAAUCUCUGUAUUCUUUUGUACAAGGGUUCCAGUAUAGCAACCCCUGACAUACUCUCUAGGAACUUCAUUAUUUACAUAUAGCUGUUAUCUGAUAGAUAUUAAUAGCUCAAUCUCCCACAGGUUUGGCCGUAAUUUCUGGAAUGCUCGUAACGACUUGUCUCAUGUCACUCGUAAUUGCCCUGUACUGGGAGAAGAAUUUGUUUGAAUCUGUCUGUUGUCUGAUAUUCUUUGGAUCCAUUGAGGUAAUGUAUGUAUCAGCUUGUAUGUUGAAUUUCCAUAAGGGAGCUUGGUAUUUGGUUGUCCUUUUGGCAUUGUCCUUGACAGUCAUGCUUUCAUGGCAUUAUGGAACCAAGAAGAAGCUCGAAUUUGACUUACAAAACAAGGUAUCUGCAGAAUGGCUUACUGAUAUUAGCCCAGGCCUAGGGGUUACCAGGGUUCCUGGCAUUGGUUUCAUUUAUACUGAUAUAGUGACAGGAAUUCCAGCUUUCUUCUCACACUUCAUUACCAACCUUCCUGCAUUUCACCAAGUUUUGAUCUUCGUGUCGUUCAAGUCCCUACCGAUGCCUUACGUCCCUGCAAGUCGGAGGUAUCUUAUUGGCAGGGUUGGCCCAAAAGAUUUGAAGAUUUAUCGGUGUGUCGUGAGAUAUGGAUACUGUGAUCCUAUUAGGGACACUGAUAAUUUUGAAGAACAGAUUAUUAGUUCAAUCGGAGAGUUCAUUACCAUGGAAGAAAAUGAGUUUGAAUCCCUGAAUUCAUCAGAAGGAAGAAUGGUGGUUGUUGGAAAGCCACCAGCUGAUGGAAGCGCUUUGAUUCCAUUGAAUGAAACAAACUCAGAUGAGGAGUCUGUGAGCUUGGUGAGCAAUAUUGAAACUCAGCUAGCUCCAAUGGUGGCCGAUGCAGUGGAGAGUGGUUUGGGUUCAGUGAUGAGAAAAAAGGUGCGGUUCAUGUUGCCCGCGAAGAGUCCGAAAAUGCGAGCAUCUGUUAGGGAUGAGCUGCAAGAACUAAUAGAUGCAAGGGAGAGUGGCACAGCGUACUUCCUGGGGCAGGUGCAUUUAGCAGUGCGUGAUGGCUCAGACGUGUUGAAGCGCUUGCUGAUCAUGACUUAUGCGUUUUGUGAUAAAAAUUGCAGAGAGCCUCCAGUUGCUCUCAACAUUCCUCAUGCCGCUCUUGUCGAGGUUGGUAUGGUCUGUUGCAUAUAAAGCAUUAAUUGUAAGGCCAUGCCAGACGUUGGGGCAGAGGAGCAAUGAUUUGUACAAAAUCAGGAAAGAAUUCAUCGGAGAUGAGAGGAGAUAUAUAAGAAAACACAUGUAUUGUUUAAGUUUUUUAAUUUCUUGUAGUAGCUCGGAAUCCAUAUAAAAAGUUGACAAGAAAGAUACAAUGAAACCUAAAAUCUGUCCAUAUUGGUGCAUUAUGCAUAUAUAUAUAUAUAUAUAUAUAUCCAUGCCUGCCUUACUACUUAUUAAGCCUAAUUGUUCAAUACCAAAGUUCCUGCUCUUUCAAACUAUAUAUAUAGGCUUUGAUUCCAAUUUUCAGUUAGGUUUUUUUUAUUAUUAAUCCAAAAGUACUUCCUAACAGAACUGAAAAUUAGACAUUCUUGUGGAAAGAAAUUAAUGGCAAAGUCUAAUUGCAUAGCUAUUAAUCCUUCAAAUGUAACAAUAAGAUGAAGUAUUUUAUUUCAAAUUCCUUAAAUUUACAAUAAUGAAAAAAUAAGGAUGGCAGUGAACAACCAAAAUCUAUGGUCUCUUAGUUUUGGAUUGGAAGAAGCACAUUGCCAACUUCUCCCUCCACUGACAAAAUAUUUCAACAAGUUGAAUUGAUCUGGAGAGAAAAAUGACUAAAAUUCCUGAAUCAGCAAUCAUAAGCACAUGUACUCAAAUAUAUAAUAAAGAUUUGCCACACAACGGCAGAAACGACAAAUCUGUAUCAAAAAGCCAAAAGCCAAAAGCCAAAAGGAAAUAAAAAAUCCUAAACAAAAAACAAAACAAACCACAUCAUCAAACUCCUAAAGAUUUCACGGGAGUUAUUAAACUAAAACAAGAUCACUGCUCCACAUUCUCUCGAGCAACCCGAAGAGAGCCAUAGUGCCGCACUGGUUAAACUUGAAAUCGACCCAACCUGACAUCAUCCCCACGUCAUAGUUCCAAACCUAUAUUGAAGGUUGACAAUUGGAGCCAAAUCCUUGCAUACAUAGGCCAAAAGACGACAAUUAUAUCAUGGCAACGACAACGUUUGACGACGACUGCUUUCACAGCACAAAACAAAGAAACAAAAAACAACGAAUCCAGAGAGAAAUGGGCGGGAAGGAGAGGAAAGGGAUCUUUAAGUUCAAGCAAUUGGGUGAGUAACUAACUCCUUCAAUCAAAACACAGAAAAGAACUAUCCUUGAUCAUUGCCUGUCACGUCAGUCAGUGUAUAAUUAAUUGGCUGGCUCACAAAUUAGCAGCAGAUAAUAAUUAAGGAAAAUGAGAGAUAGAUAUAUAUAUAUAUAUAUUGAAAAGUUUAAUUCUGCCAUGCAAUGGAACGUAUAUAGUCGUGGCAAAUAAAUACGACUGCAUACACCAUUAUUCCUUCCCGGGUCUUAUUGAACCCUGCUAUAAUACAUAGUUUUCUAUAAAUAUUUAAGAAAUAAAACUUUUACAUUUUUAAUUCUCACUAUAAUAAAUAUUAUAUAAUUAAAUAUAUAUUUAGUUAUGAAUGGGGGACUUCUUUCUAGCUGGGGUGUAAUCCAUGACCAGCAAGUCCAAGUCUUCUCCCCUCUCUUGCCUUGUUUUGGUUUUGGUAGUUUUGGUCUUGGCGGCUUCAUCUUCAACAAGACUUGCAACUUUGUCAUUAACUCCUCCUGUUCCUGUACCUAUAUAUAUAGGCGUGAGUGACAAGAAGAAGAAAAAGAAUGUCAUGUUAUAAAUAAUUGAAGGACUUAAUUUAAAGAAGUUUUUGACAAUUAGAUAUAUCAUGAACAUGAUCAACAAGUAUAGUAUUAAUUUGAGAGUUAACCAUAUAUAAUGUUUACCAUCAUCAGCUAUGUAUACGACGAUGAAUAGCAGCAGCAGCAGCAGCAUAAAUGCAACCAGAGCAGUAUUAAUGCGCAGCUUGUUAUUCAUCCCAAAAGCCAUUAAUUGCAACUGUGCCGAUAGAGGAAAACAGUCCACACCUUUUUGCCUCUUCCUCUUAUCUCUAUAUAUUUAUAUGUGUGUGUGUGUGUGUUGAUGGCCUGCGCUGCCUGUAUAUAUAUGAUUCUUGCCUUGGACAGGUGGGGCAAGUGGAUGUUGGAGUAAGUUAGCGUAGGCAUAAGCAAAACCAGAAGUUUUGAGCGUAUAUAACAAAUUCAUAUAUAGAUAUAUAUCAACUCCAGUCUUCAGUCACAUCUUGGUACGGAGACACUAGCGAGAAACAGUACGUACUGUUACUAUAUAGCUAUUUUUCUUGAAUAUAAUAUGGAUGCAUUCUUCUCUCAAAAAUAUAUAUAUAUAUAUAUAUAUAUAUAUAUAUGGAUGCAUGCAUGCCUUUAAUAUAUGCAGUACUACUUCCACCACCAUGCACACAUGCACUGAGAAAGAAGAAGAAGAGCCCUAUAUAAUUUAUUUACCAUUGGAAAGUCCUGAAGUUGAUCCUUCCUACCUUAAUGUUUCUGUGUUACGUACAUAUAUACGCAUAUAAUUAAUAUUAGAGGAGGGCGAUGAGCCAGCAUGCAAGAGCGCCCACACACACAUAUAUAUAUAGUUGCAAUUGAUCAUCGUCGUACCGUACGUACGUUGUUGUAUUCCUUACAGUACUGUCAAUGAAGAUUACAUGGAGAUGGAGAUGGAGAUGUUAACAUAUUACACAUAGCCAAGUUAUUAAUUAGCUAAACCAAGACCUUACCUUAAUUCCUUCCCGGUCCUGGAUAUAUACGCUUCGGAUCCAACAGUAGUAUUAAUGGAAAAGGUUAAUUAGAAGAGAAUUUAGGGUAAAUAUAAUAUAAUAUUCUUAGUCUCUGAAAGAUUGGCACUUGGCACACAAUUAAUUUGGAAAGCCAGAUCAUAUAUCAUCAUCUCUGUUCCUUCCUGUACAUGCAAAUUGCAAUGCAGACCAUGUCAACCUCAAAACAAACCCAAUCAUCGUUCACCUCCAAAGCACAUGGUCCAUCGGGAGCAUCACGUGAAGUUUUUAUAUAUAUGCACGAAUUUGGCUCGUAAAGUCCCAAUUAUACACAUAUAUAAAUAAACCCAUAAAAAUUAUCACAUGGCCAGAUAUCUGCUACCUAGGCUAGCUCUGAUCUCCCAUGUCUAAUCAUUUAGUCAUAAUCUUCAUUUUUCAGCUUGUUAUAUUAUAUCAUAUCAUAUCAGCCAGAUAUCUGCUAGCUAUAUAUGCAUGUAUGUAUGUGUGUAUAUAUAUUGGGGGUGCAUGAUACAUAUCAAACCUUCCAACAUGGAUGCUGUUUGACUGCAGAAACCCACAUGUCUGUGUUGGUUAUUGCCACCGUCUGUUGUAGACAAGAUUAGCAUCCUAUGGCCCACCGUGUAGCGACAGAUUCUUUCUGAUAUAUAUAUAUAUAUACGUGGAAAGCUCACGACUCAUGAAUUUGCAACUCUUCAAUUCAAUCAUCAAUCAUCAGUCAUGACCAAUUACCAUACUAAUUAACGACUAGGGCGUGUUAUCUCAACAAAUAUAUGGGCUCAAUUGUUGUGCCAGAGCCAGAGAUAAAUCUGAAGAUGGGCUUGGUUUGCACGACAUUGGGCUAGCUUUAAGUUUUUUAACAGGACAAGGAGAGGAGAGGAGAGGAUCACCCAACCCAACCCAACAAAAGAUUUAAGAUAGCAUUGCAAUUUGCAUGUAUCCUGCUGCGCAUGCCCAAAAGGACUAGGUGUAAGGCAGUCUAUUAUUCAUAGAAUCAUAGGCCGUCAUUAGGGCCAUCCAGUAUCUCAUAUACUAUUACUAGCCUAAUACUACCACCUCAUGCACGCUGAACAAUGACCUUUGGGUUUUUACAUUACAUAUUACUAUUACUAGUCUAAGUAACUAUUUUUUGGAAUUAUCACGUUUCGCAAGUCUAGCAUAACGUAAUAUAAAAGGGCAUGCAUAAUAUACAAGUAGCUAGUAAAGUAUUCUAGCAUACCAUAGAUUAUAGGGUACCAGAUUAAGUUAAAAUGUGUUAUAACUUGAGGAGAGAGAUAAAAAAGGAGGGUCGGGGCAUGAAAAUUAAUUAUCUCUUAGGGCAUUUCUAUUUAUUUGCCAUGGUAAAUGAUAAGGGGAAGCAAUAGCUGUUAUCAUUUACAUGAAUAGUGCUUGCCCCAGCAAUUUUUUUUUUUUUGGUUUUCCACCAAGUCUUGCCUUUGGACUCGCCCGGGCUAGUGGAGCCCAGCUCUUGCCCUAGCUAGAUUUGGGCUUUGGAAACCAGAUUGGGGGCCUCUUGCCCGGGCUAGGGCCUCCCGGUUGAGGUGGGCAGCCAAUCAUAUCCAAGGUUGCUUCAUUCAGUUAGUUUUCAGAGAAAAUUUGUUAAAUCAGCUUAUGUGGAAGCAAUGUGACAUUUCAAGUUGGGGUAUAUGGUCAUUUCGCAUAUACUCACCCAUCAGUUGUAUUUAGCCCGUCAAUUUGCCCCAAUUCUUCCCAAAAUCAAAACCCUAAUUUGAGACCUGCAACAAAGCCACUGGAGAACUCUAAAUUGGCGUGUGCAAUAACCAAAUGAUGUGAAUCCUAAAACCAGUCGGAUCUUGUGUUAAAAUAAAGAUUAUGAACAACUUUAGUUUGUUUGUAUGAUAUAUAUUAUAUAUAAAGGAAAAUGGUUGAAUAAUAAUUUAUUAAAAAGCUUUUGGUGGAUCAAUUAAUGUCUGGGUACGUACGUACAUAAUCUAUGAUACCAUAUAUAUCACAGGCACAGCAAUGAAGGGUCAUUUUCGUAUGAGUGCAUCCACAGUAGUGGAAACAUUCUCUUCCUCAAAUAAAUGUGAGCAAACAUUGAUAAAAGAAAGAAGCCCUGAUACAUCAACAGUGGGGAAUUUGGAAGUACUGCUUGAAAAAGUGAGGGAUUGACUAGUAAAAAAGGAAACUUAUAUAAAGACACACAAUGCAGACGGAUGAAUAGGAAGAAAUGUACUAGCAAAGUCCCCGCUGUUCGAGAAACCCCUUUGAUAUGUUACUUUCUUUCAUGUAUAAAGACAGAAAAAGAGAGAGAGAGAAAGAGAGAAAGAGAGAAAGAGAGAAAGAGAGAGGGAGAGAGAUUUCAAAGGCCAAAAACCCACACCCCAAUUACGCAUUAGUGUUUCUGACCGACUGAUCAUGAUGAGAGACUGAUCAAAUUAAUAUAUGAAAUAUAAAUUAUAUGCAUGCAUGAGUCAUUCCAGUGGUGAAUUCCAAAAAUGGGAGCGUCUCCGUACUCUCUUUGCACUGAUCACUUAGUUGUAAUAUAUAAUAGAGAGAGAGAGAGAGAGAGUCACAGUACUAGUAGACUAGUAUAUAUAUAGUUAAUGUGAACAAAAAUGGUAAGACUGACUUGUAUGAUGCAUAAUUGUUGUUAGUGCAGUCCAGAGAAUUUGUAUUUGCUUAUACUUAUAGGUAUAUAUAGCUAGAGUCGAUCUCCUCUCUCCAGGGUACGUUGGAAGAUUUGUAAUUAUAAUAUGGAAGGAGCUUUGAGUAGUUCUACUACUUACAAGGAGAAAGAAAAACAAGAGAAUGUUGAAGAUCAUGAGAUCCUCAAAAACAGAAUCUCUACCCAUCCCUUAUAUGGGCUGUUGGUUGAAGCUCACUUGGAUUGUUUGAAGGUCUCUUCUCUCUCUCUCUCUCUCUCUCUCUCUCUCUCUCUCUCUCCCUAUGUUUGUGUGUUUGUGUGAGUGAGUGUGUGUAAAUUGAUUUGCAGUGAAGGUUUUUAUAGCUACAAUACAAGUUUGGUUAAGGCUUAAAUAUAUGCCUUAUUGGGGUAUACCUAGUUUGCUUGCACAAUCUGUAUAUGUGCCUUCUAUCUGAUACAAAAUAGGGCAUCCAUCCUCCUGCUGCCUGCAUAUAUAAUUAAGCAGCAUAUAUUCUUAUUAAUUACUUAUUAAUUAGAUCCGUCGUGGUCUUCUUCUUCUUCUUCUUCUUUCAAAUCUUCAUCAGGUCGGUGGAAUUAGUGGUGACCUAGACCUAGAGGGAGAUGUUAGCAGAGAUAUGAAGCAGCUUGACAACAAGUACAAGGCCAGUGAAAAUCGACAAUCUGACCUCGAUCACUUCAUGGUAAUUAGUUAAAAUUGAUCCCUCUUCACAUAUAUUAACCUUAUCCUUCUCUCUUGUGUGCUAGCUCCAUCAUCGUACACAUCAAGAGUAGUAGCUAGCUAGUGGUAGUACGUACUCAAGGAAGUUAAUUAAUACCCCAAAUUAAUGCACACUAAGUCUUUUCGGUAACGCAUGCAAUUAACUGUGUAGAUAUAAAGACCAAGAAAUAUGAGCAGGAAGCAUAUAUCUAUAAUUAAAUAUAUUGCUCUGUGUUUUUAACAAAAAUUAUUAAUUAUUAUUACUUGUCUGGGACUGGACUGGACUGGGACUUGGACUUGGACUGGGGUAUGUAUAAUAUAUUAUUGAUGCAGGAAGCAUAUUGCUUGGCACUUGGGAAGCUGAAAGAAGCAAUGGAGGAACCGCAGCAAACGUCGAUGGCCUUCAUAAGUAACAUGCACCUGCAACUCAAGGAGCUAACAGGAUCUCAUCAACCUGAACCGGCCACCUCACUUUCCGGUCAGUCUGUUGACCAUCUAAAUUAAACACACCCACACCCACCACAUGCAUAUACAAAUAUAAUACUAUAGCUAGUUAAUUUCUGUUAAUCUUUUAAUGUCGUAGGUGAAAGCUACAAUUGAUUGUGCCUGCAGUCUGCAGACGAGCGAAAGGCCAGGAGGAUGCAGUGCCUUCAUGGAACCUGAUGAAUUUUUCCAGAAUAUAAUUUUUAUAUAUAUGGUAUGAUAUUUGCCUCCAAUCCAAUCACGUUUGCGAUUUGUGACACACUCCUGCGCAACAUGGCAUGUAAAAUUUGGUCCUUAUUUUAAUUAUGCGUCCAUCUCAAGCUGUUUCAUUUAUUAGUCUGAUAUUUCCAGGGAAUCAAACAAAUUGAACGAAGCUGGUUUUGUAUUCACCAACCAAUCUAUUUCCAACUCAUUAUUUUUGCUAACAAUAGCACAAUCGAUUUAUUUAUAAAUACGACUGGACUCUGGAGGAUAAUAUAGAUUUUUCAUGCUUCGUCAGAAACUGAAACCCCCCCCAAAAAAAAAAAGUUAAUUAGCUUGAUUGGAUGGAUUGGAAAGUAUGUAUCUUAACAAGUUAUUACAUCAACUGAGAUGUUCAUACACGCAGUUCAUGUCUCCAAAUUAAAAGAAAUUUGGGCUCAACUCUACACCAGAAAAGAGAUGAACAUCCCAUAUAUUUCAAUCAUAUGCCGGCAAUGCUUGUAUGGUUGUGUAAUUUAGUUGGAAACCAUGCUUUCAGUCUCUUUGACGAAGCCGUCUCCUGUCCACUCCUUGUCCGAUUGCAAACCUUUCCGGACAGCUUUCCUCUGUUGUAUUGCUUCUUGUUGCCUUCGUACUAAAUCAGUAUGUGUUGUAAAAUAUUCAAGGGAAACCCUGCAUAUUCAUUGAAAAGAAAAGACCGACCGAAAAUAUCAGUAUACUCGAUUUUUAACCUGAUUAUAAUUCUGUUUAGAUGUAACAUUCAUUCUAAAAAGAAAUUUCUUACCCCCUGAAAUCUUCUAUAGAUGAGAAAUUGUGUAGUUUCAUAAAAUCCUGAAGCUCAGAACAGAGUUUUUUCACAAUACCAUAUCCAUGCAUCAUGACCCCAGUGCAGACCUGCAACAGCAAUCACAGAAUUUUAUUUCUUCUACAGUCAAGUAGUAUUGAGCCUCAAACUGUUUAGGCCGGUCCUGCCGCUUAUCAUGGCAUGCUGCCUAACAUAACAUGUGCAGAAUAACCUCAAAAUCUGUACAUUACUAAGUCAAUUAUGGAGAUAAACACUAUUGGCCACGAAGUCAAAUCGUGUGUGUUGAAGGUUGUAGAGUCCAUCACUACACAUAAUUGUUGAGAGUAACACACAAAAACUACAAAAGUUAGUUUCUCAACAUACCUGAACAGUAUUUGCUCCAAGCAGAAUAAAUUCAGCAGCAUCACCACCGGACUCAACACCCCCAAUACCAGAAAGUGAGUAAUCCUUAUCACCAAACUCUGAUUUCAUCAUUUUUGCAAUAUUCAUUACUUUUGCAAGUGCAAUAGGAUGAACUGCCUUAGAAGAAUAGCCUCCAGGAGUUGAGUAUCUGACAGAAAAUUAGGCAUGUUUUCCUGAGAUAAAUGACAAGUCAAACUAAAUAAUAUAAUAUUUCUAGUUUCAGCAUGCAUACCCCUCCACACAAGGUUCAGGCCGUAAGGUAGUUAGAUUGAUCCCCAUUACACUCAUGAUUGUGUUAAUAGCGGCAACCCCCUCACAUCCUGAGCUCAGAGCCACUCUAGCGGGCUACAAACAAAAGGAUAAAUGAUACGAGGAAGAUUAUAAUAGAAUUUACUGUAAAUGAUAAACAUCUUGUAACAUACAUCUAAAGGAAAAAGAGAAGAAAUAUGUAAUAGUAAAGAAAUGAAACUGUUGUUAAUUUAGACCUGUUCAUUUUGAAUUUUUCUGAACAAGAACACAUCUUUAAGUAAUGCAAAAGUGGGAGAAGUUAAGCUAGCUGACCUGUGUGAUGUCAGUGACGUUAGGAGUCAUCUUAGCCCAAACAGGAAUUGUAGCUUUGGCAUUAAUCCAUCCACAGACUUCUUCCAAAAGUGCGCAGUCUUGGCCAACUGCAGCACCCAUCUUGCGCUCUGGCAUACCAUGAGGACAGGAGAAAUUGAUUUCAAAGGCAUCCUAAGAAAAAAGAUCAGAUGUUAGAUGACAAUGCUGCAAGCUCCAAGCUCAAAGUAUGAAAAUUGUAAUAGAAACUUAGUUAAUUGCUAUAUCUUACAACUCCAGUUUGCUCGACACGGUCAAUAAGUUCCUCCCAGCCAGCUUUGUUAUAUUCCUCCAUAAUUGAAGCAAUCAGAAUCCUGUCUGGAUACUCUUGUUUUAAUUGCUUGAAUUCUUUCAACAUGAUUUCAAGAGGUCGAUCACUUAUCAGUUCUAUGUUCUCCCACCCAAUAAUUUGCCCUUUGGGUGAGCCAUUUGCAUCUGCUCGUAGCCUAGCAUAUCGAGGAGUGACAUUUUUUACCUUUGCUGCGUCCAGUGACACCUAUCAAAACGUAAGUUAAGAUUGAAUGCAAAAAGUGCAACCCACAUAAAAGACAGAAAAUGACUCAAUAUCCAGCAAUGGAAAUGGUUCAGCUACGGAAAUGACCUCAAAAUUCGUUUUGAAGAAUUAAGGUCUGCAACAAAGUUCAGAAAAUGGGCUUUCCCCAAAAUCAAUGAAUCUGAAGAUGUUCAACAUUAUUGUCAAUUCAUUUUAAGUCAUUCAGGUAGAAUGGCACUAGCUACACAAAAUCAAAGAUAUCAAAAGCAGUACCUUUGCUAAACAAAUUCUGGAUUUUCACAUUCUUUCUUCCAAAUUUCUCAGUAACCAAACAAACAGAUGAAUAAGCUACCAUCAAUCAGCAGCACUAGCGCACAAUUUUGUAAUUCAAACUGACGAUCCAAACACAGAAAUAAAAGAAGAGCAAGACUUACAGUUUUGGCAAUCACAGCACCCCACCCUUCAUCAAACGCCCUCUUCAUGACCGUAUAGUUGGUACCGGGUGGACCGGAGCCAAUAACAAAGGGAUUGGGCAUGUGCAAACCAUUGACAGUAACACUAAGAUCAGGCUCUGCCUUGGCCUCAGACUCAGAGGCAAACACCCUAAACCCAACUCUGCUAGGCCGAGUCAAACCCAACUCAGGACGUGUCCUGGAAAAUUCAGCAACUGGGUUCUUGCCUCUGAUCUGAGUAAAACUGAGAGACGCCAUGGAUCAAGAAUUUUCAGCUAACUCUUGUGCAAGUAGUCUCGAGGUGUGAAUAACAAGACCGAGAAGAAGAAGAAGAUGAUGAUGAUGAAUCCGAGUUAAAAAUAUUCAGUGGGCUGUAUGAGAACGUGGAGUUAUAGGAAUCGAUUGCGUCUUCUAGCAUUUGGUUGAAUUUGAUGGUGCAAAGUUUGAAUAUUUUAAUCCCCGCAGAUUAGAUUAGAGGGACUGCAUGUUGAUGGUGACAGAUGGGAUUGGCAGAAGAUAGAUUAACUUCAUUUUUUACCAUUUUCGUUUGUUAACUCAGUCGCCCAAUGCUCCCUCACCCUGUGCGGCUGUGCCAAAUAAAAGGAUUCUACAACCAAAAUUACCAAAUCAAUUACAUAUUAAAAAAAUUAAAUUAAAUCCAAAUCUUUAUUAACUAAAAUAAGGAAUUUUUAUCAUUUUAUCCCGCUACCUCUAAAUCCUUUUUUCUUUUCAAUUACGUGAAGGCCAAAAUUAAAUUGCAGUCGGUACUGGACAUAUUGCAUGAGCAGUGACGCGUCAAUGCGACUGAACGAGUAAGAAACUCACGUGGCUUGCAAAAUCUGACGAAUUUUAUCCUUCUGGGCACUGAGGAGGAGGAGAGCCAACGCCCAACAAGUGUGAAUUGAAUUAUAAGAAUUUCAAGGCCCAAAAACAAAAGAGUUUCUAAGGCUUCGUAAUGCAGCUGGGCUAACUUAAUUGCUCCCAAAUAUAAAAAGGUCCAGUCCAUGUAAUUCAUUGAGUCAAGUUCACUAUGCCCAUUAAAAUGAGUUGGAUAGUCUCCUUCUUUUUCUUCUAUAUAUAUAAAGCAAAAGGCAGAGAAUAGUGAAACAUUCAAAAUAUCAGAAAAUGCCUUUGGUUAAUACAAACAUUAAGAAUUAAAAUUAUUAAUUAAAUGAGGAUAAUAUGGUAAAUUCACAAUUUUUCAUAUUAAAAAAAUUAAAAUUAAAAGAAAAUUCAGAUAAUAGAUCCUAUUUUUAUGGAACACAACUAUCCAUUAUCUUUUUUAAUUCUAAAAUAAAUUUAAAUUUAAAAAAAAAAAGCCUCUCGCAGGCGUAGAAGCGCGUACAGAGAGGCUAGUUUUAAUUAUCGAGGAUCUAUUCUUUUCUUUUUGAGUUUUUCGCAGCUAUGGUCUCUGAACUAUACCCGUAAUUACAUUUGGGUCGCUGAACUUAAUUAUUAGUUGCAGAGGUCACUUAACUGUGUGUUUCGUUGCACCGUUAGUCCUUACCGUCAAGUCUUUCUAAUAAAAGGGACUAAUGGUAUAACACAACACCUAAUUGAGUGACCUUUAUAACUAUUUUUUGGAGUUAAGUGACUAAAAUAUAACUCUGAGUAGAGUUGAGGGAUCAUUGCUACAAAUAAUCCUAGCUGAAAAGUCACAUUUGCCCAUCAAUAAUUGGAUAGAUCUUGCCACGUCAUCAUUUUAAACAGAAAAAACUAACGGACUUGACGGAAGGACUAUUGGUGCAACCAAACACAUAGUUGAGUGACCUCUGUAACUAAUAAUUGAGUUCAGCGACCCAAAUGCAGUUACGGGUAUAGUUGAGGGACCAUAGCUGCGAUAAACCCUUUCUUUUUUUGAGGUUUGCUACUAAACCUUUAUGGUUAGGGGACUUACUAACCCGAAGAUAAGGGGCGUAUUUUGUGCGACUUCAUCUACUAAGGAUAAAUGUGAACAUUUCAUACUAUGCCUCAUUUAAGAAGGUUUCAAUCAAACAACCAAUCACUUUAAUGCCUAACUUAAUUACAAACUCACGUUAUUAGACUCGGCUUAUUCUUUUAUUUUUUCAUUUGUCUAACAAGUAGUCGCUUUUUUCUUUAUGAAAAGAUUUUAUUUUUCUUAUAUAUUAUUUUAAUAUAUAAAAAAUGAAGGAAAUUCAAACUUAGAUAUCAGUGAAUAAAUUUAUUAUUUUGAACAACUGACAUCACCACAUAUGCAAUGAAUUUUACUUUUUUAGAAAGAAAGUUGAAAUGAAUAACAUUAGUUAAGAUAUUUAGAUGGUGACAUGAAACAUGAUUGAUGGCCCCUCAAGACUAAAGUUGGGGUGUAUCGUGAGACAAAGGGCGUUGCGGGUUCAUGCACGGGCAACAGGACAAGCUUUGAUUUUGACAUGUAUUUCUCAACUUUGAUCAUAUUUUUCUAUUUUUAUUUAUAGGAUCGAAGCUGUGGCGAAGCAGCACACCCAACUUUCGUGCCAUGAUGAUAUAGCAUACACUUGCGCCAAAUUUGUUAUCUACCGGAUUAGGUUGGCGUGGGCAGCAAUCAUAUAAUAAUAUAUUUAUAUGGACCACCAGAUCAUCUUCCAGCUGGAAAAAAACAACAAAAAUCAUUGAACGGCUAGGAUCGUUUCCCAAAAGAAAAAAGGUUUAUAAUCUUUAUCUGUGAUGUCACAUGUAUCUGCUUAGAGACGCAUGAACGGGCCAUAUUCCAUUUAUUUAUUAGCAACUUGGAACUUUGCCACUUGCCAGUGGAGGGCUACCUAGAAACCAACCUCAUAAGAUAUUCAUCCAGAUUGGAUAACAACAAACAAUAAUUAAGCACGUUGGUUGGACAUUAUCAUUGUUUAAUCUCAAUCCUUGUUGUUGGAUUUAGGGGUGAAUUGUUAGCAUCAAGAUCUAUUUAUUUCUUGCACGCUUUAGCCAAGCUCUUAAUUAAUUAAGGAAAAAUAUACAAAAGAAGAAGAAUUGGGGGUAACGAAAAGAUGGCAUAUUUUUUUAAAAAUUAAUAUAUAUAUAUAAUUUAUGAGAAAUGGAAUUUGAAGUUGGGAUAAAGAGAUGAGUCCACAAUUUUGAUCAAUUAUGAAGACGGAGAUUCGAAGUUGGGACAGGAAGACGAGUUCAUAGCUCUUGACCAACUGAACUAAUCUAUAUAUGCAAAAUUGACCAAAUUUUAAGUGUUUAGGUUUUUAAUUAAACUCUCUCACUGCUAAUUCCUACUAACUUCCUAUAUAGAUCCAAAUUGACUAGUCUAGUCUUGUACACUAGCUAAGCUAGUAUGGUUGAUCAAUUACGUACAACCUCUUUCUUCCUUUCAUAGUCAAAUCAUACUUGUAAUAAUCCUCGUGGUCUUUUCCUCGUCAAUUUCAACUUCUGAGUAUAUGCAACAAGUCUGACUUUUCUUUUCUAGUCACUUGGAAAGUCAGUUAAUUAAUUUGGCGAUGUUUAAGAGCCAUAAUUAAUCAAAGGAAUCAGAGUAAAUUUGAUUUCGAUUCUCUUAAAUGAAGUUUAAUCAACAGAUAAAGAUUGUGAGGAAUUAAUUAACUUGAUAAAGAAAGAAUCCGAAUUCGAAUCUGGCCCAGUAUAUACAUACAACUCAGAAACCUACAACGGUAACUAGCGUCCAAAAAUAUUAAUGCCAAACCCGGCGACCCGACUCCUAAUUACAGGCGGAUCCACUCGCACGGAUAUUCGACACUGGACAAUUGAACAACCCACCAUCAAGAAACGGAUACACUCGGAUCUUUACAGACGAACGGGUGGGUCAAAAGCUGAGCGGCCGUCCACCGUUUUCCGGACUCCUUCUGCAAGCAACACUCCAUGAAACUCCUGAACUCCUCCGACACCCCAUCGGGCAAGCUCGGCGGCUCUCCGAAACAUAUGGCGCACAUAAGGGUGGCCCAGUCGGGUCUCUGACCCGGAGGCAAGAACGGAAAGUGACCCAUGUAAAGCUCCAUCAGGGUCAGCCCCAGGCUCCAUAUAUCACUGGCGUAGCCGUUGUAAUUGCCACCGUAAGUGUCCGGGUCGAAUCUUUCCGGGCUCAUGUAAGCGCAAGUACCCACGUAGGAAUUGCAGGCGUCCAAGGUCCGGCACAUGAUCUUGCUCACGCCAAAGUCGGCGAUCUUCACUUCCAUGUUGCUGUUGACCAAAAGAUUGGUGGGUUUAAUGUCGCGGUGGAUGAUCUUGUGGGUGUGGAGGUAGUUGAGGCCGUUGAGAACUUGGCGGGCGACGUGGGCAAGCUUUGGCUCGGAGAAGGUGCCGUGGGCUUUAAGCAAGGUCUCGAGGGUGCCGGAGUCCAUGUACUCCAUGACGAUCCCGAUAUCUCCCGACGGCUUCUCAAAGAUUGCGUGGCAGCGGACGACGUAGGGAGAGUCCGUGCGGCGGAGGAUCUCCAUCUCGCGGAAGAUCUGACGGCGGACGGUGGGGUCGGAGUCGCCGUAGACGAGUUUGAGAGCGUAAGUGGUGGAAGUGCGCUUGUGGCGUACCUUGUAGACGGUGCCGCCGUUACCGUGGCCGAGGACUUGGAGUGUGUCGAGAUCGGCGGCGGAGAUAGCGGCGGAGGAAGAGUUGUUUGUGAGGGCGGUGGUGGCGGCGGCUGUGGGAGGAAGAGGAAGGGCGAAACGUGGGCGGCACUCGGAGGGUUCGGGCAAGGGUAGGCGGAGAUUAAGCUGUCGGCGUUCUCGUAUGAGAGCCAUUUGUUUUGGGGGUUUGUGGGUGGUGUUGGUGUGGAGUCGAGUACUUAUUUUUGUAUUCCUUUUUCCUUAUAUAAGUAAGGAGUGAGAAAAAAAGCACGUGCGGACCAAAGCAGCCGGCGUAGGAGGCUUCAUGGAUAGAGAGGAAGGAUAUGGGGUCCAAUUUUUUAAUAUUUUUAUUUUGUUUUAUAAGAGGAUGUGGGCUCCACUGUUGUAUAUACAAUUAUAGAUCUUUUAGGGGUGGAUAGGUGUGGUGUCCAAUUUUUUAGUGCUACUUGCUUAUGUGAGUUUAUCCACACGUGAUUUAAAGAGCAAGUGGCUAGCCUGCCACCUCAUUUUAAAACAAACCAAGCAACGAACCACUCAUUAAAAAAAAUAUAUAUUUAAAAAAAAAGACAAGCUAAUUCUUAAUUUGGUAUAUUUAUCUUCCCAAAUAGAAAAUUAGAUUCGUGUCAAUGGCUACAGGCGAACUUUAAAACAAACAAAUACAAUCCACCAACCAUAGCUAUGGGUCAGAAGAACUAUGAAGUUAGGUACGUUUUGAAGACUAUUCGUCAUGUACAGCGCCAAAUCACCCUCUAUGAUAUCAAGAUUCCAAUAUGCGUGAAUAAAUUAUUAACAGAUCACUCUCUUUUAUAACGAUUGAGUCACGUGGUUAAUAAUAAAAUUAAAAAUGGAGCUCAAUUAAAUUAAUUUUGUUUAGGGUUAGGAAAUUUGAGAGCUGAUGUGGAUCAUGGAUACAUUGAGUUUGUUUAGGUUAAAUAAAAAUUAGUUUGUUGUAAGAUUAGGAAGUUGGCUGUACAUUGAACUUGGUUUAAUCAAUGUACCUGAGGUGGCGCUGUGCUGUGCCCCUAUGUCUUAAUCAAUGUCCUUGUUGCGUCUCUUAAUUUUUAAUAUAAAAAAUCAGUUAUUUUUUCGUUUGUUUGUUUGAUUUGAUGUUUCAAUUUUGUUGGUAUUACUUAUAAAAUUGUAAGAUUAUAAGUACACGCACAUAACAUAUUUGAUAUGAGCAAUUAAAACAAUUAAAAUAACAUGAGUAAGUAUAUAUCCAAACGUGAAUUUCAAUUUAAAACGUUAUAAACGUAAUAGAUUAUUAUCCAUCACAUAAUCACAUUGGUGGAUUGAUGGCGAGACAAGAAUGGCUAUUCUAUUCUAUUGUAUUUAUAUAUAAAAAAAAAGAUUCCAAAUUUGCUAUUAUCAUCUAAAAUAUUGAUGACAAUAUUCAGUGCAUGAAAGCAACGUCAUCAUCAACAAUAAUAAUAUCAUGCCUGACAGUAGCGAGCUCAGAAGCCCCCCACCCCCCACCCCCCUCUCUCUCUAUAAGGAGCAAGUUGCACGUAACAUCAGCAGCAGUCCAUGAAAAAGUUUGAUUUAUUUAUUUGGUAAAUAACUCUGUGAGUUGUUGCUUGCUUCGCCCUCUACUUCCCUAUCAAUGUUUGGCGGUCCCAAAUUGUAUUCAGUGGCGCCCCGGCACUUGGACUGCUUAUGUCAAUUAAGUCCACAUCGUCAUUGUCUUCUUUUAUUGGUUCAGAAUAACUAUGUAAAGCCCAAAGGGUCAAGUAUGUUUUGAUUACUAAAGCCCAAACGCUUAACACCCAAAAUGUAGAGUAGACGGGAGGCCUGAGGAGGCCAACCAAACUGAAAAGAUAAGAUAGGCCCAAACUUAUUUGCAGGUAGGUUGGUUAUUAUUAGGAUUUGGAACAGAAACGUGUGAUUUGUUUGAGUUUGGUGAAUGAAUUGGGAAGCUCUGUAACUAGUAAGUUAGUAAUAGUAACUAUAACCUGAUGAUGAUUAAGUUAGUUAUCCAUUCACAGUUAUAAAAGUUUGAAGAAACACAAGACAAGACUAUUUAUAGAUAGGCAAGAUUAGUUUCUAGUUAUUCUAGGUUGUAACUUCACGUUUCUAGUUAGCAUCUUGUUACUGAGAGGUUUAAUUAGGGUGAGCUCAUGAUUAGUGUAUAUGUAUUAUCCCCAACACAACAGUAAUCUCUCUGGAGUUUUCUCAGAAUAUUAUUAAAAGCAAAACAAGGAAAAAGGUAAAAGGUAAAAGAUCUCCUCUUCUGCAGUUUUUCUUCAAAAUCUAGAUUGCGUUAGGUGGUGUCCCAUCCUCCGUCUGAAUAAAAGGUCAGUAUAAAUUCCAUGUCCACUCCCCUCCAUUGCAAGUUGUAUAUGCAUUCUUUUUCAUUAUGAUCAGAUCGAUAUGUCUUCAACUUUAAUUUGCAAGCAUCUUACUUACACAUGUACAAACAAAAAAUCACCACGCAUAGAUGCAGCAGAUAAUUGGACGGGGAAGAUUAAUUGGAUGUUCUAAAACAUUUGGAUACCUUAAACAUUGCCUGAGUGAACCGAAUUCAACCAAGGGAAGCUUUUCUUAUCUAAAAAGUACCAUUGCCUGGAUUCUUUUUGUCACCACAAAUUAAGUUACUGUUUUUGCAUUAAUUCCGAUAGUAUAUACAGCACUGGCAUUAAUUACAUGUUGGCCCUCCCUCCUUUCACUUUCUUCUCUUUCUUGACACAUAUAGAUAUGGCUAGCUAAUAAAGUAUAGGUGUUGGACAGGACAUUAUAUUAUUGGUUUCAUUUGAAAAAUUGAGAGAGAGAGAGAGAGAGAGAGAGGGAGAGGGAGGGGUGAAAAAUGCAUGGAGCUGAGAGAAGAAGAUCAACAUCCUCAGGAGGAGGAGGUGAUCAUCAUCAUCAGGAUAAUCAUGAUGAUGAGUAUGAUGAAGAUGGAGAGUCGCCGUUUGAGGUUGAGGAUGAGGUGGAGCUUUCAACAACACCCUGGUGGUGGUGGUGGAAAAGGCGUUUCACUUUCAGCAAUACCGACUCCAGUCUUACAACUACUGGUUCUAGAUCAUCUGCUGCAUCUUCCUUUUUCGAUCGUCUCGUCAUUCAUCCUGAUAACUGGUAUGUAUGGUACUUUCAAUUUCUGUCUAUUAGCUGGUUUAAAUUUCUGCGCAUGAAACACCAUGGUCCAUGGUGUUGUCCUUUGCCUCGGAUGCAGCCAUAAUUCUAAAAUGUGGUCUACAAUUAAUCCUGAGAAACCUACUUAUUUUAUCAUUACGAAAUUAAGUAUUAUUAUAUAUUCUACAUACGAGAGGAGUGGUGGUGUAAAUUUGAGCAAAUUGAACAUAAGAUUUUGGGUGCAUAGUCAACGUUUUUAGUCAUUUGAACUACAAAUUUUUUGCAUGUAAUUCACCUUAUUAGAACACAAAAAUCUCCAUUUUAUUCAUGAAUGAUAUACUUAGUAUAAUCUUUGUAAACAUUAACAUUUUGUUGUAAACAAUGUAACGACAAUACUACUCUCUUGAAAUUUGUAGGCCAAAAUAGAAACCUUUCACUAUAAUAUUUUGUUCUCUCUCUAUCUUCAUACAUUUGGGUGAAAGAGAGAAAAGGUGAAAUCACGGAAUUCAUGACUUUCUAUAGAACUUACAAGAAAUACUUUUUGAUGCACAUAAGGGAGAGAGAGAAAAAAGAAAACACAAAAGGCAAAAAGGAACUUUAAGUUGGGCCGGUUCAGUUCAGGUCCAAAGUUGUAGUACGUAUAGUCCAAAAUUGGGCUUGGGAGUUAUAUUUUAGGAUAAAGAAGUAAGGAUAGGGCCCACUUCAUAUUUUGGCGCGAAUACAAGCUCGUCCGCUCCAGGCUACCUUCAGGCCUCUGUGUACGGUUGUGAUGUGUGGUUUAAAUGAGGCAAAAACUGUGUAGGUCAAGUGAAGAAGUUGUUAAUGGUGGAAUUGGAAAUGCAGGUGGUACGUGGCGUGGACGCAUUUCAUUCUAAUAUGGGCAGUCUACUCGUCCUUCUUCACCCCCUUGGAGUUCGGCUUCUUCAGAGGUCUGCCGGAGAAUCUCUUCCUGCUCGACAUCGCAGGCCAGCUCGCCUUUCUCAUCGACAUCGUCGUCCGCUUCUUCGUCGCCUACCGCGACUUCCACUCCCACCGACUUGUCUACAAUCGCAACCUCAUCGCCCUCCGCUACCUAAAGUCUCGCUUCCUCCUCGAUUUACUGGGUUGUCUGCCUUGGGACGCCAUCUACAAGGUAAGCUAGGGCUACAAUUAAUUAACUUCAAUUUCAAAUAUUAAUUUAAUUUAAUAAAUGAUAUCUGAUCUUAAUUGCAUUGCAUUGCAGGCUUCUGGAAAAGAAGAGGGUGUGAGGUACCUGUUGUGGAUACGUCUGAGCCGAGCAUGCCGAGUGACAGAGUUUUUUGAGAAGCUUGAGAAAGAUAUAAGGAUCAACUACCUUUUCACAAGAAUUGCCAAGCUUUUUGUUGUGGAACUUUACAGCACACAUACAGCUGCCUGCUUCUUUUAUUAUCUGGCCACAACCAUGCCUCCCUCCCAGGAGGGAUACACUUGGAUUGGAAGCUUGAAGAUGGGUGACUAUAGCUAUUCCCAUUUCCGAGAGAUUGACCUCUGGAAGCGUUACAUCACCUCACUCUAUUUUGCCGUUGUUACCAUGGCCACUGUUGGUAAUUAAUCAAUUAAUUAAGCUUCUUAAUUCGUUUCUUAUUAUGUAUCCCUGAUUUAUUUUCAAGAUGGGUCAUAAAUGAGUAUGCUUUUUCCUUUUUUGUUUUCCAGGAUAUGGAGAGAUACAUGCAGUGAAUGUGAGGGAGAUGAUAUUCAUCAUGUUUUAUGUGUCUUUUGACAUGAUUCUUGGUGCUUAUCUGCUGGGUAACAUCGCUGCAUUGAUUGUGAAAGGAUCGAAAACAGAAAAGUUUAGGGACAAGAUGACUGAACUAAUCAAAUACAUGAACAAAAACAGGCUUGACAGGGGCAUAAGUAAGGAAAUUAAAAACCAUUUGAGGUUACAGUAUGACCGUAGCUACACCGAAGCCACUGUUCUUCAGGACAUUCCAGCCUCUAUUCGCAGCAAGGUAGUUGUUUAAAUUGAGGCUGAAAACUAUGGAUUCCGAAUUUAAUCAAAUAAUCUCUUUCUUAUUCUUGGUUUAAGAGAACAAGCUUGUUGAAUGGUUUUGCUUCAUUUGGUGAACUAUGAAAACAAGAAUGUCAUCUUAGAUGUUCACCUUCUAUCGUCUUGUCUUUAAAGUAUUAAUAUAAAGAUAACCAACAUAUGAGUUUACUGGUGGCCAAGUAGUAUACACUAUACAGUUAGGAUCUUAAUUUUGAUUGGCAUACUGCUGAUUGUGAAACUGUACUAAAAUCUAUUGUUUCUUCUUUGCAGAUUUCGCAGAAAUUAUAUGAGCCGUACAUCAAAGAAGUUCCUCUGUUUAAGGGGUGCUCUUUAGGCUUCAUAAAGCAGAUUGUAAGUCAUUGUCUUCGGUAACUUUAUCCUAUCUGACGAGCAACAUACUGUCAUCGUUGGAUAUUUUCAUCACCUUUGAUUAUUCAUAACAUAAAUGUUAACAAUUCUAAACUUCAAUUCUUUUACAGUACAGGAAUCUAACCUAUGUUUCUGGUUUUAUCAGGCAACCAGAAUUCACGAAGAGUUUUUCCUUCCACCAGAAGUUAUUAUAGAGCAGGGGCAAGCAGUUGAUCAACUAUACAUAGUAUGCCAUGGUGAGCUGGUAUGAAUUACAAAUUUAAUUGUUUAGUCCCAUUAUGUCUAUACCUUUAUUCUGUUUUUAAUGCAUUUGCAGUACUGUGUUAUUUGUUCUCAAACAUAAUAAAGUCACUCUGUCCAAAAUUAAUUGUAUCAGUUUCUCAAACAUUGAUCUUUGUGCUGCUCUUAGUAUAACACAUAACCUGAACUCAUAUGAAUAAUAAUAUGUUAUCAUGCAUUCAUUUGCAGGCUGAACUCAAACCCUUCUGGUUGGGCUGGCUGCUACCUUUUGGUUAUAUAUAAUAAAGCAAGCCCACACAAACAUAAAACUAGGAGCUUUGUAGCAUACAUGCAAGGCUACGCAGCUGCAUGCACACAUGACCCACCCUUCUCUGUUUUCCUAUAUUCAUUCUUUUAUGUUUACAUUUAUAUAUUCAUUCAUUGACCCUUUAGUAAAGGGUAAAAUAAUAGUUACUCUACGUAGUCUAUGCUUACCACAAUAUGUAUUUUUGAAUUAUUAUGUCUAAUAGAUCUGAUAUUGUCUACAGGAGAAGUUGGGAAGGGAUGAAGAUAAUGAAACUGAAGAGCUCCUUGAGCGUCUGCAAACCUAUAGCUCAUUUGGUGAGGUUUCCUUUCUUUGUAACACUCCCCAGCCGUAUGCUGUUCGGGUUCGUCAACUGUGCAGGGUCUUGCGACUUGAUAAACAAUCCUUUAGAGAAAUCUUGGAGAUGCAUUUUUUAGAUGGGCGCAUUAUCCUAAACAACCUCAUUGAGGUAAUAGACUUGGAAAUUUUUGUAUUCUUCUUUUUCUUGCUUCCACCCACAAGAGAUGCUGAGUUGUGCCCAUGCACUUUGCAAAUGAAAAAAAUUAAUUCCAUAAGCUCACUUCUCAACUUACAGGGAAAAGAUUUGAAUACCCGGAACAAGCUUUUGGAAUCAGAUAUCAUACUAUAUAUUGGAAAGCAUGAAAUGGAGUUAAUUAUGAAAGUAAAUUGUGCUGCCUAUGAUGGAGAUUACUAUCGAGUAAAGCGUUUGAUUGGAGCAGGAGCAGAUCCAAACAAGACGGAUUAUGAUGGAAGGUCGCCUUUGGUAUGAAUCUAGAUGCCCAAGCUACUAAUUGAUAUUUAUAAAUUAGAACAAUGGUGCCAGAAUAACAUAAAUAACUUCUCUUUGAUGACACCCCUGCUCAUAUGUAUGUGUGUGGUUUACUUCAUCUUUAUUUAUUUCCCGCAGCUUGUUGCAGCAUCGAAAGGGUAUGAAGAUAUUAUUGGUUUCCUUAUUGAUCAAGGAGCAAAUGCUGAGAUUUCAGGUGAUCUUCUAACGAGCUCUGCUAAAAAAUUCAACUGGAUCAUGUAUUUUCUGAAGAAAUCUUACUAGUUACUACUACUAUUGUUGAUUAACCCUGAUUGUUACUGUAAUAUUAGAUAAAUUUGGGAACACUCCGUUGCUUGAAGCCAUUAAAAAUGGGCACGAUCAAGUAGCUUCUUUACUUGUUAAGGCAGGGGCGUCGCUUACUAUUGAUGACGCUGGUGAAUUUCUCUGUAUUACGGUAGCAAGGAGGAGUUUGAACCUUCUGAAAAGGCUCUUAGCCAAUGACAUUAACCCAAAUGCAAAAAAUUAUGAUCAGCGAACAGCACUUCAUGUAGCUGCUUCAGAAGGCUUAUAUCCUAUGGCAGAGUUCCUUUUAGAAGCGGGAUCAAGUGUUCUAUCAAAAGACAGGUACAAUCUGAAUGUUCAUCUGGUUUGUGAGGCAUGGAUGACUGACCUUAUGGUCUUCUUGAGACUACUGUUUAAAUAUCAGCCCAAUUGUGUAUACCUAAAAUUAACAUGAUUACUGCCUUCUUUCUGCAACCAACAUGUUUAAAACCAUUUAAUAGGCGAAUUUAGCUCCUUAAAAAAAAGUAAUUCCAACAUGCACAUUUAUACUUUCUAAUUAGUCUACGUCCUGAUUGCAGAUGGGGAAGAACUCCACUUGAUGAAGCCCGUAUAGGUGGAAAUAAGAAACUAAUCAAACUGCUUGAAGUUGCUAGAGCUUCGCAGUUGUAAGAGUUCUCUAAUCAAUAUCAUCAAGAAACUAACUAAGCAUUUCUCUGAUCAAUGUGUAUUAUCAGUAACGCAUUUAUACUUGAUUAAAUGAUGAAGUGUUAUAGGAAGUGGAACAAAAGUUCUAAGAUGUUGAUAUAUGUGUUGAGAAUUUUUGUUAGAAUCUUUAAUUACCCUUUCGAUUUUCUAAUCUGCGUAGCGUGGAAUUGAUGGAUUAAACUAUUAUUUUUUAUCUGGCUUGGCAAUCCUCACUUGUCUUAUAAAAAUCAAGGACCCGAGUGAUUAAUUAAUUAAAGCUCUUAAAUAUGGAAGUAAUGCAUGAAUGCAUCAAGUUAUCUGGAUCGGAAUAGUAAAACGAAAGAAGCACAACUUUUAUUCCCACAGAUGGUCUUAGUAGCUGGCUAUAGGUUACAUAAAUGCAUGGAUGCAUGAGCAGCAGCUGGAUGCAUAUUAUUGAAACCCAAAUCACAAGAAGAAAACUUAAGAAAAUGCCACUUUCGCAGGGAAAGCGAUUGCAUUUAGCGUAUGCAUUAUGCCUUUUUAACCCAUAGGUGACCCUGAUGGGACGAGUGAAGUUUCGUGAGGGUUUAUCAUGCAGGCUUUUCUUCUUUCUUGUGCUUAAGUUAUAGAAACUGACACCAGUGUAAAUACCACCUUCCUUGGGCCUCUAGGGUAACUGUAGGGAGGGCUGCAUUCAGACAACUUUUCUUGGCAUCAGUCAACCUCUUGCAGAAAUUGUUGUUGCCCAGGUUGCGAAGAGCUACAACGACAUUGACGUCGUUGAUGUUUGUCUGAGUUUUUGUUGGCGGUGUCGUUUGAGUCAGCCGAAAUCCAGUUGUUAAUACUAUUAUCAGGGCUAGUGUUACGCCUCCGGAAGUUUUGAGUGUGAGUGGACUUUAUGCGAACACUGUGAUCUCCGGCAAUGAAGACCUCGUUUUCCACCUUCGGAUCAGUAGGAUCAGUGGCUGAGAACUGCAAAUAUGGGUGUCCAUCCAUGGAUUGAGAUAGUUGCCAUUGUCGCCUUUGAAGGCUAUAUGCUUGGGCAAAAUCACCAAAGCUUCCCAGUCGAUGACCGUGUAGACAUCAAAGUUUUGGCUGUCUGGAGUUGCUUUCCUUGCAAAGAGGCAUGCCUGGAAGUUGUUUGCGGAGAAUAGAUCUAAAUAGUGACAGAGUUGCACAAGGCGCAAUCAGAUUAGGGCGAUGCUGCCGCUGCUGUUGUUGUCUGCUUGGAGUUGAAAAAGCUCAGGCUCGAAGAGCGUACAUGACCAAUGGGAUUGAUCUUCCUGUGGCUCUCGUCAGCCUCGGCCACAAUCUACCAAUGGUUUUGGUCCGCAUUGCUCUUGCUGCCAAUCCCAUCUUUCACGCACUCACGAAGCAUAUUGAAAUCGAUUAUCACUUCAUUCGUGACUUGUUUCCUUCCAAAGCAAUUUAUCCAACAUUUUCCCUCUCAACAGCAACUUGCGGACAUCUUCACCAAGGGUCUCUGCACAAACCAGUUUCUCAUUCUCAGCUCCAAGCUAAUCACUCGUCAUCCUCCUAUUCGCUUGCGGGGGUUGGGGGUGUUCGCUUGCCGGGGGACAUAGAGCUGACCUCAUAAUAUCAAGACCUCAAUAUUUCUAAGGAAAACGGCUGACUCAAUAUCAAUCCUACACUUGUCCAUAUUCUUUGUAACCAACUUUAGCUCUAAAGAAAUCUACGGAAUAUAUCAAUAUACUAGGAAAUACUGUACUCAUUUGACAUAGAGUGGAAACAGAGAAAAUAUACUUAAAUGAUUAUUUUUCUUUCUUCUCAUAUUUCCAUUAUACAAAGUAAAAAAUUAACUAUAAUUAUGUAUAUGGACACGUGCUAUGUUGCAUGGAUACGAACGCGGGGACAUAAAAUGCAUCUUCAAGACAUUCCAGCCUCUAUUCGUAGCAAGCUAGUUGUUUAAAUUCCAGCUGAAAACUAUUGUGAAACUGUACUAAAAUCUUAUUGUUUCUUCUGUGCGGAUUUCACAGAAAUUAUAUAAACCAUACAUCAAAGAAGUUCCUUUGUUGAAGGGGUGCUCUUUAGGCUUCAUAGGCAGAUUGUAAGCCAUUGUCUUCGGUAAUUUUAUCUGAUCUGAUUAACAAAAUAGAAAAUUUGGGAUAAAAUUUAGAACAUAAGUUGAAUUUAAUCCUCUUGCAGAAAUUGUUGUUGCCCAGGUUGCGAAGAGCUACAACGACAUUGACGUCGUUGGUGUUUGUCUGAGUUUUUGUUGGCGGUGUCGUUUGAGUCAGCCGAAAUCCAGUUAUUAAUACUAUUUAUCAGGGCGCGCAGAGCUGACCUCAUAAUAUGAAGACCUCAAUAUUUCUAAGGAAAACGGCUGACUCAAUAUCAGUCCUACACUUGUCCAUAUUCUUUGUAACCAACUUUAGCUCUAAAGAAAUCUACGGAAUAUAUCAAUAUAAUAGGAAAUACUGUACUCAUUUGGCAUAUAGUGGAAACAGAGAAAAUAUACUCAAGUGAUUAUUUUUCUUUCUUCUUUUUAUUCCUUCCUUUAAUUUUCUUCUAGCAUUUUCAGAUUCUAUAUAUAAGUUUCUAGUGAGUAUUUUCCUCUCCACUUUAACCCAAUGUGCAUCUUCACUAGUACUAUACUUCUUCACACUUGACACGUGUUCAUAUGCAUAACCAUGGUUCCAUCAUACAAAGUAAAAAGUUAAUCAUAAUUAUACAUAUAGACACGUGCUAUAUUGCAUGUCCCCGGACGCGUCUUCAAGACAUUUCAGCCUCUAUUCGCAGCAAGCUAGUUGUUUAAAUUUCGGCUGAAAACUAUUGUGAAACUGUAUUAAAAUCUUAUUGUUUGUUCUUUGCAAAUUUCCCAGAAAUUAUAUGAGCCGUACAUCAUAGAAGUUGCUUUGUUUAAGGGGUGCUCUUUAGGCUUCAUAAAGCAUAUUGUAAGCCAUUGUCUUCAGUAAUUUUAUCUGAUCUGAUUAACAAAAUAGAAAAUUUGGGAUAAAUUCAAAAUUUAGAACAUAAGUUGGGUUUAAUCUUCGCAUUUGUUGCCAUUGAUACAAGUCCUUUGACUUCUCUACCAAAUAGGAUUGCAUUCAUUGUGUAGAAAUUAAUUUAUAGGACCAUAAUUACGAGAUUUUAUUUUGAUUUUAAUAUAGGGAUGUAUAUAGGUUAAUAAAUCCCAUAAUUUGAGGACAAUUUAUUUUGGAAAUACAACAAAAUAACAAUUAUUGUCUUUGUUCAUCCUAUGGUAGAGGUAUAUUGUAUACUCUUGUAGAUAUAUUAUUCAAUGGUGUAGGUAUAUUGUCCUAUUGCCUAUUGCAUAGGUAUAUAUGUGCGUGUGUGUGUGUGUGUUUGUUUUUUUGUGUGCAUAUUUUUGACAAUGUGUAAUAGUAUUUUAUAUACUUUUUUUUUUAUAGGAAACAUACAAUUUUAUUUGUCUAUUUUGUUAUAUGACUUAUAGAUGGUCUUCUAAUUUAUGUUCCUAACUUAUAGGUAGUCUUUUAAUUUAUGUGUCAAACUUAUAGUUAACACGAUUUUUCACUAAGUUUUUUUCGUUGCUAAUAAUAACACUAUUUUUACUUGUAUGUCAUGUACAUAAUUUCAUGUGAGUGCUUGUCUGAUUGAUUGGUAUAAUACGUGGGUCUUUACUUUUCAUUGAUUAAAUUGUAUUUCAUCCAUAAAUUAGGUAAAUAUUAUCAAGGAAAGAAUUCAAAAUUUAAAUUCUGAAAUUCAAUUACAAGGAAAUAAUGCAUUAAAUUUAGAUUUUCAAUGUGUUUUCCUUAUUUAACUCAAAGGGUAAAAUCGACACAACAAAAAAAGUGAUAAAUGUCAAAUGACUUACAUUUAAAACCAAAAACUCAUGGGCUAAAUCUAAUAGUGGCUAAUCGUUUUAGAGCUAGAUCUAAGAAGCCCUUAACAAAAUGAUGACAUCGUUGGAUAAUUUCUUCACCUUUGAUUAUUCAUAAUAUAAAUAUUAACAAUUCUAGACUUCGCUUCUUUUAUAUAUAGUAGAGGAAUUUGAUGUAGAAUAAAUGGUUGAAUGGAUUGAAAAAGAAUUGGAGCGAAAAGGGAAAAAGGGGGCAACAUGAAUUUACAGAUUUAGCGUCCGAUCUCCGAUUGGAUUGCAUAAUAUCUUCUUGAAAAUGGAAUGACGCCAUGAGUCCAACUGACAGCUUUGGGAUAUAUGGUGGAGUUUGGGCUUCUGAGGUCGUUUGUCCUUCCAAAAGUGCAUUUAAAAUUACAUUCAAUUUACAGAUUUUCUGUUUCUUUUUUGUUAAGUUUUCAAUAACUCCCCAUGGCAGUCCAAUGGGUGAGAAGGUUGUAUUUACUCAGCCGUCAUGCUUGAAUUGAUCUCAAGUUUUAUCAAAUAAUACAAAGAGAAUUUCUCUCUGAUUUCCUGGUGAAUUUCAGAUUAUUAUUUUUUAGGAUUUUAGCUUGAAAAUCUAUUUACUUGUGCUGCUUCAGAAUCUAACCUAUGUUUCUGGUUUAUCAGGCAACCAGAAUUAAUUCAUGAGGAGCUUUUCCUUCCAGCAUAAGUGAUUUAUAGAGCAGGGGCAAGCAAUUGAUCAACUAUACAUAGUAUGCCAUGGUGAGCUGGUAUGAGUUACAAUUUUACUUGUUUAGUCCCAUUAUGUGUUAUACCGUUAUUCUGCUUUGCAGUACUGUGUUACGUGUUCUCAAACAUAAUAAAUGUUAAUUUAUUAAGGGCUCGUUUGGUACACAGGACUGUCUUGGCAUGGACUAUGCUUAGGGACUGACUUGGCUUGGCUUAGCUUGGUCUAAGUUGGAUAACACUUAUCCUGCGUUUGGUGUAUGCUUGGACUAGGACUAUGAUUUUUUUAUUUUUUCAAAAAUAUCUAUAUAUAUGUAUAUAUGUAUUUUAUAAUAUAUAUAAUAUAUAUGUAUAUACAUGUAUAUAAGUAUAUUAUAAUAAUAUUAUAUAUUUUAAAUAAUAUAAACGUACAUACAUAUAUAUAAGUGUAUAUAGGUGUAUAUAUGUAUAUUAUAAUAUACAUGGGUAUAAUACAUAUAUACAUAUAUUUAUAUAUAUAUGUAUGUAUAUUAUAAUAUAUAAUAUAUAUAUGGGUAUGUUAUAAUAAUAAUAAUAAUAAUAAUAUACAUGUAUAUAUGUGUAUAUAUGUAUAUUAUAUAUGUAUGUAUAUAUACAUAUAUAUUAUAUAUAUAUUACAAAAUACAUAUGUAUAUAUAAUAUAUGUAUAUAUAUACGUAUAUACAUGUAUAUAAUAUAUGUGUAUAUAGGUGUAUCUAUAUAUUAUAAUAUAUACAUGGGUAUAAUACAUAUACAUAUACAUAUGUAUAUUAUAAUAGAUAAUAUAUAUGGGUAUGUUAUAAUAAUAAUAUACAUGUAUAUACGUGUAUAUAUGUAUAUUAUAAUAUAUAUAUAUAGUAUAAAUAUAUAAUGUAUAUGUCUAUAUACGUGUGUAUAUGUAUAUUAUAAUACAUACAUGGGUAUAAUAUAUACACAUAUAUGUAUAUAUACUUAUAUAUAUGUAUUAUAAUAAUAUAUAUUACAUAUAUACAUGUAUGCUAUUAUUAUAAUAUUAAUAUGCAUGUGUAUAUGGGUAUAUUAUAAUAAUAAUAUACAUGUAUAUAUCUAUAUGUAUUUAUAUAUUAUAUAUGUAUAUAUAUGUGUUUAUAUAUACAUGUAUAUACGUGUAUAUAUGUACAUUAAUAUAUAAUAUAAUAUAUAUUACAUAUAUACAUGUAUACAUGUAUGCUAUUAUUAUAAUAUUACUAUGUAUGUGUAUAUGAGUAUAUUAUAAUAAUAAUAUAUGUGUAUAUAUCUAUAUGUAUUUAUAUAUAUUAUAUAUGUAUAUAUGUGUAUAUAUAUACUUGUAUAUGUGUAUAUACAUGUAUAUAUGUACAUUAUAGUAUAUGUGUAUAUAAUAAUAAUAAUAAUAGUAAUAUAUGUUAUUAGUAUUACAAUAUAAUAUAUGCAUCUCAUACAUUGGUAAACAUAGGACUAGCUAAUCCUCCCUUUCUACAUGGGAUUAGUAGUCCCCUCCUAAGGAGGUGUUUUUGGUGGGCCCGGUAUUAGCAAUCUCAUCUAAGACUAGAAUUAAAUGAAACAAACGUGGUACUAAAUUUAAUCCAAACCAAUCCAAGCCAAGCCUGUGUACCAAACGACCCCUAAAUGUUGUUUCAAUUCAAUUUAGCAUCAAAACAAUUAAAUGUUGGCCAAACAUUCAAAGCAUUAAGCAUGGUAAUAAAUACUCAAGAUGGAAAAAAUACUUGGAAUUAACAUCGACUAAAGUAAUUGAGUAUUCAUGGCUAGGCUACAUCGUAGCCCUAGCAAGAAGAAAUUAGUUCAUGACAACUUUAAUAAAAACCAUGAUAAAUAGUAUCAUAGGAAAGAAGUAACCAAUUGAAGAUUUGAUCUCUGCACGACAGCAACUCUAGCUCCAGGUUGUCUUCUUUGUCUCUCUAAAACUCUCUCAACAAUAGAUGAUGGGUAGAUGAUGGAGGAUGGAUGAUGGGUAAUGGAUCCUUUCAACAAUGACCUAAACUCCCUAUUUAUAAAACUCCUAGAAAUCCUACCUAAGGAAUAAUUACAAUUGUUAUAAAAAUAGGAUUCCUUCUAAAAUAAGGUCUUCUUUAUUUCUUCUUGUUUGACUUGAUAAGACUUGCACCAUCUUGAACUAGGAAAUUUGACAACAUUCCUUGCAACAAAAGGAAUGACUUGGCUUCUUUUUAAUUGAUCUUCAUCUCCUUGCCUUUUUUAGCACAUUUUCUCCUAUUUCACAAUUCCUUCACAAAUCUCACAAAACCAAUUAAAAACAACCAAUUUAAUCUAAAAAAUUAAUAAAUAAAUAAACAAAGGAGGCAUAAAAUAUAUAUAUAUAAAAUAUAGACUUAUCACUAUAUAUAUAUUCUUUACAAAAAUUUAAAGCUCCUUAAAGCCCAUAGAAACCGGUAAAGUCACAGUUUUUUUGACUUUUGAAUAUGGGCAAUACACGAGAAGAUGGACAGUAUUUUGAUAACUCUGUUUAGACUAAAAGCUAAGGACUGUCUAUUAACAAAUAAUUCCAACAUGCAACCUUUUUAAUUAGUCUACUUCCUGAUUGCAGAUGGGGAAGAACUCCACUUAAUGAAGCCCGCAUAGGUGGAAAUAAGAAACUAAUCAAACUGUUUGAAGUUGCUAGAACUUUGUAGUUGUCAGAGUUAUCUAAUCAAUAUCAUCAAGAAAUUAGCUAGCUAAGCAUUUCUCUGAUCAAAAUGAUAAAUUGUCGAUCGGCAAUACAUUUAUCCUUUGAUUAAAUGAUAAAUGUUUAUAAGACUUGGAACAAAAGUUCUGAGAUGUUAUAUGUGUGAAUUUUGUUAGAAUCUUUAAUUCUCUUUUCGAUUUUCUAAUAUGCGUACCUUGGAAAAUAUGAAUUGAACUAUUAUUAUUGUUGAUCUGACUUGGCAAUUCUCAGCGUCAAUUAUUCUUACUAGGCUUGUAAUAAUCAAGGAUCGAGUAAUUAAUUAAUUAAAGCUCUUGAAUCAUGGAAGUAAUGCAUGAAUGCAUCAAGUAAUCCGGAUCAGAAUAGUAAAACCAAAGAAGCACAACUUUUAUUCCCGCAGAUAGUCUUAGCCUAGGUUACAUAAAUUAAUGCAUGAAUGCAUGAGCAGCAGCUGCAUGCAAUAUUAUUGAACCCAAAUCACAACAAAAGGAAAACUUAAGACAAUGCCACUUUCGCAGGGAACGCGAUUGCAUUUAGCGUAUGCAACAAGCCUUUUAAACCUAUAGGUGACCCUGAUAGGACGAGUGAAGUCUCGUGAGGGUUUCCAGUGACGCUACCCACAAACAUCGUAUUAACUUAACAGGAUGAUCAUCCUGGAAGUUUUUCGACAAUGAAGAAAUGUUCAUGGGUGGGGCCUCCAGGUUCUGCAAUGAGGGCAUUUUCGAACUCGUUUCCAGAUUUUGGCUUUAAAAGGUUUCCCAUUUUCUCAUGGUGGAACUUGUAUAUGCCUUCGGUGUACGGUCCUGGUGGUUUCACAACCUCAGGCUUGAAGAGUGUACAUGACCACAGCGUUUUAUUUGGCUGUUUCUCGUCAGCCCCGGCCACAAUCCACGAACUGUCUUGGCUUGCCGUUAUCCAGUAUUUGUCGUUGUAGGUGGAUUUUAUAUGCACCAGACUGGGGAGGUUUACGUCCUUCUCCACUUUGAACCUUGCGUAUUUGCUCUGAACAUCCUCUCCGGAGCAUUGGAGAAUAUCUUGCAUCUUUUCGGUGGCUUGGUCUUUGUAGACCAAGUAUUUACCGCUCGUGAAUGAUUUAAGAGCAAUGAACUUUGGUAAUUCUGCCAUUUCUGAUGAUCUCUCGCUCGCGCUUCAAUUUUUUUUUAUGUAAACUCACUUCUCUCUCUCUCUCUCGUUGCUUAUUGCUUUUCCUAACUCCAACCUGCUGUGCUAUUUAUAAUCAAGCAAACCCAAACCCUGCAUGCAGCUCUGGCUUCUUUUUCUUGCUGUACUGGCCCGCGAUAAGAAAAUUGAAGCCACAAAAAAAAAAAGUCGAGCCAGGUGGCAGUUUUGAAAGGUCAAGUAAUAUUGUUCUUGAUAUAAAACAAACUAAAGCGUGCUCCACGUCUUCAAAUAAAACAAAGUUAAGGCUAGUAAUUAUCGACAUCGAUAUUUUGCGAUAUUAUCGUCGAUAUUGUCAAUAUUUAUACGAUAUGUACAUGGAUAUGUUUCGAAAUAUCCGUGAUUCAAAAAAACCGAAAUAUCCUCGAUAUUUCCUCGAUAUUAUCGAUAUUUCAGACUAUGAUGUGAACUUGAUUAUGUAAUUUCUACUACAUGCACUUAUGGGACAUAACCAUUUAUCAAUUAUAAUAAUGUCACAUAAAAAUUGAAGCCACAAAAAAAAAAAAGUCAAGCCAGGUGGCAGUUUUGAAAGGUCAAGUAAUAAUGUUCUUGAUAUAAAACAAACUAAAGCGUGCUUCACGUCUUCAAAUAAAACAAAGUUAAGCCUAGUAAUCUAUUCUCUGUUGUAAUGUGAACUUGAUUAUGUAAUUUCUACUACAUGCACUUAUGGACAUAACCAUUUAUCAAUUAUAAUAAUGUCAUCGACUAGGACUGAACAGCGACGGCUGAAGGCCCAGCUCAUUCUUAAUCUUAGGCAACACAUGUGCUGGGUUUCAUUUCAUAAAUUCAUAACCAAACCAAGCUAGGUCAUAGAAGGAAGCAAAUUAAGCAAUUGAAAUCCACAUCGGCUGAAAAAAUCUCUCUUGAAAAACCAUAUAAUUGGAGGGUCUGCAAAACUAGACUGUGUGUACGUAGCCAACUUUAUUAAAAUGCCAAUUCAAGUCCUAUGAACACACAUUUCCUUGAAAGUUGCUGGCCAAAUUUUCUUUGUUUUGGUUUUCAAUGAGUUCGAUUUCCUUGAGCAUCACUGAAAAGAUAUUAUAUAUGUGAAAUCUUUUUGUCAGUCUUUGAAUUUACCCAAUGUGGGUGAUCAAUUUUUAUGAUUGCAUUCUAGACUUCUCCUUAGUACAAAACAAAACUACGUGAUUGAUUGAAACGUCAUUAAUUAAUUUAGACAUAUAGGCAUUUGCAUUAAUUCAUUCUAGAUAGUAGAUACACAUCUCCAUAACGCAGAAAGAAUUAGCAUGUCCUUAAUGUGAACUUCGUUAAUAAAUUGAAGAGGAGUUGGAGAACAGUUAGAUGAAUGAAUUAAAGAGGAGUUGGAGAGACGCGGAUGCAAGGGCACACUAAGAAAACUACAGGGUUUAUUUAUAGUUUUAGUGCUAAUAAUGGGUAUAUGACUAAAUAUCUCUAUAAAAAAAAUUAGUGAAUUUAAUCAGAAUGUAAUGACUUAUAGAAUUUUACCUUGGGGCACUUUAAGUCCGUUCCUCCUUAAUAAAGCAUCACUUAAUAGAUUUGAAUUAUGAGCUGAACCCUCCCACCCGCUAAAAACGUAAAUGAAUUCUAAAUCAAAGUUACAAGCUACUGAAACCAUUUAUCAAUUAUAAUUAUGUCAUUAAUUAGGAUUGAACAAUAUGAUUGUAAUGCCAUUUCUAAAGCGUGCUUCACGUCUUCAAAUAAAACAAAGUUAGGCCUAGUAUUUUCUUCUUUAUUGUUUCGGUGCUUAAUGUGAACUUCAUUAUGUAACUUCUAUUACUUGUACUUAAGGGCCAUAGCCAUUUAUCAAAUUAUAAUGAUGUCAUUAAUUAGGAUUGAACAACAAGGUCGUUGAGAUGUUUACAUACUUUAAUUACAGACAUAUGAUAAGUUUAGGAGAGUGAUAUGUAGUUUCAAUUAUUCCUUUCACACAUACCCUAAACUUUAAACCCUAAACCCCUUUCUCUUAAGCAAAAUCUAUCGGUUUUGGGUAAGUUUGAGACACUUGUGGACGAUUGUUUUUAAUUUGGACCCUAUGAAAAUACCUGUAGGAUGUCUAUAUAAAUACCUAGAGAAGGUUAAAUAGGCUAAUUCGAUUUUUGCAAUGAAUAAUAAUCAACUUUUGAAGUAGGAUUGAUAUGAGUUAUCAAUCCUGAAAUGUGCAGAGCUUAAAAUAAAAGAACACACAGAUAUUUAUUUUACGUGGUAAAACCCCACAUCUGGGGAAAAUCCACGGGACUCCUUAGUCCAGAACGAAUCCACUAUAGAAUUGAGAUUACAAGAAGUUCUCACACACACUUAUCCUAGACUCAAUGUUUACCGACUUAUUCAUAAUGUUUACCGACUUAUUCAUAACUCAACUUUUGUCAUGGGAUGAUCUUCGACACUCCUUAUGUUGAACGCAAUAUUGGUCACGAUUGCUUCAAGCUCACCGGAGGAUAAACGCCACAAACGUCUUGAUGCCCUUGACCGUAUGAGCCACUGACAUGCAUAUGUAUGCAAUAUGAAUGAUGAAUGAGUUUGAUAAAUCACCAAGCAACCAGGAGCCCUUGAUGACUUACCGAGAAAAAUAAGUACAGUAGCUUUUCCAAAAAACAGAUUCAAUAUGCUCUCAAAAUCAAUGCGUUGAAAUGCUACACUAUGAAAAGAAGACACCUUGGUUUUAUUCAAAACAGGUUCUCUCAGUCAAGAGAAACCUACUUGACCACCAAUCCAAUUCACGAAAGACUUUCAACCUUAUUCAACUACCACACAACAAAACCUGAUGCAAUAUGGACACUAGUUAAACAUGUCAAACAGGAGACCACUCAUACUGUUCAAGCAUGAAUGUUUCUUUUGAUUCAAUUUACAUGCUAUGUGAUGAUGCCAGCUAAUGCACGAUGUGAGGAAACCUCAUGACUUUCUACUACAGCCAAUCCUUUAAAACAAUAUCUACCUAACAAAUUAAUUAGACCGAUCAAGUAGGAAAUAAUAUCAAGAGAUAAAAUAUAAUCUUAUUGAAAAUAGGAUUAACAUAAAAAUACUUGAGUGAAAAUAAUUUCAAUUAGGAGUCCUAUAAUGAAUGCAUGAUUAUGUUAUGAUUUACCUGUUGUCAAGUUUCUCAUAUGGUCAGGUCAUGCCUCGGAAGUAUAGGGUUGAGAGAGUUGUGCCAAAGCGUCCAGUAACAAUUCCUCACAAACUAAUUUUCAACUUAUGCUAAAGUCUAGGAAAUGCCAAUACGAUUUUCGUACUAACACCCUACAAACAAAUAAAUUAAAGAAAAAAAAGUAAAAGAAGAAAAGAAUAUAAAUUCAUAUAUCUCAAUUUCUUGUGUGAAGCUUUUAAAUUCAUUUCAAAACUAAAAUUAAAAUUUAUUUGUUUUGGUUUUCAAUAAGAUUAAGUUGGAUUUCCUAAAGCAUCAUCACUGAUCUGAUGGCAUCAGAUAAGUCUUUGAAUUACCUAAUGUGAUUGAUUGAUUGGAAUGUAUCCUUAAUACUAAAAAAAAACCAUGUGAUCGACACGUCAUUGAGCACUUCCACUCUAUCGGCAAGGGCAAGGCAAGAGCAAGAGUUUAGGAUAAGAUUUUUAGUUGCCACUUGUCCAUAUUUAUUAUAACAUUCACAUCUCAAAUUUCAUAUAAAAUUUUCGAAUAAGAUUUUCGAUUGCCACGUAUCCAUAUUUAUUAUAAAAUUCACAUUUCACUCAUCAUACAAUUGAAAUACUUGUUCACUCAUCAUACAAUUGAAGAUAUCAAGAAAUUUCGAAAAUUGGGCAUCCACUUUGUUUUUUCGAAGACGUUGAGGGAACGGAAUUGGCGGUACAUAUGGCUUUACAAGGGCAGCAGGUUGAGAUAAUUUCUCUACAGUAGCAGGUUCAAUUUCUGGAGAAAUUUCAUCAAGUUGUGCAGUAGUUCCAGCAGUAAUAGACGACGACGACGGCACGUUAGUAAUUUCUGAUGUCUCUGCAGUUUGUUGAUGGAUAUUCUUUUCUUCAUCCAAGUCUACUGCUGUUUUUAUUGGCCUCCCAUUCCAAAGAGUUAUCGCCCUCGCAUGUUCUUGGUUUUUCGGAUUAUUCUCUGUUUGGCUUGGCAAAGCUCCAUUUACUCUUCCUGUCAAUACAUUAGCUAGCUGGCCCAUCUGAACCUCCAAGUUUCGAAUAGAGGCAGCUUGGUUCUGAAGGGUCGUCUCGGUUUUGCUCAUAAAUUGAUUUGUAUUGACAGAGAGAGUGUUGACAUUUCCAGCAAGUUGAGUAAUUAUAUCCUCCAAUCCAUGCUUCUUUUCUUGAGGUGUGAAAUCAGGUGGAGGUCCCUGUACAUUUUGGUUAUUACUCCAUGGAAAAUUCGGAUGGUUCUUCCAUCCUGGGUUAUAAGUGUUGGAGUAAGGAUUAUUCCGUUGUCGAUUAAAAUUAGAGACUUGGUUCACUUGUUCAGAUGGUGAUGUGAAUGGACUAGCUCCACACUCAUUGCCAUGAUGAGGUCCUGCACAAAAUUCACAACUUAAAUUAGUAUACUGAAUAGCAUUAACAUUUAUAGUACCAAGUUGUUUAGACAUAGUAGAAAUUUGCGCAGUUAACGCAGAUAUGGCGUCAAUCUCAUGAAUUCCAGCUUUCUUUGGUGUUGAUCUCUCACUAGGCCAUUGAUAGUUAUUUGACGCCAUCUCUUCCAGCAAGUUAUACGCUUUAGUUUCUGUUUUUCCCAUCAAAGCUCCUCCGGCUGCAGCAUCAAUUGUUGUUUUGCUUGUAUUGUUCAAACCAUUGUAGAACGCUUGAACUUGCAUCCAAGUAGGUAGGGCAUGAUGUGGGCACUUCCUUAGCAUAUCCUUGUAUCUGUCCCAUGCUUCAUAAAAAGGUUCCAUGUCAUUCUGAGCAAAUGACAUGAUGUCAUUUCUGAGUUUCGCAGUCUUUGCAGGAGGAAAGAAUUUAGCUAAAAAUUUCUUGGCCAAGUCGUCCCAUGUAGUAAUCGAAUUAGGUGGUUGAGAAUUCAACCAUGACUUUGCCUUUUCCUUUAAUGAGAAAGGAAAAAGCCUUAAGCGAACAGCAUCAUUGGUAGCUCCAUUGCGCUUAAAUGUGUCACAUAUCUCCAAGAAAUUAGAGAUAUGCCUAUUAGGGUCUUCUUGAGGUAAACCACAAAAGAUGGAGGAUUGUUGAAUCAUUGAAAUUAUGGCUGGUCUGAUUUUAAAAUUAUUGGCAUCAAUGGUUGGACGACGAAUGCUCGAUGGUGAUGCCACCACAGAUGGGACAUCAUAGUCCCUUACUGGUUUUGCUUCCACAGCCAUAGGUGAUGGCUUUUCCAAUAUUGCGUCCUUGCCCCUUUUGAGUUUGUUAAGCUUGUGAAGUGUUCGCUCGAUCUCUAGAUCUAAUGGUACAAGCACAAGACUCUGCGAACGUCUCCCAAAACUCAUGCACUAGGUGAAGUACCUAAAAAAACAAAAAACAAAAUUCAAAUUAAAAUUCAAAUCAAUCUAUAUCGAUAUUAAUAAAAUUUAAAACACUCUCCGACGGCGGCGCCAAAAACUUGUUGUGAUAUUUAUUGCAAGCGCACAAUUCGCACAAGUAAUAUAGUGAUGAGUGAAGUGUCGUUCCCACGAAGAGUGAUUUAAUUUAACAAGUACCGAUUGUGAUUAACCCAAGACUUUAUUUGAACAAUUGAUGAUGAGAUUUGAUUGAUUAAUUAACUAAAACAAUGAAUAAAAACAAGCGUAGAAAAAUAAAGUAGUGAGAUUCAAGUUAUGAGAGCACUAGAGCUUCCGAUUUCACCAUAGCCAAUUCUACCCAAUUCCUUUAGCAUGUUAAUCCUAAUUAUUCUCUAUGUUGACAGUUGAUUUUCCCUACUUUAUUCGAUACUCCAUCCCUGGUUAUACCAAAAGUAUUCUUAUUACCAACCCACUCUAUCCCUAGUAAUGGAAUUAAGAUAAUAAGAACCCAUUAAAUUCCUUGGAAAACCUACAAAACAACCACAUAAGUCAUGACAAACAUCUCUGUCUAAUCAUGUAACUCAUGACAUCUAUUACAAGAAGCAACCCCAAAUUGGAUAUUCCUAUUUUCAAUUUAGCAUCAAAACAAUUAAAUGUUGGCCAAACAUUCAAAGCAUUAAGCAUGGUAAUAAAUACUCAACAUGGAAAAAAUACUUGGAAUUAACAUCGACUAAAGUAAUUGAGCAUUCAUGGCUAGGCUACAUCGUAGCCCUAGCAAGAAGAAAUUAGUUCAUGACAACUUUAAUAAAAACCAUGAUAAAUAGUAUCAUAGGAAAGAAGUAACCAAUUGAAGAUUUGAUCUCUGCACGACAGCAACUCUAGCUCCAGGUUGUCUUCUUUGUCUCUCUAAAACUCUCUCAACAAUAGAUGAUGGGUAGAUGAUGGAGGAUGGAUGAUGGGUAAUGGAUCCUUUCAACAAUGACCUAAACUCCCUAUUUAUAAAACUCCUAGAAAUCCUACCUAAAGAAUAAUUACAAUUGUUAUAAAAAUAGGAUUCCUUCUAAAAUAAGGUCUUCUUUAUUUCUCCUUGUUUAACUUGAUAAGACUUGCACCAUCUUGAACUAGGAAAUUUGACAACAUUCCUUGCAACAAAAGGAAUGACUUGGCUUCUUUUUUUAUUGAUUUUCAUCUCCUUGCCUUUUUUAGCACACUUUCUCCUAUUUCACAAUUCCUUCACAAAUCUCACAAAACUAAUUAAAAACAACCAAUUUAAUCCAAGAAAUUAAUAAAUAAAUAAGCAAAGGAGGCAUAAAAUAUAUAUAAAAUAUAGACUUAUCAAAUACCCCCAAACCUGUCUUUUGCUAGUCCUCGAGCAAAACUGAAAAUCAAAAAUAAAUUAAAACAAACAAACUAAAUUAAACCACUUUUGCAGGUAAUCUCGAUGGCACUUAGCAUGUGCCACAAGCCUUUAAACCUCUAGGUGCCCCUAGUAGGAGGAGUUGUGUCUCUUGAGGGUUUACCAGUCAUGACACCCACAGACACUUCUUGCAAAACAAAUUCGUUAAAGCAAUACUUCCAACAAACUAAUAAUAACCAAUGAAUGCUAAUCACAAUUCAAAAACUAAAGUUAUGCCACUACAAAUAAAAUGCACCAUAGUGUAAAGUGUAAAGUGUAAAGCCAAAAAUCCAACAUUGAAACAUAAAGAUAACCACAUUAGGCGUGUGUACAAAUUCGUCUCGACUCUAGGCCUUACUGGAUAACUCUCAAUUUUCUCACAGAACCUAGGGUUGCACUCUUACCCCGCAUAUGUGAAUAAAGUUAGGUGAAGAAUUCAAAAUAUAAGACACAUAUGCAUCCAAGAAUCAAUAAAAGGAAAUUUCUAACAAUAGAUCUCAUGGAAAGGAAAUCAAAUACUAAAAACCAUAGAUGAAGUACAUACCUCUACUUCCGAGUAAGAAGUCCCCAAAAAUCCGUUAGGUCUUUACUAUGGUUGUAAUGAAGGGCUAGGUUAUGGGUUAUGAAAGAAAAGGAAGGAAAUACUAGAACUUGAGACAUGCCAAGGCAUUUAUCACGUUAUAAGGCUCGGCUCUUCAAAUUUACUUCACAGAGGCGUCCAGGAUUUUUGAUAUGCUUCACAUUUUUUUUUCUUUAAUAGAUUUCUCUUUUUUUUUUUCCUUUCUUUUUAUUUAUUUAUUUAUUUUUAAGCACAUAUUUCCUCGGUACACGCCACCUCUUUUGUUAAUUUAGAGAUUAACCUUCAUCCUUGUCUUCAUGCCAUGGCAUAUCCCAAGUUAUAGGGUAUGGCUAAAAAUAGGGUGAAAAGGGUAAGAAAAUAUUGUGGGUGAUGAAAGAAAAGGCUAAGUGUUUGGCUUCAAAGGGUUGAUGGCACACACAAUGGGUAGGACAUGAGUUUUUAUUUAGUGGCUAGAACAUGCAUAGCCUAACAUCAUUUCUCAAGGUCCAUCCAACUCAAAAGUAAAAGCAUGAGAUGAUUCCAAAAUAGAGAGUAGUUCUUAGUAUUCAACUCAAAAGCCUAAUUGAGAUCAAUUUAAAUAAGAAAGAAAGAAAAUAGUGAAUAAGACUAAUCCCAAAUACUCUCUCAAUGAAUGGCAAUUUGGCUCAAGUAUCUCACAAUGGUAGUCUCCACUAUUUCUCCACAAUCAUCCAAGUAUAGCUAGCUUGUCUAUUAAAAUACUUGAAGCAUGGCCAUGUGAAGUGCUAUACUUAUGAUGCAUAAACUUUCAUGGCAACACUUUAGUUAAAGAAAUAUGAUCAAACAUCACAUAUACAUCACUAUUAGUAAGAGAAAGUAAAAGCUUUAACAAAUUUUUUUUUUUUUUUUAAAAAGUUAAAGGCAUUUUGUGAUUUUUUUCAAACAAAUGUGAGUGAAUUUAUGGGCCAUAAUUGCUUAGGGAUAAAGAAAUUUCAUCAAAAGGAAGAGGACACACCUGGAAUAGCUCCUAGAAACCUCUGAUCACAAAUGGAAUGGAUCAUAAUUGAUUUGGAAUGAAAUUAGAAAAUUCUGGAAAAUUGACCUUUAGCGACGAAAAAUCUGAUGAAACACCGUCGCUAAAAACCCUUUUGUGACGAAAAAUCUUCAUAUUCUGGGUAGGUAGCAGCUAGUCUUUUUUGGGUUUUAGGCCACUUUUUUAGCUUCAAAUCUCCCUAAAACGUCAUGUAAAGCACUUGAGACCCCCAAAACAGUUUCAAAUCAUCAUAAUAACCAUUCUAAACAUGUUGGUGGCUUCAAAUUUGCCUGAAAAACAUCAAAAAGGAAAAUAUGUAAAAUUUUUAAUUUUGACCAAAAUAAGAACAUAAUAACCUAUUUUGCUAUUUUCUGGGUUUUAAAGUCAUCUAAUGGCCAAAACAACAUCUGGAACAUGUUUGCAAUCAUCACGGGGCUAGAAAAAAUCGAGAAAUGUUCUUUGAAACACAAAAUCCUUUCUUUGGAACACAAAAUCUUUUUUUCUUUUUUUUUUCUUUAUGACUCAAAACUCAAACAAAAAACAACUAAACUCCACACCCCCAAAUCUAAAUUAAGCAUUGUCCUCAAUGUUUAAAGUAAAUGCAUGUAAAAAUUAGUAAAGGCAUAGAAGGAUGGAAAAUAAAGGGAAAACAAAACAAAAUAAAAUAAAAAGGAACGAAGGUACCUAGUUGGGUUGCCUCCCAACAAGCGCUUGAUUUAUAGUCCCCAGCCCGACUUGCGAGGUCAUCACUUUGGAUCAUGUAGAGGAAUGAAAGUUCGCUGUUGAUCAAAAUUGACUUCCAAGUAUGGCUUCACUCAUUGGCCAUUUACUUUGAAAAUAGUACCUUGUUCGUCAUGCCUAACCUCAAUAACUCCAGAAGGAAAUACUUGCACUAUUGUAAAUGGUCCAGACCAACGUGAUUUCAACUUCCCGGGAAAGAGUCGGAGGCGGGAAUUAAAUAGGAGAACUUUCUAACCAGCGAAGAAAUCCUUCCUUAGAAUAUGCUUAUCAUGCCAUUUCUUUGUACGCUCCUUGUAUAUCUUGGAAGUCUCAUAAGCUUCAUUACAAAACUCAUCCAUAUCAUUCAAUUGAAUUGCCCGUUUUUCUCCUGCUGCAAUCAUGUCAAAAUUGAGUGUUUGGAGUGCCCAAUGUGCCUUAUGUUCGAGCUCAACCGGUAAGUGACAAGCUUUCCCAAAAACUAGACGAUAAGGAGACAUGCCAAUUGGUGUUUUGAACUCCGUUCGAUAGGCACAUAAGGCAUCAUCCAAUUUCAGUGACCAAUCCUUUCUUGAAGCACUCACCGUCUUUUCCAAAAUUCGUUUUAAUUCUCUAUUGGAAACUUCAACUUGUCCACUAGUUUGUGGAUGAUAGGGAGUAGUAACCUUGUGGGUAAUACCAUAUUUAGCUAAAAGAUAAUUAAAUUGACGAUUGCAAAAGUGUGUACCUCUGUCACUGAUGAUGCCACGCGGAGUCCCGAAUCUGGUGAAAAUAUUUUUUUGGACAAAUUUGACAACCACCUUGGCGUCAUUGGUAGGGAGAGCGACGGCUUCAACCCAUUUCGACACAUAAUCAACAGCCACCAAUAUGUACUUGUUCUUCCAAGAUUCAGGGAAAGGUCCCAUGAAAUCUAUUCCCCAGACAUCGAACAAUUCAACCUCUAGAAUAUUAUUCAAUGGCAUCUGAUUUCUGCUAGAAAUAUUUUCAGUGCGUUGGCAUCGAUCACAGGCAGCUACAAAUGCAUAGGCAUCCUUGAACAAAGUUGGCCAAAAAAAUCCAGAUUGUAAUACCUUGGCUGCUGUUUUGGAGGCACCAAAAUGCCCCCCACAUGCCAAUGUGUGGCAAUGUCGCAAUAUGUCUUCCAUCUCCUCCUCAGGCACACAUCUCCGUAUAACUUGGUCAGGGCAAUGUUUCCACAAAUAUGGGUCGUCCCAAUAAUAAUGUUUAACCAAGGAGAAAAACUUCUUCUUCUGAUGAAACGAUAAAUCAGCUGGAAUGAUAGUACUAGCUAAAUAAUUCACAAAGUCAGCGUACCAAGGAGCUUCGGAUGAUCGAAUGGCAUACAAGUGUUCAUCAGGGAACAUCUCCAUAAUGGGUGCAGCAUCAUCACUCAUCUUUACCUCACUGACCAGCCGCGAAAGAUGGUCAGCUACCACGUUUUCGGACCCCUUUUUGUCUCGAAUUUCAAGAUCAAAUUCUUGGAGCAGUAGUACCCAGCGAAUUAAUCGUGGUUUUGCAUCUUUCUUCGAAAGUAAAUACUUUUAUCCAAGGAGAAGAUUACUACUAACAAUUCUUUCUCCGUGGUGGUAUAAUUCCGCUGGGCGUCAUUCAAAGUACGACUGGCAUAAUAAAUUACAUGAAGUAAUUUAUUUCUUCUUUGACCCAAAACUGCCCCUACCGCAUAGUCACUAGCAUCACACAUAAUCUCAAAAGGCAAGUCCUAAUCCGGUGCGACAAUGACAGGUGCAGAAGUAAGCUUCUCUUUCAAGACAUUAAAAUUAAAUUCUACAUCUUUAAGAAGGAGAUUGCAUAAGGGCUUCGUGAUUUUGGAAAAAUCUUGGAUAAACCGCCGAUAAAAUCCAGCAUGACCCAGAAAGCUUUGAAUCCCCUUUAUUGUAGUGGGCGGUGGCAAUUUCUCUACGGUAUCAAUUUUUGCCUUAUCAACCUCUAUGCCUUUAGCUGAAAUUUUAUGCCCUAGGACUAUCCCUUCUUGCACCAUAAAAUGGCAUUUCUCCCAAUUCAAAACCAAAUUGGUUUCUUCACAUCUUUUCAAAACUAAUGCCAAAUUAUGUAAACAAGAAUCAAAUGAUGAGCCAAAAACAGAAAAGUCAUCCAUAAAAACCUCAAUGAAGCGCUCCACCAUGUCCGAAAAGAUGCUCAUCAUGCAACGUUGAAAGGUGGCAGGGGCGUUACACAACCUGAAAGGCAUGCGCCUGUAUGCAAAAGUGCCGAAUGGGCAUGUGAACGUCGUCUUUUCUUGAUCUUCAGGUGCAAUUGGAAUUUGAUUAUACCCAGAAUAUCCAUCUAAAAAACAAUAAUAUGAAUGCUCAGCAAGUCUUUCCAACAUCUGAUCAAUGAAAGACAAGGGAAAGUGAUCUUUCCUUGUCGCAGUGUUCAAUUUCCUGUAGUCUAUGCAGACAUGCCAUCCUGUAGUUGUUCUUGUCGGGAUCAACUCAUUCUUAUCAUUUUUCACCACUGUAAUACCCCCUUUUUUCGGUAGGACUUGAACUGGACUCACCCAACUACUAUCUGAAAUCGGGUAAAUUAUUCCAGCAUCUAAUAACUUUAAUAUUUCAGCUCGCACAACUUCUUUCAUAUUCGGAUUUAAUCGACGCUGAUGCUCAACUGAAGGUUUAAAAUCAUCUUCCAUCAGAAUACGGUGCAUACACAUGGAACGGCUAAGUCCCUUAAUAUCUGCAAUAGUCCACCCUAUUGUCGUUUUAUGCUCCCUCAAAACUCAUAGUAAUUUAUCUUCUUCUAGUUUACUCAAAUUUGCAGCAAUAAUCACAGGAAGAGUUUCAAAAUUACCCAAGUAUGCAUAUCUUAAGUGGGAAGGUAGGGGCUUCAAUGUGAGGGUUGGUGCAGUAAUGACACUGGGUUGUGGCUUGGAGGUUGUGACGCUAAGCUCCUCAAAUUCGCGCCACCUUCCAGGGGGGCGCGGUUUCAUUGCUUCCAAAAAGUACACCAUCUCAGAAAUUUUAGGAUCCUCAUGCUCAGUAGUAACGGAAUGCACAAGGCAAGCCUUCAAUGGAUCAUAUGGAUGUUCUUCUUUAAAUUUUUCAGAGACAACUUUUUCCACUAUAUCCACUCGGAAGCAAGAGUCUGAUUCCACUGGGUACUUUGUUGCUUCAAAGACAUUGAAGGUCACCUGCUCAUCAGCCACUCGCAAAAUUAAUAAACCUUUGUCCACAUCAAUUAAUGUCUUCCCGGUUUUUAGAAAGGGGCGGCCUAAGAUAAUAGGGGUUUCGGCAUCUUCUUCCAUGUCUAAAAUCAAAAAAUCUGCUGGAAAAAUGAGCUUAUCAACUUUGACUAACACAUCCUCAAUUAUGCCUUUGGGAUAUGUUAUGGACCUGUCCCCCAUCUGCAAAGAAACAGUGGUUGGGUGAAUUACCCCCAACCCAAUAUGUUUAGCAAUAGAAGAAGGCAUUAGAUUAAUACUGGAUCCUAAAUCACAUAAAGCUUUUUCAAAGUAAGUGGUUCCAAUAGUGCAAGGUAUAGUAAAACUCCCUGGAUCCUUUAGCUUAGGUGGUAGCUUCCUCUGCAAAAUAGCACUGCAUUCUUCGGAUAAUUUCACUAUCUCAUGUUCGCCCAAUUUCCUCUUCUUUGAUAUAAUAUCCUUCAUGAAUUUGGCAUAACUCGGCAUUUGCUCCAAAGCAUCGGCAAAAGGAAUAUUUAUUUGUAAUUUCUUGAAGAUAUCAAGAAAUUUCAAAAAUUGGGCAUCCACUUUGUUUUUUCGAAGACGUUGAGGGAACGGGAUUGGCGGUACAUAUGGCUUUACAAGGGCAGCAGGUUGAGAUAAUUUCUCUACAGUAGCAAGUUCAAUUUCUGGAGACAUUUCAUCAAGUUGUGCAGUAGUUCCAGUAGUGAUAGACGACGACGACGGCACGUUAGUAAUUUCUGAUGUCUCUGCAGUUUGUUGAUGGAUAUUAUUUUCUUCAUCCAAGUCUACUGCUGUUUUUAUUGGCCUCCCAUUCCGAAGAGUUAUCGCCUCCGCAUGUUCUUAGUUUUUUGGAUUAAUCUCUGUUUGGCUUGGCAAAGCUCCAUUUACUCUUCCUGUCAAUACAUUAGCUAGCUGGCCCAUCUAAACCUCCAAGUUUCGAAUAGAGGCAGCUUGGUUCUGAAGGGUCGUCUCGGUUUUGCUCAUAAAUUGAUUUGUAUUGACAGAGAGAGUGUUGACAUUUCCAGCAAGUUGAGUUAUUAUAUCCUCCAAUCCAUGCUUCUUUUCUUGAGGUGUGAAACCAGGUGGAGGUCCCUGUACAUUUUGGUUAUUACUCCAUGAAAAAUUCGGAUGGUUCUUCCAUCCUGGGUUAUAAGUGUUGGAGUAAGGAUUAUUCCGUUGUCGAUUAAAAUCAGAGACUUGAUUCACUUGUUCAGAUGUUGAUGUGAAUGGACUAGCUCCACACUCGUUGCCAUGAUGAGGUCCUGCACAAAAUUCACAACUUAAAUUAGUAGACUGAAUAGCAUUAACAUUUAAAAUACCAAGUUGUUUAGACAUAGUAGAAAUUUGUGCAGUUAACGCAGAUAUGGCGUCAAUCUCAUGAAUUCCAGCUUUCUUUGGUGUUGAUCUCUCACUAGGCCAUUGAUAGUUAUCUGACGCCAUCUCUUCCAGCAAGUUAUACGCUUUAGUUUCUGUUCUUCCCAUCAAAGCUCCUCCGGCUGCAGCAUCAAUUGUUGUUUUGCUUGUAUUGUUCAAACCAUUGUAGAACGCUUGAACUUGCAUCCAAGUAGGUAGGGCAUGAUGUGGGCACUUCCUUAGCAUAUCCUUGUAUCUGUCCCAUGCUUCAUAAAAAGGUUCCAUGUCAUUCUGAGCAAAUGACAUGAUGUCAUUCCUGAGUUUCGCAGUCUUUGCAAGAGGAAAGAAUUUAGCUAAAAAUUUAUUGGCCAAGUCGUCCUAUGUAGUAAUCGAAUUAGGUGGUUGAGAAUUCAACCACGACUUUGCCUUUUCCUUUAAUGAGAAAGGAAAAAGCCUUAAGCGAACAACAUCAUUGGUAGCUCCAUUGCACUUAAAUAUGUCACAUAUCUCCAAGAAAUUAGAGAUAUGGCUAUUAGGGUCUUCUUGAGGUAAACCACAAAAGAUGGAGGAUUGCUGAAUCAUUGAAAUUAUGGCUGGUUUGAUUUCAAAAUUAUUGGCAUCAAUGGUUGGACGACGAAUGCUCGAUGGUGAUGCCACCACAGAUGAGACAUCAUAGUCCCUUACUGGUUUUGCUUCCUCAGCCAUAGGUGAUGGCUUUUCCAAUAUUGCGUCCUUGCCCCUUUUGAGUUUGUUAAGCUUGUGAAGCGUUCGCUCGAUCUCUAGAUCUAAUGGUACAAGCACAAGACUCUGCGAACGUCUCCCAAAACUCAUGCACUAGGUGAAGUACCUAAAAAAACAAAAAACAAAAUUCAAAUUAAAAAAAUUCAAAUUAAAAUCCAAAUCAAUCUAUAUCGAUAUUAAUAAAAUUUAAAACACUCCCCGACGGGGGUGCCAAAAACUUGUUGUGAUAUUUAUUGCAAGCGCACAAUUCGCACAAGUAAUAUAGUGAUGACUGAAGUGUCGUUCCCACGAAGAGUGAUUUAAUUUACCAAGUACCGAUUGUGAUUAACCCAAGACUUUAUUUGAACAAUUGAUGAUGAGAUUUGAUUGAUUAAUUAACUAAAACAAUGAAUAAAAACAAGCGUAGAAAAAUAAAGUAGUGAGAUUCAAGUUAUGAGAGCACUAGAGCUUCCGAUUUCACCAUAGCCAAUUCUACCCAAUUCCCUUAGCAUGUUAAUCCUAAUUAUUCUCUAUGUUGACAGUUGAUUUUCCCUACUUUAUUCGAUACUCCAUCCCUGGUUAUAUCAAAAGUAUUCUCAUUACCAACCCACUCUAUCCAUAGUAAUGGAAUUAAGAUAAUAAGAACCCAUUAAAUUCCUUGGAAAACCUACAAAACAACCACAUAAGUCAUGACAAACAUCCCUGUCUAAUCAUGUAACUCAUGGCAUCUAUUACAAGAAGCAACCCCAAAUUGGAUAUUCCUAUCGUCAAUUUAGCAUCAAAACAAUUAAAUGUUGGCCAAACAUUCAAAGCAUUAAGCAUGGUAAUAAAUACUCAAGAUGGAAAAAAUACUUGGAAUUAACAUCGACUAAAGUAAUUGAGUAUUCAUGGCUAGGCUACAUCGUAGCCCUAGCAAGAAGAAAUUAGUUCAUGACAACUUUAAUAAAAACCAUGAUAAAUAGUAUCAUAGGAAAGAAGUAACCAAUUGAAGAUUUGAUCUCUGCACGACAGCAACUCUAGCUCCAGGUUGUCUUCUUUGUCUCUCUAAAACUCUCUCAACAAUAGAUGAUGGGUAGAUGAUGGAGGAUGGAUGAUGGGUAAUGGAUCCUUUCAACAAUGACCUAAACUCCCUAUUUAUAAAACUCCUAGAAAUCCUACCUAAGGAAUAAUUACAAUUGUUAUAAAAAUAGGAUUCCUUCUAAAAUAAGGUCUUCUUUAUUUCUUCUUGUUUGACUUGAUAAGACUUGCACCAUCUUGAACUAGGAAAUUUGACAACAUUCCUUGCAACAAAAGGAAUGACUUGGCUUCUUUUUAAUUGAUCUUCAUCUCCUUGCCUUUUUUAGCACAUUUUCUCCUAUUUCACAAUUCCUUCACAAAUCUCACAAAACCAAUUAAAAACAACCAAUUUAAUCUAAAAAAUUAAUAAAUAAAUAAACAAAGGAGGCAUAAAAUAUAUAUAUAUAAAAUAUAGACUUAUCACUAUAUAUAUAUUCUUUACAAAAAUUUAAAGCUCCUUAAAGCCCAUAGAAACCGGUAAAGUCACAGUUUUUUUGACUUUUGAAUAUGGGCAAUACACGAGAAGAUGGACAGUAUUUUGAUAACUCUGUUUAGACUAAAAGCUAAGGACUGUCUAUUAACAAAUAAUUCCAACAUGCAACCUUUUUAAUUAGUCUACUUCCUGAUUGCAGAUGGGGAAGAACUCCACUUAAUGAAGCCCGCAUAGGUGGAAAUAAGAAACUAAUCAAACUGUUUGAAGUUGCUAGAACUUUGUAGUUGUCAGAGUUAUCUAAUCAAUAUCAUCAAGAAAUUAGCUAGCUAAGCAUUUCUCUGAUCAAAAUGAUAAAUUGUCGAUCGGCAAUACAUUUAUCCUUUGAUUAAAUGAUAAAUGUUUAUAAGACUUGGAACAAAAGUUCUGAGAUGUUAUAUGUGUGAAUUUUGUUAGAAUCUUUAAUUCUCUUUUCGAUUUUCUAAUAUGCGUACCUUGGAAAAUAUGAAUUGAACUAUUAUUAUUGUUGAUCUGACUUGGCAAUUCUCAGCGUCAAUUAUUCUUACUAGGCUUGUAAUAAUCAAGGAUCGAGUAAUUAAUUAAUUAAAGCUCUUGAAUCAUGGAAGUAAUGCAUGAAUGCAUCAAGUAAUCCGGAUCAGAAUAGUAAAACCAAAGAAGCACAACUUUUAUUCCCGCAGAUAGUCUUAGCCUAGGUUACAUAAAUUAAUGCAUGAAUGCAUGAGCAGCAGCUGCAUGCAAUAUUAUUGAACCCAAAUCACAACAAAAGGAAAACUUAAGACAAUGCCACUUUCGCAGGGAACGCGAUUGCAUUUAGCGUAUGCAACAAGCCUUUUAAACCUAUAGGUGACCCUGAUAGGACGAGUGAAGUCUCGUGAGGGUUUCCAGUGACGCUACCCACAAACAUCGUAUUAACUUAACAGGAUGAUCAUCCUGGAAGUUUUUCGACAAUGAAGAAAUGUUCAUGGGUGGGGCCUCCAGGUUCUGCAAUGAGGGCAUUUUCGAACUCGUUUCCAGAUUUUGGCUUUAAAAGGUUUCCCAUUUUCUCAUGGUGGAACUUGUAUAUGCCUUCGGUGUACGGUCCUGGUGGUUUCACAACCUCAGGCUUGAAGAGUGUACAUGACCACAGCGUUUUAUUUGGCUGUUUCUCGUCAGCCCCGGCCACAAUCCACGAACUGUCUUGGCUUGCCGUUAUCCAGUAUUUGUCGUUGUAGGUGGAUUUUAUAUGCACCAGACUGGGGAGGUUUACGUCCUUCUCCACUUUGAACCUUGCGUAUUUGCUCUGAACAUCCUCUCCGGAGCAUUGGAGAAUAUCUUGCAUCUUUUCGGUGGCUUGGUCUUUGUAGACCAAGUAUUUACCGCUCGUGAAUGAUUUAAGAGCAAUGAACUUUGGUAAUUCUGCCAUUUCUGAUGAUCUCUCGCUCGCGCUUCAAUUUUUUUUUAUGUAAACUCACUUCUCUCUCUCUCUCUCGUUGCUUAUUGCUUUUCCUAACUCCAACCUGCUGUGCUAUUUAUAAUCAAGCAAACCCAAACCCUGCAUGCAGCUCUGGCUUCUUUUUCUUGCUGUACUGGCCCGCGAUAAGAAAAUUGAAGCCACAAAAAAAAAAAGUCGAGCCAGGUGGCAGUUUUGAAAGGUCAAGUAAUAUUGUUCUUGAUAUAAAACAAACUAAAGCGUGCUCCACGUCUUCAAAUAAAACAAAGUUAAGGCUAGUAAUUAUCGACAUCGAUAUUUUGCGAUAUUAUCGUCGAUAUUGUCAAUAUUUAUACGAUAUGUACAUGGAUAUGUUUCGAAAUAUCCGUGAUUCAAAAAAACCGAAAUAUCCUCGAUAUUUCCUCGAUAUUAUCGAUAUUUCAGACUAUGAUGUGAACUUGAUUAUGUAAUUUCUACUACAUGCACUUAUGGGACAUAACCAUUUAUCAAUUAUAAUAAUGUCACAUAAAAAUUGAAGCCACAAAAAAAAAAAAGUCAAGCCAGGUGGCAGUUUUGAAAGGUCAAGUAAUAAUGUUCUUGAUAUAAAACAAACUAAAGCGUGCUUCACGUCUUCAAAUAAAACAAAGUUAAGCCUAGUAAUCUAUUCUCUGUUGUAAUGUGAACUUGAUUAUGUAAUUUCUACUACAUGCACUUAUGGACAUAACCAUUUAUCAAUUAUAAUAAUGUCAUCGACUAGGACUGAACAGCGACGGCUGAAGGCCCAGCUCAUUCUUAAUCUUAGGCAACACAUGUGCUGGGUUUCAUUUCAUAAAUUCAUAACCAAACCAAGCUAGGUCAUAGAAGGAAGCAAAUUAAGCAAUUGAAAUCCACAUCGGCUGAAAAAAUCUCUCUUGAAAAACCAUAUAAUUGGAGGGUCUGCAAAACUAGACUGUGUGUACGUAGCCAACUUUAUUAAAAUGCCAAUUCAAGUCCUAUGAACACACAUUUCCUUGAAAGUUGCUGGCCAAAUUUUCUUUGUUUUGGUUUUCAAUGAGUUCGAUUUCCUUGAGCAUCACUGAAAAGAUAUUAUAUAUGUGAAAUCUUUUUGUCAGUCUUUGAAUUUACCCAAUGUGGGUGAUCAAUUUUUAUGAUUGCAUUCUAGACUUCUCCUUAGUACAAAACAAAACUACGUGAUUGAUUGAAACGUCAUUAAUUAAUUUAGACAUAUAGGCAUUUGCAUUAAUUCAUUCUAGAUAGUAGAUACACAUCUCCAUAACGCAGAAAGAAUUAGCAUGUCCUUAAUGUGAACUUCGUUAAUAAAUUGAAGAGGAGUUGGAGAACAGUUAGAUGAAUGAAUUAAAGAGGAGUUGGAGAGACGCGGAUGCAAGGGCACACUAAGAAAACUACAGGGUUUAUUUAUAGUUUUAGUGCUAAUAAUGGGUAUAUGACUAAAUAUCUCUAUAAAAAAAAUUAGUGAAUUUAAUCAGAAUGUAAUGACUUAUAGAAUUUUACCUUGGGGCACUUUAAGUCCGUUCCUCCUUAAUAAAGCAUCACUUAAUAGAUUUGAAUUAUGAGCUGAACCCUCCCACCCGCUAAAAACGUAAAUGAAUUCUAAAUCAAAGUUACAAGCUACUGAAACCAUUUAUCAAUUAUAAUUAUGUCAUUAAUUAGGAUUGAACAAUAUGAUUGUAAUGCCAUUUCUAAAGCGUGCUUCACGUCUUCAAAUAAAACAAAGUUAGGCCUAGUAUUUUCUUCUUUAUUGUUUCGGUGCUUAAUGUGAACUUCAUUAUGUAACUUCUAUUACUUGUACUUAAGGGCCAUAGCCAUUUAUCAAAUUAUAAUGAUGUCAUUAAUUAGGAUUGAACAACAAGGUCGUUGAGAUGUUUACAUACUUUAAUUACAGACAUAUGAUAAGUUUAGGAGAGUGAUAUGUAGUUUCAAUUAUUCCUUUCACACAUACCCUAAACUUUAAACCCUAAACCCCUUUCUCUUAAGCAAAAUCUAUCGGUUUUGGGUAAGUUUGAGACACUUGUGGACGAUUGUUUUUAAUUUGGACCCUAUGAAAAUACCUGUAGGAUGUCUAUAUAAAUACCUAGAGAAGGUUAAAUAGGCUAAUUCGAUUUUUGCAAUGAAUAAUAAUCAACUUUUGAAGUAGGAUUGAUAUGAGUUAUCAAUCCUGAAAUGUGCAGAGCUUAAAAUAAAAGAACACACAGAUAUUUAUUUUACGUGGUAAAACCCCACAUCUGGGGAAAAUCCACGGGACUCCUUAGUCCAGAACGAAUCCACUAUAGAAUUGAGAUUACAAGAAGUUCUCACACACACUUAUCCUAGACUCAAUCUAGAUAAUGUUUACCGACUUAUUCAUAACUCAACUUUUGUCAUGGGAUGAUCUUCGACACUCCUUAUGUUGAGCGCAAUAUUGGUCACGAUUGCUUCAAGCUCACCGGAGGAUAAACGCCACAAACGUCUUGAUGCCCUUGACCGUAUGAGUCACUGACAUGCAUAUGUAUGCAAUAUAAAUGAUGAAUGAGUUCGAUAAAUCACCAAGCAACCAGGAGCCCUUGAUGACUUACCGAGAAAAAUAAGUACAGUAGCUUUUCCAAAAAACAGAUUCAAUAUGCUCUCAAAAUCAAUGCGUUGAAAAGCUACACUAUGAAAAGAAGACACCUUGGUUUUAUUCAAAACAGGUUCUCUCACUCAAGAGAAACCUACGUGACCACCAAUCCAAUUCACGAAAGACUUUCAACCUUAUUCAACUACCACACAACAAAACCUGAUGCAAUAUGGACACUAGUUAAACAUGUCAAACAGGAGACCACUCAUACUGUUGAAGCAUGAAUGUUUCUUUUGAUUCAAUUUACAUGCUAUGUGAUGAUGCCAGCUAAUGCACGAUGUGAGGAAACCUCAUGACUUUCUACUACAGCCAAUCCUUUAAAACAAUAUCUACCUAACAAAUUAAUUAGACCGAUCAAGUAGGAAAUAAUAUCAAGAGAUAAAAUAUAAUCCUAUUGAAAAUAGGAUUAACAUAAAAAUACUUGAGUGAAAAUAAUUCCAACUAGGAGUCCUAUAAUGAAUGCAUAAUUAUGUUAUGAUUUACCUGUUGUCAAGUUUCUCAUAUGGUCAGGUCAUGCCUCGGAAGUAUAGGGUUGAGAGAGUUGUGCCAAAGCGUCCAGUAACAUUUCCUCACAAACUAAUUUUCAACUUAUGCUAAAGUCUAGGAAAUGCCAAUACGAUUUUCGUACUAACACCCUACAAACAAAUAAAUUAAAGAAAAAAAAAGUAAAAGAAGAAAAGAAUAUAAAUUCAUAUAUCUCAAUUUCUUGUGUGAAGCUUUUAAAUUCAUUUCAAAAUUAAUAUUAAAAUUUAUUUGUUUUGGUUUUCAAUAAGAUUAAGUUGGAUUUCCUAGAGCAUCAUCACUGAUCUGAUGGCAUCAGAUAAGUCUUUGAAUUACCUAAUGUGAUUGAUUGAUUGGAAUGUAUCCUUAAUACUAAAAAAAAACCAUGUGAUUGAUCGACACGUCAUUGAGCACUUCCACUCUAUCGGCAAGGGCAAGGCAAGAGCAAGAGUUUAGGAUAAGAUUUUUGGUUGCCACUUGUCCAUAUUUAUUAUAACAUUCACAUCUCAAAUUUCAUAUAAAAUUUUCGAAUAAGAUUUUCGAUUGCCACGUAUCCAUAUUUAUUAUAAAAUUCACAUUUCACUCAUCAUACAAUUGAAAUACUUGUUCACUCAUCAUACAAUUGAAAUACUCCUGGUCUUCAUAGUUCGACACAAUCGAGUACAAGGAUGACUCAAUCAUUGGAGGAGGAGAUUCCACCGGAUCACGACGUGGGGGAGUAUUUUCCUUCGAAGGAAGUAAUUGUGCCAUUAUUUUCGACACGGAAAGCACCACUAGAACCGACUACUGACAUUGUUCACUUAAGGAGCCAUGUGUAAUGGUUUUCCUCUUUUUUGUUUUGUCUUGAAUAAUGUAUUAAAAUACAAGAAAAUAUAUUUUUAAAAAUGAUAUUAAAUUGAAUAAAACGAUAAAUUUAUUUUUUUUACAUCGUCACCAAGAUUUUGACCGCUUUGAACGUUUGUCCACGACCAUCCGGUUUCGAUGGAAGAGGCCAUUUGUAUUUUUACACAAAUAAAAUUUUGUAGUAGAAAAUUUGGUGUGGAAAGUGAAAAAUAUUGGAAGGAGAUGAAUUUAUAUGAAGAUUUAGUGUGGAAAGUGAAUAAUAUUGGUAGGUAUUUAUGGAAAAAAAUUCUAGAAUUUUUUGAUAUUUUUUUUACAGCUUUUUUUAGCCAUAAAAUGGGCAACCGUUGAAUUGGAAGACAUUUUUGGAUCGGAGCCUUCAGGAGAAGCUAUGUGCUUGUAGCUGUUGGUUUCUGGCAGUGCUAAUUUUUUUAAAUUAUUGCGCUGACGUUAGCUGCAUGAAAGCAAUACAACGGGCCAGAUCUCCCCAUAGGUCCCACUCCUUACCCGAGCUGGGUCUUGCACGCUGGAACUGCCUUUCAAACCUAGAGCACCCUCCUACCUGGGCUAGCCCCUUGCCCUGGACUUGCUCUAAGACAGAAGAAUUAGCAUGUCCUUAUUAUGUAAACUUCAUUAAUAAAUUUCUACUUUGUACUUGUGGAGGCCCAUAGGAAUUUAUGAAUUAGGAUUGAGAAACAAAGGUUCAAGGGAUUGUUCCAGCUAAUCUUUACCAUAAUAAUAAUAAUAAUAAUUGUUCAGGCCGGCAGCUAAUAAUUAAGUUGGCAUUUUUUUAAGUUUUUUUUUGUCCGGCCAAUAAUAUUAUUUUGGGCCCAAAAUGAAGUAAAGGACUAAAUGUAAAUACAGAAUUGGAAUGUGCUUUUGGGCCUUUUAAGUGGCAUAGGUGGAUCAUAAUAUUGAAGUAGCCCAAACUGUUGAUUUUGGGCGAGUGAACCGGUUCCGAAACCAUGGCCGAUCCUCUCAGUCUUCUUUGCUUUAGCAACUUAUGCUUUGCUUGCUUGGUGAUUAAGCCUAACUAAGGCAAAGCGGCAGCCAGAGCAGCAUCAUUCAGAUUCAGAAGAAGUAGCAAGUAAUUAAGUAAGCUUCAGCCUCACAAACAAAUAUCAAAGCGAAGCAAUCGAAUUUGACAAAGAGAGAGAGAGAAACAGUGAGAGAUCGCGAAAUGGCGUUGCAGUGGAUGAUACUGACGUACGUGGUGGCAGCAGAGGCAGCCUUGGCCUUCCUCUUAACCCUUCCCGCGCCCAAGCUCUUGAAGAAUCAAUUCGUGUCGUUGGUCUCUCUCAUCCUCCAACCUGCCCUCUUUAUCGUUCCAUUCGCCGGCUUUCAGCUCCUUGGUUUGUUUCUUCUUCUUAUUUGAUUUUAUUUUAUUUUAUUCCUAGGGCAUACCAUACCAUAGCAACAAUCUAGCAUCGGAUUUUCCAUUUGAUCUUUUUUACCUGUUUGGGUAAUGGAUUACCAAUUGAUCUUUGACUUGCCUCUUUCUUACUUUCUCUUUUCUUUUAAAUUCUGUGUAGAUAUAUAUUGGAAGAAUGAGCACCGCCUGUCCUGCACCUCUGAGAUCUGCACCGCUGCUGAGCGUGACCGCUAUGAGAAAUCCGUCAGUUUCUAACUACUACUCUCUCUCUCUCUCUCUCGUUUUAAUUUCUUAUGUGAUUCUAAUCUUUAAUCAAGUUGAUGAUGCCUGCAACUCUUCAGCAUGCUAAAAUGAAUUUAUCAAAAAUGAAAUCAUAUAACAAAAGGAAAAUUACAUUUUGAGCAACAACUGAUGUCUCCAAUUUCCAUUCACUAUACUGUUUAACAAAUUUAUUAUAGAAUAACAGCAUUACAAAUUCAUAUUUAUUUUUCUCAAAAUCAUAAUGCCCAAUGACACGCAUACCUGUUUCUUAAUUUUGUCGUCUAAAAUUCUUGCAUAUUCGGCAUUGGAUUGUCUCGUUUCUUCGACUUUUCUUUAGGAUGGUAUCUUGAAUCUUGAAGUUUCUCAUAAUUAUUUCUGUCUUUAUGUAUUGAAAAUUUUCUGCUCUUUAUUAUCUUUAAGAUUUUCUUUGUUUUUGGGUAUUUGCGGAUGAGGGUGAAACAAGGAUUUGUGCUUGUGGAAAUAUUCUGGUAGGAUAUCAAUUGAGUGUAUUUGGAAUAUACUCUCUACUUUUGCGCUGUACAUUUCAUGAAAAACAUGAUAUGUGGUUCAGUUCUUAUAUGUUGCAAGUUGCAGCAUAUGUAGCUGUGGGAUGUCUAAUGAUUGCACAAUGAGCCCUCUGCCAAUCAAGAGAAAUGGAAGAUUCAAGUUCUAUCUACAUAUAUAUACCUUUAAAUUCUAUUAUUCUUGACACCUUUGUUGCGGAAAAUAUGUCAUGCAGAUCUACAAGGCUCAAAGGAAUGUAAUUCUUUGCGCUUCAGCAUGUCUGCUUUACUGGUAUGUUGGCUAGAGAUCAUCAAAUGACCUCAUCUUUUUGUUUUAUUUCUUUACAAGUUUAAGCAAAUAAAAAACUUGAAGGUCUUUACUAUAUUUCUGGUCAUUUGAUAGUAAUCUACAAAUGUUGGGCGCAGGUGUCUUGUUCGCAUAUGCAAAUAUUACAAGGACAUUCAGAAUUUGGAAGAAGUUGAGAAGAGGUGCAAGGAGGAGUAGCUUUUCCCAGAUAGGCUUUUGUUUGGGAGUAGAAACAACCGAGUUCAUAAAUUUUUUUUUCAUCAUAAAUGGGAAACCGAUGUGACUUCUAGUAAUAUUGUAGUGUCUUCACUUUGUGUGGUUAAUUUGUUAGUCAUCAUCUAGUAUGUGUUUCUUUCACCUUUUUCUCGUAGCAAGCUCAAAUAUACUUUUUGUUGUCAACUAUAUAUGAAAAGUAAGACAAUUAUUAUUACUGCUUAGAGAUUUGGCCAUGGCCGGUCUAUUUAUCCUUGAUUGAAUAUAUGAAUUCCAAUCUCCCUUGAUUUGUUGAGAAUCAAGGAUGGUUGCGUGCCAUGAAUUCCAAGCGUGAGUUGAGAUACUUAACCCAGCCUAGAAUGUGCGAGCCUUUACAUGGUCUUCAUUUCAUUGGCGUAUGUUUUGCUUCAAGUUUUGUUUAUACUUGAUCUUAGAUUCAUAGUCGUACAUACCAAAGAAUUCAAUAGUUGAAAUGAGGUCUUCCAUUGCGAUAGUCUUGAGUGACCGAGUCUAUAUCCAAAUUGGGAAUUUAGUCAUCUGUUUACGUACGUAUGGCUCAGCUUUUCAAAUUCUCCAGUAUUGGGAAUGAUUUGGUAUGAAUUGCAGCGUAAACUUGGUUUCACAUACGCCUGCAUUGAUCACCCAGCCCGUCUCCAUCUGAACACCCCGAUGGAGGGGGGUUUAGUAUUUGCAGUAAGAUUUGAUCCACAUUGACCCAUCAUUCACACGCUUUCAGUUCACGACAAUUGCCCUUCAAAUUUCUAAAGAAUAAUAAUGCAUUAAUUCAGGCAUGAUAAUCAACGCACACAUCUGAUUCUCGAACAAAAGCAUCAUCAAGUCAAGGAUAAGGCAAAUUUCUCAAGAGGGUAUUUGUAUGGGCUUAAGAAUAAAUUAAAUAAUGAAUCGAGUCAAGAACUAAGCACACAUUUUCUUUCUUUCUCGAAUUAUAGGGUUUUCUUUAACAUUUUUGGGAAGACUUAAGGGAUUAAAUAAAUAAAUAAAAUAGUCUUAAUAAUCGGAUUUUGCCAAGUGAGAUCAUGCCUCCAAACAAUGGAACUAACCCAAGUUUUGGGCUUGUAUUAUAUAAGCAGAAUAAGACUGCUCUCCUACUGUUUUCCCACUUCCCACAUGGAGGAGGGGCUAACUAGUUGAAAAGAUUGAAAACGAAAACACAUUCUAAAUGUGCAAUACUUUUGACAGCUUGUCGUUUGUUUUUGGGUUUUGGUAGGUAGCAUACUAGCAUCCAUGAAGUAGCCAUGUCCUUAUUAGACGAAUAAGUUUGGGACGUUUUGGUUAGUUUUUGAAGAGGUGCAUAAAAUGAGCUUGAGUCGGUACCAACAAGUUGACAAUCCCUCCUGAGUCCUAACCAAAAGGAUGUAUGUUGAAUGUUGAUUAUUAUUGCAUGAUGCAUGUGGAAUUUUAUUUUCUAAAGCAUGUUUGGAAUGGAACACACAUCAAUCCCAUCCAUCACUGCUUGAUGACUUAGAUUGAUAUAAGCUAUAAAAAUGUCAAGGGCCAAGCCAACUUGUUUGACAUCUCACGCGAACAAGCGUUCAUAUCAAAAUACCAUUUAAGCUUUAUCUAUAUACACAUUGAAAUCUCUUUAUUCAAACAGACAGACUGAAACAUGUGACAUCAUGUGAAAAGAAUGGAAUGGAAUGGAACCUCUGUUUUCACUUCCCUCUAUUCAUCUUGCAGUAUUGUAUUGUAUUACAAGUUACAACUUCAACUUUGGAGAACAAAUUAACUGAUGAAAUGAAAAUUUAAGAAUUAUCAGAAAGAAAAGAAUUCAUAAAUGUUUUCUCUGGACGAAGAUCAAAAUGACCUUCUAAUGUUCUUGAAAUCUACAGACUCAAUGCAUUCCAACCCAGCUCUGUAAGGAUUCAGGAGUUUCAAAAGCUCAGUUGUCUUCUCCUUUGUGUUGUCAUCACCGCAACGAACCUGUAAAACUAACAGGAGCUUCUGAAAUGUACCAACUUGAAGGGCCUCAACAAGAACUCUUUCUUCUUGACUGCUUGCACACUUGCACAGCUUCCAAAUAGCAGAAAUUGAAUACUCAGUCGCCAUUUCUGAUACCCUCAAAAUCUUCUUGACCAAGACAGGUAUAGUGAGAGCAUUAGCAUAGGCCUUUUCCCUCCCAUCUUGGAAAUCGCAAAGACUAUCCAAAACACCCAAAGCCCUCUCACAUAUGCCUCUUUCAGAGUCGACAAGAAUUUCCAACAAUAUGGAAACUAAACCCAUCUCCAGAAAUGCUGAUUUGAUCUUCUCACUAGAUUUAGAAGAAGAAGAAGAUGAUGAUGAUGAAACCAAGUAGAAGACCACCAUCAGUGAAGCCUUGGUAAUCGUCGGAGAAAUUUUCUCUCUGAUGAAGUCGAAAAGUACCUCAUUCACUCCACCAAUCUCCGCCAACGCAUCAACAUGUUUAUUCCGGUCAUGGCAAGCAAGAAGCUCUUUCAAUGCUAAAAUAGCAUUUUGCUUUACUGAAAGAUCAUCACUCAUCUUGAGAAACCAAACCAUGCCGUGCAACGAAGCCUGAGACCCCAAGUAUUUGUGGGCUUCCUCAUCGAAAGCUGGAAGCAUCCAACUCAGCGCAGACAAUAUCUCUUCACAAACGGUGGCAUUUCUCUUUAUGCAAUCACUUGCAAAAGAAUCAAAGGCACCAGCUAGAACAGAGGCCGUCCCAUUCUCCGAGAUGCACCGCUUGUUGCGUUCGCUCUCAGCUCCCCACUUCUUGAUUUUGUGCACACAUUCUAAGCAGCCAUGUUGAUCCAAACGUCUAGCAGAGGCUCCGAUGCUGAAAAGAAUCUCAGAGACCUCCAUUGGCAAGACAGGAAUUCUGGGUGUUGGGACACGUUCGAUGCCGUAGUGCUUGUUUUGAGUGCACCACUCUUGAAUCAUUCUUCUGAGACUAUGGUUGGGAAUCUGAUCAAAGUUUCUCAGCACCUGAUUUGUUACCGGGCAAGUGAAAUUCCCGGCUUCGAGCCACGUGUCAAUACUCUGUCUAUCGUAGGUUAUUCCGGAUGACAAUGUAACCGGAUCCUUCAUCAGGUCCAGCGAUAUUGGGCACAGGAAGUGGUUUGGGAUGAGGGCUUCCAUGUCUAGGUCCCGGGGCUGCUUUUUCUUGGUGCCGUGGCCUGUUCUCCUUCUUGUCCAGCCUAAAACCAUUGCUUGCUGAUUAGCUAGCACAGAUUAAGUUUUGAUCAGAAAAGCAGUGAGAGAAGUUGAUUCUUCUGUUUUUGUUGGUGGUGUUUUUUGUUUGUGAAAAAAUAGGAGGGGAGGUGAUGGGGUUUAUAUACUAAUAAUACUAUAUGUUGUUCCGGCCACAACUUUUCAGGUUUUCAUACACGCGGUGUUCAAAGAUGAGACCAUUUUGCAUAUGGAGAGAAAUGGGAAAGAAUUGAAUAAGUAAACAAAUUCAAGCAGAGGGUUUUAGGAAUAGUACAAUUUGAAUGUUGACCGUUGAAGCUUUGAAAGUUUUAAAAUUAACCGUCAAAAGCGGGGAAGUGGUAAAAGUAAGCUCUUCCUUCAUGGGCCUCAAAUGUACCAAAUAAACGAAUUAUGUUUUUAAAUUAUGAUGAGCUACUUUAAGUAUGGGGUUAUGUAUGAGGAUGAGGUUUUGACGCGUUGACCGAGAUUCUUUUCUUCUUCUUCUUCCGUUUUUUUUUUCUUAAUCUGAAAUUCUGAAUCAGAUAUGACGAACAAGACCGAUAUCUCAGCUGUUACAUUUUUUUCAUUUUUUCUUGUAAGUCUUUUUUUAAAAAUUUAUUUAUUUGAAAACGGAAAAUUACAAGCAAAGCAAAAACCACCAGAACACGCAGGCCCAAACAAAUCGAAGUAAAAAGAAGAGAACAUCAAUUUUUUCUUGUAAGUCUUCAUUGGUGUUUUUUUUAAUUUAUUUUUUUUCUUCGUAGUAUGUAGUAGGAGAAAAGGAAAAACAAAAAAGUCAGUCACCUCAACUUUGUAAGAACGAGUCCUAGGCUCCUCCUUAUCAGACUCUCUCAGCUGCAAAAGGUUUGACUUUGAAGGAGUCAUUGCCCAAAAUACCAUCCACCACAUGCAAAUUGCAAUACAAACUCCAAUGACAUUCAUUUGGCAAGCAAGUUUAAGUACACGCCCCAUUAAAACCCAGGAGGAUAAUUUGAAUAAAUCAAACAUUCUAACCUAAUAACCUUACAGGAGUUGCUUUUUAUUCAUGUUUGAAUGCUGUACAGACAAAAACUCCUGUCGAAAUGAGCUUAUUUUACAAAUCAAUUUUUAAUCAUGUACCUAAUCAGAAAAGAUUGUCAACCAAGCUCGAAAACAAAUCCAGCCUAAGUCGAAAACAAAUCCAUCCUAAGAAUAAAAGAAAGGAAAAGAAAGAAAGAAAAGAAAGAAUUGCAGCCUAACUGACUUCACUACCCAUCCUUCCAUCAGUUAAUCAAAUGGAAGCACAAGGCCUUCAAUCUUUCACUUCACAGUGCUGACUUGCCAGAGCAAGGUAGAAUAUUGGGUUUAUUCUUGCCUGACAUAAGGAGAAGAACUCAUCUCCGUGCUGUAAAAUGAGUCAUCCCCAUUCAUAGCAAAGAAAUUAUCAUUCUUUUCAUCAUCCCACUUAAGGAUCUCCCUUAUGUACUUGAAUGCCUCAUCAACUGAGGUACCCGCUCGAGCUCGGGUCUGCGCCACAAACAACUUCUCACCAGUUAUGGAUGAAUACAGCUCUUUGAAUUUCACCGCCACAUAAUAAUAUGCUUGCUGUGCCAGAGACUGAAUAUUACCGUGGGGCUUAACGGGGCUGAAGUCCUUCAACCACUCACAGACAGACAAAGGAACCUGGUUUAUCUUGGCUUCGAAGGCAUCAUACUUGUUCAGCAAGAGCACAAACGGAGUGUUCCUGAAACACGGAUGCCUCACCAAACUCUCAAACAAAUCUCUGCUUGCCAGCAUUUUAUUACAAAGAAGACCAUUACCCUGGGCCCACAUUUGAUCAUAGUCACUCAAUGCAACACAAAAUAUCACCGCCCUCACAUCUUCAAACAUUUCCAGCCAUUUGCAACCAUCAUUCAAUCCUUUGGAAUUAAUGCGAAUGAGUUGAUACCUGAGACAAGACUCAACCUAGUGAGCAACAGAUUUAUGGUUUUCAUCGGAAGCAACAAAAAAGAAGAAGCAAGAGCACAAGAUAGAAAGCAUUCGAUUGAAGGUGAAAGGAUGAAGAUUUUACUUGGUCAAGGGAGGGGGGCAUUCAUAGUUUUCAUUGUAUAGCUCAGACAUAGCGCUUCUAUCAUCAAAAGAAAAUUCCAUAAAGGCAAGCCCAUUGCUUUGAGUAACUCCCUCAGCAUAUAAAAUGUCAUUCUCGGAAGGCUCAUACUCGUUACUUGAUAUUUCUAUAGCCUGUUGAAAAUGAAACACCAAACAUCCGUGAGGAUAACAACUGAAGUUUGGAAAUUUAGUUGUACUAACGGAAAAAAAAAAAUGCAAUCCAAGCUGCUUUGAAAUUUCUCCAUUUAUUUACCAACCAAUGGAACCACAUUUAUGCCAACUUACCUAAUAUUAAUUUAAGUAAAUGUGGAAGACCAUUAACUAAAUUUGAAAAUACCAUUAGAGGAAUAAUACCAAUUCAACAAAUCUGAUCUUUCAAACAGAAAUAUGAAAUUUGAUAAUCCAGUCUAGUCUUACUAAAUUAAUAUUUAUUUAAUACCCUGCAUUCUGAAUAGAGGAUUCCUUUCAGAACAAAACAAGAAAGACCAUAAAACUAAAGCUGUCUGUCAGUGUUGCACGAAGUAUUCCUGGCAAUUUUGAUCAGCAAUCCUACUGAUGGAUGGAUGAUCAAACCAUAACCUUACCCAGACUUGGGUUAGACUUGUAAAGAACUAAAUAAAAAUAAUGCAGUGGAGGUAAGUUGAUGAGUACUAACACAAGAAAUGAGAGAUAAUAAGAAAGUGGGAAGUCAAAGCAAUCAAGAAUUUAGUAAGGAAAUGUAAUCUAAAAUGAUCACAAGAAUGAGUUAAAAGAUCUAAAAUGGAGCAAAAUAAAAGAUUAAUCUGAAUAAAGUUGGAACCAAAAGAUGCAAGGCCAAAACGAGGAAUGACUAACCCGAUCUAAGAAAUAUUUGGCAACUUCAGGAAGGCAAUGUAAUUCCUCCCUCCUCUUGUAUGUUUCCUGGAUAGCAGAAUCUUUCCAUACUUCAUCUACAAUAGGAGCAUACUCACGUGUAGCAGCAGGGAAGAAUGCAUCCAAGUCUCCCGUUGCCAUGAUAUCCAGUAACCAGUCAGAAAAGUGCUUGAACCUUUGGUUGAUUGCAUAGAUGCAUUGCUCACUUUCAUCAACUACUGUUUCACACAAAGUCAUUUCACAGUCAACCACUGCUUAAGGUUCAUUCAUGCCUACAAGCAGAAAACCAAAUAAGCAAAAUGUUCUAUAUCUCUAAUAACAUGUUGAAUUCCUCUUCAAUCAGUAGGAAAUUCAUAUUAAUGACAAUGGGACGUUAUUUAUUUGAUGUUUACAAUUAGGUUAGACAGUCCCGAUCUCUUGGACUACAGGGGUCUACAAGAUUUGUGGUCAUUUACCGUUGGAUGUAAAUUCAACGGUUCACUCACUCUUGCACUCCUUUUAAGAAACUUUUUUGAACCAUUGGAUUAAUAUCCAACGGUGGGUGGCCACAACAUCUUGGACUCCUGUGGUCCAAGAGAUCGGAACUGUUAGGUUAGAUAUAACAUGAAAUUUCAUCAACACUGACCCCAGUUGCUUGUGUCGAGAUUGACAAAAGUGUUGGAACAGACAGAAAAACAGCUACCUACCUACCAAGUCCACUUCGAUACAACCAACUAAAAGACUCUUAGAUAUAUGCUGUUUCAAAGAUGGAGAUAACAAACAGCUACCUGCCUAAGCGUCCAGUUAGUCGAAGGAACAAUUUUCAUCAGAAAAAGGAGAAAAUGAAAGUCAUUUCAUUAUCUGACCCCCAAAAAAAAAGUCAUUUUCAUUAACUUAUUACAUAAAUAGAGACCUGAAGGAGAUUCUUCAGCAGCCGACGAAGUAGCCCUAUUCUCUGUCAAUGCUUCCUCUUCAAAACGUUCUCGGCCCUCAAGUAGUAUACUUAGAUACUUGUACAUAUUGCUCUGAAUCAUGAGCUUGAUGUUCUGCAGCUCUUCAGGAGUGAACUUGUUUCCAUAUAAGAACUUUGCCUGUUCCACAGAAAAAAGAAGAAUAACAUAAGCAUUUUUAAACUGUAAUUCUAUUCAAAAAGCAUGACAUAGUAUGCUCAUACAAAGAAAUAAAGCUUCUGAUUCAAAAAUAAAUUAAUUAAUUAAGCCCUGGGGGUUUUCGCUAACCGACUCCAACGUAUCAUGCAAUUUGAUUAUCCGCAAAAGGAAAGUUAGUAGAUUAAAUAGACUUGAAUCCUCUUGCUUUGUAAUAUCCUUAUUUUGAAUCUGAACUCUUCACACAAAAUCUAAUCGCUCAUACUAUGCUAAAUGCAUAAAUUAACCUUCCUAAGGUUAACGCCAUCUCUUCUAUACUCUCUUUCUUCUUUUUCUUUUCCCUAUCCUCCCAUUCCGGAAUUCUGCAUCUGGUUCUCCCUUUGUUUUUCACAUUAAUUCCUUAACUCUCAUGCAGUAAAAUCAAGCUUGUGGCUCUGGAAAACACAUAUUGAGUUUUCAUCAUUAGUAAAAGCUUCUAUUUUAUCACUUUCAACAGUGGAGGACUGAAAUAACUUAUCUACAAUGAAUCAGUGAUCGAGAUGAUUGAAUUUCCUCUGCUUCUAGUAUUAAUCUAGAUCCACAAAAAUAUGCAGCAUACUCUUAGCUACUUUUGAGGUUUUACCAUACAUUCUAAGUUCCAAGUUGAGGCUUUUCAGUAAAAACAGCCACCGGUUUCAAGAAAUGACUGCAAACCACAUAAUGACAUAAAGGAAGAUAAGGUAGGUCCACUAUCACAAGAAAGGCAACACCUUUUUAAUUGUCAAUUUACGAAUAUGUCACGAAUCACGAAGACAAGGUAAAUGGAACUAUUAACUUCCCUUUUGUAUUAAGUGAAACAACUUAAAUUCUGAAUAUUCGAUUGUUGAACACUAAACCAACAAGCAUUUGCUCUAGGAACAAAACACAUGAUAGGGUAAAUCUAUACAAAAGUCUUGGUUGACUGGAGCAGAAAUUAGAAAACACGUGAAAUAAAAAAAGGACAAAGCCAUGCUGGCACCCUAAAAGAGGAGGGGCUGGAAGAAAAUCAAAAAGACGCAUACCUGCUUGAAGAUGGUGCUAGUUCCAGAUCCCUCCAAGCCAAAUAACAGAAGUUUCUGAACUCUUCCCUGUUCCAAAUAUUCAGGGACUGACCUACUUGAAGGUGUUGUAGGAUCUUCAUUUGUCCCGUGUUGAUUACCAGGUGGUACAGGCAAUGAGAAUAAUGAACAAAUGAAACGAGUGGAUGCCUGCCUACCAAAAACCAAAUUGCAACUGUAUAAAAUUUCGACUCAGAAUCAUCUGCCAAAGUUUCAAACUCAGACCAAUCAACAAAUAUCCAAAAUUCAUGGUAACGAAAGAACCUUUCCCCAUAUAUUCCCUUUAAUGUUAUUUUGACCUUCCUCCUCAUAAGAUCCAUCAUCAUACACCCAGAAAUGAGUAUCUGGAGGGCACUGCACUUUGGCCAGCUGAAAUAUAAAAGGCAAGUAAUAAGGUUCAUCUUAUCGCAAUUAAAUAAAUCACGUAGCAAACAUAAAAUUUCAUGCAGGUCCAUGUUAUUGUUACCUUCAGUUAGAAAACUGCCACUAAUCACACUAUUACCUAAUAAACUUACUUAUGAUGGGAGAUUCUAUAGUAAUUAGUAAGGCAUUCAUGUUCAAUACAAACACUUCUUUAACCUUUUGAUUGACAGGUUCACUUUUUCACAGUAUGGUUUAGGGUUUAGAUUUCCAAAUUGGCGCUGGUUUAUUCGUAUUGAAUAUGAACCCUACUGCAGACCGGACUCAUUCAUUAGGGACUUUUGGGGAUUCAUUGCGAGCAUACCUUCAACACCCUACGCUCAGUCUUGGUGAUCUCUCGGCCAUUCAUGAACACUUUGGUGUUCCCAUUGCUUGCAUCGAACCGGAGCUUACCUCCAACAUUCAGUUUUGAACUAAUGAUCCUGUCGGGCUUCUCUCCCUCCUGAAAUCAAAUAAAAUUAACUGUAGACAUAUAAAAACAUGCAACACGAUGCUGUAAAAUGCUCAUCCAAUAUAUAUAUAUAAAAACUCACCUUGCCCCAAAGGCCAGAAUCUUUAUCGUACCAAUACCUCCCAGGCUUCAACUUCUGCGGAGGCAAUUCACAGCCCAAAAUCUCAGCCAGUUCUUCUUCCCUCAACAGCCUCCCAUUCACAACUAACUGCUCGGGUCGAAGCUGAUUGGCAGGGCACUCCUUCUCGGCCUUCAUUAUCUGCCGAAUCUCCAAAGGGCUGCAAACCCUUGACAAGAUCCUUGAACACUUGCCCAAACUCGACCUCUUGGACUCGUCUAUUGGCUGCCCAAUGCAGCUCACACAUUUACGCCCCUCUGGCAUCGACCCCAUGGCUUUAAGCAAGCAAUUGCUACAGAACUUGGCGUCGCACACCAAACACCACUCUCUCUCCUUCAAUCUGUUCCCUUUUCCGCACCUGCUGCAAAUCCCUCUCUUAUUCGUCCGCCUCCCAGGCGAAGAAGCCAAUGCAAUCGGCGAUCCCAAUGGUUCGGUGGCGCUGGAUUGCGGCGACGAAGACCUAUCAGCCUCGUUAUCGUUUUCGUGGUCGUCUUCGUUCUCCGAAUCUCUUGGCGUAUUGAAAGUCACGACGGCCGCUCUCUUUCCUCCGGUGGUUCCGAUCGGUUUCUGCUGGGGAUUCGAGUCUUGAACUGGUAAUUCAGAGCUAAAACCUUGGUCUGCUCCUUCGAAUUCCGAUCCUUCCCUGCCGUUUUGCAAAUCGAGUUGCGACUUCGGAGCCGAAGAAGAGGUCGUGCUACUGCUGCCCGGCUCUUUUACACCAGCACCGUUCCUGACCCGAUUGAAGCGCGAGAGCUUCUGAGCGACCGGCACAGCUACCGGAAUGGAAGAGAGGUCUGAAACCGAAAGGGAAGUUACAGAAGAAGUUUGAAGGGAGUCGAUUUGAACUGGAUCAACCCUGGGGAGAUCGUCGUAGGGCAAGGGAGGGCCUUGGUAUUCGACUGCGAUUGAGUAGUCGAGGUGCUCUUCGUCGGGCAAUGGUGCGCCAGCAGGCAGCAUCUUUCUCAGGAGGUCCUUCCAGCUUUUCUCGUCCUCUGCUUCCGAAGCCAUAGCGAGGGAGGGCUGUUUGGUUCCCGAGAAAAAGCUCGGGAAAGCGAGAGAGAGAGAGAGAGAAAGAAAAUCAAAUGAAUGAAAGGUGGGUGGGUGGGUGUGUGUGUAAGGAAGAGCUGCGUGGGGGCGAGAGUUGACACGAAGAGGAGCAGAGAGCAGUUGGGGGAAGUUGGCAGAGAGAAAAGAGAGUGUGGAGGGAUUUCGUUUCCGUUAAAGAGUUGAUGUCAACGAUGAUGCUGACAAUUUUUAAGAUUUGAAAUUGAUUUCGUUUCCUAUAAAUAUUAUUCGAAGAGGAAGAAGAAAGGAAAUGGAGGAGGAGGAGAAAGUUUGAUCUUUCCUUUGACAGUUGACACACUACUUACUUGUAACUUGUUACAAGACGACUGUGUCGUCUUCACACACAAGCACAACAUAUAAAAAAAAAAAAAAAAUUGCUGCUGCUCUCUCUCUCUCGCAUUUUUUUUAAUGCCUUGUGUAUUCAUCUUGUUCAAGACGUGAUUUAAUUUCGUAACGUGCUUUUUGUGUUUUAAUUUCGUAAUCUGAUUUUGUAAAGAGAAAGACACACACAUAACUACUGUACCAUCAGUCUCAUUGAAAUUGAAAUUUUGCUACAAUUUUUAUUAAUACAAUUCCUUUAAUUCAAAAGAUAAAUUUUUUUGGGAGAAUGAUUGUCAGCAACAUUUUAACUGCUACAAUUUUUCUCUUAUUUUGCGUUGUUUUCACCCAGUUAAUGAAAUUUUAUUCGCAAAACCUAACCCAACUGUUGACAACAUACAAUGGCAUCAGAAUAGUUUUGUUAAUCAAUCCAAAAACACAGCCUUGUUAUCCCUCAGUGGGGCUGAAACAUAAACACUUAUGCUGCCACUGAUAAUUUUCAAGCGCAUGUAGUCUCGUAUUGAAAUUGGAAAACAAUUAGUGGCUAAUCACAUAAAUUAUCAGCAACAAUGGAAUUGGUUGCUGGAAAUUUUCCUAAAAGUACAAUUUCAAUAAAAUGAGAUGCUAUACAGUAACUUCCGCCGCUGCUGUUUCUCAAAACCAUUCACGAUAUCAUCUAUUGAAUCCUCCCAUGAUUCAGCUGCUUCAAUCUAGGCAAAACAACAGCCAAAACAUACCACCCAUCAGUAUUUUGCAUUACAAAUUAUUGACAAUCAGUGCAACCAUAAAUACAGACCUCUUGACAAAGAUCUAAAGCAAGACGAGCUCCCACAGCUGCCUCCUCGUGGUUAUCUUUUACCUCCAGGUUGAUUAUCAGUGCACACUUCUUAAGAACAUGGUCCCGGUUGUUAAGAUCUAUACAUUGUUGCACAGGGGUCAGACAAGCAAACAAGGAUGGCUUCUCCAACUUACAGAUUAACCACAUAGUCAUUCAUAAAAUUAAAACGAAACAAACAAAAGCAAAUGGUGCCACAAUCUUUGAAGCUUCUUUUCCAGUGUGAACCAAAGGUUCAAAACUGAAACAUAAGCGCAUAUGGUUCAUGUUCUAAAUAGAUAACAACACUACAGGCAGAAGUAUAAAAGUAAAAAUUCCUUAAUUCACCUAAAGAUAACUCUAAACACUAAAAUUUUGAUCAAUUUUAACAAAUUAACCAUUAGAUUAUGUACCAAAAGUAGAGCACUUAAAAGGGAAAGAUUCGAUUUUGUGAGAUACUUCAAGUGGCAGACUAUGAAAUCAAACCCAUAGAGAAAUCUGAUGAAAACCCUGUCUCAUUAACAAAUUGCCAUAUUUUAAAACCAUAAGAAGAGGCCCUCACUCCGAUGGGCAACGGCCUUCUCCAGGAAAAAUAUCUCCAAGUUUAAAGCAAGCAGUCUCAAGCUAACACAUUCCAAUUUUCUACUCUAGUAGUCUCCAGCUCUGGCUUUAACACUACUCUAAAAAUUUCAAAAUCUUCCCGUUUAGAAUAAAUUCUUCCACAAGCUCAACUAAAGAAACGGAAACCCUCAAUGAUCCAAAAAGAUCUGUAUCCAAAAACCCUCACAAGAUAUAAACUUUACCUUUUCCUUGAGAUUUCAGCAUCUCUUAGACUCUAAAACCAGCAACUCUGUUGUAUGUAUAAAGUUCUAAUUUGCAUGGGAACCUUGACACUCCAAGUUUCUUAUUUUCUUAAUAUUCCCCCGCAGCAAAAAAUCAAGUUUAAAAUUUCCCUUGUUGUGCUGUUUCCAUUACCAUCUCCAUUGGUUAAGCUGACAGGAAUCAUAUGUCUAUAACUUAAGAGCUCAAGUUAACUUGCCAAUUGUAUCAGGUCAUCAUCAUUGCUAGAAUAAAAAUUCUAAUACUGAUAUUCUCAAGAGAACCAAGAAACACUACCUCGAAUUCAUAUUCCAACAGCUCAAUAGAUAGAGAUUGCCAAGAAACAAAAAACAGCAAAGGAAAGAACAGCAUUCAAUUAUUUCAUUUUCAGAGUGCUGUACUGUUGAAAUCCAUAAUAUGCAAGCCAUAAAUAGCAGAAGGGAGUAUUACCAACCUUCAAGAACCAUGUCAAAAACCUUUUCUUCAAAUGUAAAUACCACAUCGAAGGAACCGUCAGCAGCAUUAUCUUGCCACCGCUGAGGUGCCAGUUUGACCGUUGAGUUUCUUUUAAGCAUAGGCAAAAUGCCAUUACGCUUGUACCUGCACUCUUGCUGUCAAGGUUUCACUCUGCUUUUAAAUGAAAAAAGCACAGCUCACAAUCCAGAGUACGCACAUACAUUUCAAUUCAUACGUCCUAAAAAACUGAACUAUUGUUAUUGAGAGCAACCAAUCGAAUUAUACAUAAGAUUCAACAGGAUAAUUUCAUUGCCCAGAAAUUAUCAGACUGCCCAUUCAAUUGCCAAAUCUUGAAGCUUUAAGCCUACAAUCUUAGUUACAUACUAGUCCAGCUCGAAUAUAAGAAACCCAAACAUUAUGAAUUCAAGGUGCAAAGAUGAUCUUUUUAUUUUUAAUGUUUUCUUGGUAAUUUAAGGAAUUUAUUUAUUACUCAAAUAUCAAUGACCCAUAACCCCUUACAGGCAGAACUGAAAGCAAGAUAAGAAACUAAAAGAUCCAAAAUUACAAGAAGAACUAAAAGAAAAAGGGGGAAUCAGAACCGCUUAGAUUAUGACCAUUGACAUGACCCACAGGCUCUAAAACCCAAAGCAUCGAAAAACCUAAUUGAAUGAAAUUAAAAGAAGAAAAAGUUUAGAGGAGGAUACAGUUCGGGGUCUUUUCGCCUAAGAUCGUCGAACAUCUGCUUAUAAGGAGUUCCAAAGUCGUAAACGUUGGGUUCUCUGAGGGAAGGACCAGGGAGCUUAACGUGGGCACCAGUGCCGUAAGACGAGACGUCGAAGCCUUGCCUCUUGAGGAGCGAGUGAGCCUCCAUGCUUCGGUUCUGGUUCGACGAACACACCAUGGCGUACCGGAACUUCAUGGCAGACACUGAACACACCACUGUGAACUCUCUCUCUAUCCGAUUCACAAUACGACGACGUCGGGGGCUGGGGCUGCGUGGGUUUUUUUUCACUUCUUCAGUAUUGUCAAUUUCUUUUCUCUUCAAGUAAAUAGUAUUGUCAAACGUAUAGCAGUGCUGCUAUACAGUAUACUCCAUUAACUAGUAUAUUUAAUAGUAUAGCCGCGCGGCUAUACUCCAUACAUAGAAUAUUCUAAUCGUAUCGCCGAGCGGCUAUACUUCAUAAAUUAUAAAUUCAAUAGUAUCGCCGCGCGGCUAUACUCAUACAUAGAAUAUUGUAAUAGUACAGCCGAACGGCUAUAUUCCAUAAAUAGUAUAUUUAAUAGUCUAGCCGCGCGGCUAUACCCCAUAAAUAGUAUAUGUAAUAGUAUAGCCGGCCGGCUAUACGCUAAAAAAAGAAUAUUUCACCAGCAGGCCGAACGGCUAUAAACCAUAAAAUAGUAUAAUAGUAUAGCCGCACGGCUAUACCUUAUAUAUAGAAUAAUUUAAAAGUAAAGGCGUGCUGCAUAUUCCGUACAACGAAUAUUUUAAACGUAUCGCCGCGCGGCUAUACUCCAUAAAUUGAAUAUUUUGACAAUGUAGCCGCGCGGCUAGACGCCAUACAUAGUAUAUUUAAACAUAUAGCGGCUAUACUACAUAAAAUAGCAGAAUCUUGAUUUCGCUUUUUUAAUUAGUUUAAUUAGUAGUUGAGUUUUAAUUAUUAUUUACUUAGUGAAUCAUUAGUAUUUAAAUAUUUUAUCAAAGAGAAAAUUUAAAUACUAUUUAUUAAGUAAUAUAUAAUUUAUGAAGUUAAUUAAAAUAUUAAUUAUUAAUUAUUUACUAAAGAAAUAAUAAUUAAAAUAUAAUUACUAAUGAAAGUAAUUAAAUAAAGCUAAUAUUUUAUUUGAUUACUAAAUUGAUAUUUAUUUUCAAAAAUAUCUCUCCCGACGAACUUUCAUCGGUAUAGGUCUAUCAUGGCGCAAAUUUGCCAAUUAGACCUCUCCCGACGAACAUUCAUCAAAAGAGGUUAGUUUCGUCGAGGGAGGUCUAAUCCGGCAAAUAUUUGCCGACAUAGAUCUAUGCAGACAAGGUUUUGUCUGGGGAGGUUUUUUUUUUUAAUAAAAAUAUAAAUUAUAAAUUUAGUUUCUUUAUUUUAGUUUUUUUGUCAACUUCUUUAGUUUAAUAUGUGUAAUUAAGUAACAUCUUAGCUUUUUUAAAUUAUUUUAAUUAGUAAUUAUGUUUUAAUUAUUAUUUCUUUAGUUAAUAUUUAAAUAUUUUGUUUAAUAAAUAGUAAUUAAUUAUUUUCCGAACAUUGUUUUUGUUUUUUAUUUUUAUAUUAAAUAAUAAUUAAAAUAUAAUAUAUUUAAAUAGUAUAGCCUCUAGGCUAUGCAGUUCAAAUAUUCAAAUUUAUUUAAGGAAAUAUGACAAAGAACACCUAAAAAGAUAAGCAACCUCUUUAUAUCAUUGCUCAUGCACAUGCAACACACAAAAAAUGCAUAAAUUUUCCCUCAACCACAAGCGCACACUAGGGAACAAACCUAUAAUGUAAAUACGUACCAUGUCUAAUUGAUUCAUUAUAAAGAAUCUUGAUUUUCCCUCAACCACAAGUGCACACUAAGGAACAAAGCUUUGUUACAGUGAAAUCAAGAUUUUUAUUGUUGGAAAUAUAUUUAAAGAGUAUAGCAGCGCGGCUAUACUCCAUGAAAUAGUAUAUUUAAUAGUAUAGCCACGCGGCUAUAAGCCAUACAUAGAAGAUUUUAAUAGUAUAGCCAUGCGGCUAUACGCCAUAAAUAGUAUAUUUAAUAGUAUAGCCGCGCAACUAUACCCCAUAUAAAUAUUAUAUUUAAUAGUAUAACCUCUCGACUAUACUCCAUACAUAGAAUAUUUUAAAAGUAUAGUAGCGCGGCUCUUAGUAUUGAUUGGUUGUGUUUGAUUAACCAAGUAUCGUCAUCCUUUUCUAAUAUAAAAUUUGUUUGGAAUGGGUUCCAUCACACUACUUGCUAAGCUAGAUGAUAACUGAAUAUUAUGUAUAAUGUCAUAUUUUUUAUUGUUUUGUAGCCUCAUAUAUAAAUAUAUAUUUUUUUUUUCAUAUACGUAACCAAGUAUGUAUGAAGGUAAUGACAUAGAAAACGUAGAAAUUGAUGACGAAGAAAUAGAGGAAGACGAAAUAAAUGAAGAAUUUGAUGAAGUCAUUAAUAUUUUAGUGAUGGCAAUUUAUGCAAUAACACAUAUACUAAAUUAGUUUCUGAUUAUGAUGCAUGGUGAACAAAUUGAACGUCCACUAACUCGACGAUGAAUUACUAGCAUUGGAUAUGACUAUAUACAUCAAGCAUUGAAUGAUGAUCUUGCAAUCUUCCGGCAAGUAUAUAGAAUGUAUCCAUAUGUAUUCCAUAAGUUAUGCACUAUUCUUAGAGAAAAAAAUACUUUUGGAGGAUACAAGAUUUAUUUGUGUUGAAGAAAUGCUUGCAGUGUUCCUACAAAUCAUUGGCCAAAAUACUAGAUAUUGUGUAACUCGUAAUACAUUUAGCCGAUCACAAUUCGCUGCAAGUGAAAAAUUUUACAAUAUUUUAAAGGCCUUGAAUUCAAUAGCAUAUGAUUUGAUGGCUAAACCAGAACCGGCUGUGCCCGCUAAAAUACGGGAAAGCACAAGGUUUUACCCUCAUUUCAAUGCAUGUGAUGAUUAUCUAAUUAUAUUAAUAUUGUAAUUAUAAUUGUCAUUAUUAUAAUAUGUAAUUUUCAUAAUAUGGUUAUAUUUACAUAUGAAUAAUUUUAGGAUUGCAUCAGAGCUAUUGAUGGUACAUAAGGGACGAGAAGCAAGCAGCUAUGGUAAUCGUCAUGGAAAGAUAUAACAAAAUAUAUUAGCAGCUUGUAACUUUGAUUUGGAAUUCAUUUACGUUCUUAGUGGGUGGGACGGUUCAGCUCAUGAUUCAAAGCUACUAAGUGAUGCUUUAUCAAGGAGGAACGGACUUAAAGUGCCUCAAGGUAAAAUCCUAUAAGUCAUUACAUUAUGAUUAAAUCCACUUAAUUUUUUUAUUUUAAAGUAAUCUUUUAAAAUCUCAUUUGAAUACACCCACUAAACCUCCCUUAUAUUUUCAAAAAAGUCACUAUCAUCAAAAUGCAUUUUUCCCUAUCUAAAAUAUAUAUACACGAAAAAAUAAGGCUCCACUAUAAGUGGGACGCGUGGCCCGUUAAGCUAUCACUCGUAAGUUCGUAACAUAUAACCAAAAUAAGAAAUUUCAGAAAAGCAAAUUGGGCCAAAUUAGAAAUCAAUGGCUGUAAACAAGUCCAGUCGAUGCAAUUCAAUGGAGGCCGAGGCCCCAACAAAAAAAAGGCGGAGAUGAUUUUUUGUUUUUGAGUUACAAAGAAAAUGUGAUUCUCAAUUUUUCACAAGAGGACGCAAUCCAACAUAAUCACUUGGAACUCCUAAGUGGGCCCCCAAUGCUCUAUCCUUAUUUGGGUUUCUGGAUAUAUCGCGAAGAUUGGCCUUGGGGUACUUCCAAUGAAAUCAUCUCAGAGCAACAACAAAAGUGUACUAUGUGGAUUGAUGUGGCAUGUUCACUUAUUACAAAACAACAACAAAAUUGUAUUUUUAUAAUAAUAAAAUAUGUGGGAUCUAAGACACCUAUUUAUUUUGGAGUAGUCAAUAUUGUCUUAGUAGGGAGAGUAAGUAUAUUUUACCUACUCAUUUGACUUUUUUUUUGAAACAUGAAAAUGGUAUGUGGCAAGGCAAACGAAGUUUACUUACUCUUUUAUCUCUUUCAAUGAAGAUGCUUUUAGACUGGGCUCGUUUGAGAGUGAUUCUGGAGAGGCAAAUAAUCACUUUUAUAAAUAAUCACUUUAAGUUAUUAUAUGGAAAAGCACGUGAAAUGUGCUUCUCUCCAGAAUUACUUAAAAUCACUUAUGGAGAAGGAAAUGGAAAGUAUUUCUUCCCAAAAGUAAUUCAAAUCUAUUAUGAAUUACUCCCAAAUGAGCCCAUAGUGUUAUUCUACAAGGUUUGGUGAAGCCAUGAAACUGGAAAGUCCUAAGACAGCCAUGUUUUUAUAUUUUUGCACUUAAAAUAUAAACUUAUUUGGAGCUUCUCUACCAGAAUAAAAACUAAAUCCCACCAAAUAGUCAUAAACUUAGGAUCUUCUCCUGCUUUACAAAUUAUAAAUAAAAUAAAAAAAACUUAGGAUAUUCUCUACAAAUAUAUAUAUAUAUAUAUGUCUCGUUGAAAAUGUUGUUUGGGCUUUGGCCCCUAUUAUACCCACACAAAAGAAAUAAUAAUGCACAUAAUUUUUUAUUUAUUUUCCCAUUAUUUUGUCUCUAUUUCCAGAUGGAGGAUAAAGGAGGAUCACAAAAUGUAAAAAUUGGCAAUUUUGCACUACGCCCACAGAAACCUUUGAAUUGUAAACGCCGACGUCUCCCUACACGUAACACACAGAUAGACACGCACACGCUCUCUCUCUGUCUAUAAAUUUUGCUCACUGGUAUGAAUUCCACAAGUCCUGUUGAAUUCCCAUUUUGCUAACUAGGUUUUCAUUGUUAAGCGAAAAAGAAUCAGAUUUUCAUCUUCCUGUCAGUUUUAAUCAUAAAUUAUAGGGUUGGGUUAGCAGAGCUGAAGAUGGAAGCAGCAGCCACGGCGAGCGUUGUCCAAUCAUCAAUCGCGGCCUUUAGGCCUUCCAAUUCAAUUGGCAGAUCGGGUAAUUUGGCGGCCAAUGGUCCCGCCGGUUUUCUGCGUUUGAGUCCUGGAUUUCACUUCUCAAUCAAGGUACUUUUUUGUUGUUGUUGGGGAUUUGGUUUCCUAAUGCGGUUUCUAAUAUGCUUGGUAGGUUUGGGGUCUUGGGUCUAUACAAUAUGCAUGAUCCCGAGUGUGUCGCGAGAAAUAAGUUGAUCUGGUAAUUGAUGAGAAUUCUAGGGUUUCUGUUAAAUAGUGAAAGAUUAAAUCUUGAUUAGGAGUGUAGGACUUUUAGUUGGUAUGGUUAGAUUGUGUUGUUUGUAGCAUAAGCUUUAAUGUCUUUCCACAAAUAAAAGAGAAAAGAGCACAUAUCUUUUUUAGAUUGAUACACAAAGAACGGGUUUUGGAGGUAGGAGAUGACCCCUUUCCGGAACACUUGAGGGUUUUGGAUUGAUUUUUCUUUCAACCCUUUCAGAAUAUUUCUAGCUGUGACAGAUGGACCCUCAUUUUGUUUAUUGGAUUGGUGAGCUUGGAGUUGUAGUUGAGUAAUAUUUAAUCUUAUUUCAUGUUUAGCAGCACCAGUUUUCAAUCUCUCAACCAAAGGUGGGUCAUUGGAGAAUGGGCUUUGGAAGUAGGAGAUGCUUGGUCGUUAGGGCAGCAGCUGCAUCUCCAUCUCCGGACUCAACAGGUUCUACUUCUCCAAUUGCCCCACUUCAGCUGGAGUCACCAAUUGGACAGUUCCUCUCUCAGAUAAUGAUAAGCCACCCGCAUCUUGUGCCUAGUGCAGUUGAGCAGCAGCUUGAACAGCUUCAAACAGAUCGCGACACUGAGCAAAAGCAGGAAGAGCCUUCUGCUUCUGGCACUGACCUCGUUUUGUACAGGUUUGUUGCAAUCUUGCGAUUGAGGAAUAGCCAAUUGUGUUUUCAAUUAAGUCAAGCUAAGCUACAAAAUUGAACCAUAAGUUAAAUGUUUUGUUUUCAUACGAAUAUCAGAAUAAAGGAAAGGAAAAGUUUGACCUUUUUGUGUAAUUUUAGCAAGAAAGUUUCUGUUGUUCUUAACAAUCUAGAAAAUGACAUGAUGAAAAGAUUUUUUUUAUUUAAGAAAAAUAAAGAAACAGAACUUGCAGUCUUUUUUUAUUAUUUUGAUUUAACCUUGCCUCGCCUCCUCCAUCAUUUGCUAUAUGGGACUAAAUAGAUAAAUGUAGUUUUGAAGAGAUAUAUUGAUCCUUUAUUAACUUAUUCUGCAAUAUCAGGAGAAUUGCCGAGGUUAAGGCUACUGAAAGGAGAAAGGCUCUUGAAGAGAUUUUGUACACUUUGGUGGUGCAAAAAUUCAUGGAUGCUAAUGUUUCUUUGAUACCUGCCCUUACCCCAUCUGCUUCAGACCUUUCUGGUCGAGUUGAUACAUGGCCAAGUGAAGAGGACAAGCUUGAGCAACUUCAUUCACCUGAAGCCUAUGAGAUGAUCCAGAACCACCUAGCUCUCAUCCUAGGAAGUCGGUUGGGUGACUCAGCCUCUUUAGCACAGAUAAGCAAACUCAGAGUUGGGCAGGUUUAUGCAGCAUCUGUAAUGUAUGGGUACUUCCUCAAGCGGGUUGACCAGAGGUUUCAGCUGGAGAAGACAGUAAAGAUCCUUCCAAAUGCACUGGGUGCCGAAGACAGUAAUGUUCAGAAAUCUGUGGGGGAGGACAUGAGGCCUGGUGGUGAAGAGGAGUCUUUGCAAGCAGGGGCUUCCCAUCCUGAAGUCACUUCCUGGGGUGGAGGCAUCAGUCCUGGGGGUUUUGGUAAUGGAAUUAAGCCAUCCCGCUUGCGGACCUAUGUGAUGUCUUUUGAUGGAGAGACCCUUCAUAGGUAUGCAACAAUUAGAUCGAGAGAGGCUGUUAGCAUCAUUGAAAAGCACACCGAGGCAUUGUUUGGAAGACCUGAUAUUGUCAUAACACCUCAGGGGACUGUUGAUUCUUCCAAGGAUGAUCACGUCAAAAUUAGCUUUGGUGGUUUGAGGAGACUUGUUCUGGAAGCCGUGACUUUUGGUUCUUUUCUUUGGGAUGUUGAGAGUUAUGUGGAUUCCAGGUAUCAUUUUGUUACAAACUGAGUUAUGUUGAGUGAAGAUCCUGCCCUUGCAAACUUGGUGGUGCGUGUGGAGGCACAACAUUACAUACCAUAAUGGGAUAUUGACUGUAGGCCUAGUGAAAAUACCAAAUAUUUGUAUUUGGUGCUAAUUGCUGUGUAUAUAUAAACUGUUCAAGAUUUGCCUUUGUCCGUGCUGUGUGGAGAAAUAGGUAGGAUUUUAUUACUUUGAUCUCAAGUGUGGAGCCGGACCAUUUUGCAGGGUUUUGAAACUGUGUAAUUUUUCUGUUCGCGUGUCGAGGAUUUUUCAUUGAUACAAGAAGUUACAAGAAGAUAAAACGUGGGUAAUUUUAUUUCAUAGAGAACGCUUAGGGGAGAGUCUGUCUUGACAUCUCUACAUGGAAUCGUAAAGAAGCUUGGAUAGAUUCAGACGAUGCAGAAGUGUGCCAGAUACAUCGUAGAAUGCAAAUUCAGCAUCAGUCUCUGUAAAUUGUGCAGAUAAGAAACCCUGCCCGUCAUAGUAAAACUUGGACCCAUCCCUUUUCAUUUUAAUGUCACCCUUCCAUGCUUUCGACCCACCACCACUGGUCAAGAAUUGGAUUUGGCUGCGUAAACAACUUCAACUAGUGAGAUUUUUAAGAAACAAUUCAAUUUAUUGAUAAAUAGAACUAGUAACGGUUAAAGCUAUGUUUACCUGUUGGUGCUGCUUAUGUGUUCCAAGCAGUGGUCGUGUCCAUUUAUGUACGCAUCAACGUUGUUUGCCUGAAUCAUAAUGAAUCAUAAUAAAAAUACGAAUAGAUUAGAUUAUCGCUUGUACAAAAACUAAACAAAAAAAUAUAUGAAAUAUAUGAAGAUGAAGUUACCUCUAGAAUGGGAAGAAUCUGGUCUACUACUUCUUUGGUGUCUCCAUGAUGCCCUAUGCUUCGGAUUGUAUGAUGUCCGACGACAACUUUCCAGUUUGCAGAAGAAUUUCUCAAUGCAAAAUCUAGAUCCUGUUCCCAAAACAAAAGCAAUGUAUUAGAUUUGGACAAUGAAAAGCACUGUUUGAAUAUGAUGGUAGAAAGGAUCCAAUGUUGUAAUGAGAAAGAUGAUGAGAAGAACCUUCAAGAGGUUGGAGGUGUACUGUUUCCUAGGAAGCACACCUCUCCAGUCAUGCUGGUAGUGCUUUUGCCUCAGAAAGUACUUGUCCACAAAAGGAUUGGUGUCGAUGAAGAAGAAGUCUGCAAUUUUUGUGUUAACAAGAAAGGACCUGAGGCAAAGCCAGCGGCUGUCGAUCUUCCUAAGGACUGGGCUCAAUUGGGCCAAAGCAUUUCCCCUGUAGUCAUGGUUGCCAAGAACUGAGAGUUCCCCAGAAUCAAAGUGAAGGAGAUAAGAUGGAAAACAAAGUCAGCGCCAUGCCUAUGCCAAUUUCCAUGAGAAGAGUCAGUCAGUUUUGUGUGCAAUUGAACUCACCAAUAUACCAUUGCUUUUGGAGGCUCUUAGCAGUGUAGAUUUCAGUAAACGACUCCACAAAUGCAGGGUCAUUUACGCUGGUCAAUCCCCUGCUGUAAAAAUUAUCCCCAGUAGAGAUCACGAAGUCUAUGUUUAAUUUGGCUCCAAUCUCUCCCAUCUACAAUUCAUUACAAAACACCGCAACAUUAUUGUCUACUGUCCUCCAGAAAUCCCUUGCCCCCCUUGGAAACAGAGGAAACAGAGCACCACGAAACCAAGAAAGAAGAAAAUCCCAGGCCACAUACUGAUACUCCACGGAGGAUUUCCAAUAAAUUCCAAGUUUAUAGAUGCAAUUAACAUUCUAAUUGUAUUUAGUUUACUUUAGGAUGGUACCUAUCAAACCAACAAAAAAAAAACUCUCACAUGAAAAUAGUUUUUCUUUCUUUGUUUCUUUCUUAUCGUUUUUUCUGGAAAGAAAGAGCUGAAUGUUAUCCCUGUGCUGCAACAUAUCAUAUGGCUUGUAUUUAUUCGUUGGGAAAAUCUGAACCUGAAAUCCCAUCUCAAAAUAUAUGUCCUUCUCCUGGUGUUGACACCUAAUUACCGAAACAAGUAGAGAGAGCGGUAAAAGGAGGGUGACGCAUGGAGCAGCAAGUGAUGAGUUGUUGGAACAUAAUGGCUUCUGGACAUGCAACACAAUUCACAUUUGUCCUUUACUUUUGCGGAAUAUGCCAAGUAAAAAAGAAUGAUCCCGUUCAAAAAGAAAAAGCUAAUCCGUCCUGCUAAAUGACGAAACUUUUCAUGCAUAUCAUGCAGCUAGCACAGGAACAAAGCUGUUCGUUAGGUGGUACCUUUUCUCUGCAGCUUCUUAAUUAGCUUGCACACAGAGAGAGAGAGAGAGAGAGAGAGCGAGAGAGCGAGCUUCUCAUCAAGACUAUUUCAGUAUGUAAAAGAAACACAUAACACAUAAAAGGAACAGGAAAUAUAUACUACUAUUCCUUGAGGAGGUUGUGUGGAAAAUAGGAAUCAACUGGAGAUUAAAGAAAACAUGAUUAAACCGUGCAAAUUUAAGGCGGGGAAGGAAAUUAAGUUACCAAGUUAAGCAUACAGUUCCCCUAUAAAUUAUAAUUAAUUUUAUUAUGUAAGUAGCAAAUACAAUCUUCUCUCUGUUGUUAAUUAAGAACCAAACGAGGCUUAAUUAUAAGGAAACUAAGAAACUUCGUAGAUAGAAGAGAUCAAGAGUCUGUCUAUGAUAAACAUAUUGAUAAACAGAUUAAAGAGAAGAAAAGUCUGUGGAGUCUAGUUUGUUUUGUAGUAAAGAUGGAUAAAAAUGGAUGAAGUGAAGAGAGAUUAUAAAACCUGAUAAGCUACUUGAGAUUGAUUGUAAGCACCCCUUCUGCCCCAAUCACCAAUCGCCAAGAAGCUAAGUGACCCAUCGGCUUUGACAGGGUGCUCAAAUCGCUGAAGCUCGGCUGUCGACACAGAAACAAAGCUCAACCAAAUAAUAUUGUACAUGCAAAUAACCACCCACAGCCACAGGAAACCCAUGGACAUGGCCGGAUAUUGUUAAUGAUCGAAAUCAACCAAUGUUCUGAUUUGGAACUAUGAUGCAAGAGAGAGAGAGAGAGCAGAGAGUAGAGAGAGAGAGAGAGAGAGCAGAGAGUAGAGAGAGAGAGAGAAAGCAGAGAUGGUUGAAACUAUGAUGAAACUUCUAAAUUUGAGUGUAUAUAUAUAGGCUAAUUCUUCUCAGUGGCUGUACAAACACACAGUAGGUGAUAAUUAAUGAUCUAAAGACCAUAUAUAGUGCAAUAUUUACACUCUAAUUUUAAGAUGUCCCAUACACAAAUGUAAAAAUAACAUGCAAUGCAAAGGAAAGUGAAUGCUACGUCGACCCACCGAUCUACUUUAAGAUAUAGCAGCAGCGGGCCGCAUAUCUGCAAGGUAGUGCAGUAAAUUUGCGGUAACGCUGGGUCCCAUCCUGGCUAGGGUUUCUUUCUUAUCAGUUUCCUAGCAAUUUCCUAAAUCUUGUUUUUGUCUUCCAGGUUUAUGUCCUUUGGCAAUUAGGUGACAAUAAGUGGACCCAGCGGAGAAUCCUCUCUCUGUGUCCUGAGCCUGAAGACACAAACUUGGCUGAUGGAGCCAAAGUUUCAAAUUAAAUGACCACAUUCGUAUCAUGUUACCCUCUUGAUUUAUUGGCGUGUCUCAGUCUUAGAAAAUGUACCAUAUAUUUCUUGGCUUAAUUUUGUCUUUCUAGUUGUUUGCCACGCAAGAAUGGAUCAGUUGGCAGGAAGUUCUGCUAAACACAUCCUUAAUUAUGUUUGUUUGUUUCCAGAUAACAUAUUUGAGAAGCAGCUUGAAUCUGGGUUUCCUUGUUUUGUUUAAAAUGUUGUACUUGUAUGGAGCAAGAUAAUCUUGGCAUAUAUAACUGUAGCGGUCGAAAAAAUCAACCAAUUUGGUAAUUAAGGAUGCAGCCAAAUGAGGGACAUUAAUUAAAAAAUAAGAACAUUUGGUAAUUGAAUCUAUUGAAGAAUACACAAGUCCCACAUCAGAAACUUAACAAAAUAAAAAGUCCCCGUAUAAUAAAUGGUUCCACUCCUAAUAACAUCGAGGCCUUUUGUAUAAAACUCCACACCUGCUAAACAGGUGGGUAAAUUGGCAACAAUAUCAAUGUUGCUAGUGGUGGGCCAAGGGUGUCACACCCCGGGAUCGGCUCCGCCGUAGCACGAUAUUGUCCGCUUUGGGCCCCCCUCUCUGCCCGCACGGUUUUGUUUCUGAGAGCUCACGAACAACUUCUCAGUGAGUCACCCAUCCUGGGAUUGCUCUGGCCCCCAACUCGCUGAACUUCGGAGUUCCUACGACUCCGAAGCCAAUGAGCUCCCAAAAGGCCUCGUGCUAGAUGGAUGCGGUGUGCACAUAUAAGGCACAUCACCCACUCUCCGUUGGUUGAUAUGAGAUCUUACAAUCCACCCCCCUUAAGGGCCCGACGUCCUCGUCGGCACACUCGCACCACACGACAGAAUGGCUCUGAUACCAAAUUAUCACAUCCCGGGAUCAACUCCGUCGUAGCACGAUAUUGUCCGCUUUGGGCCCCCCUCUCUGCCCGCACGGUUUUGUUUCUAGGAGCUUACGAGCAACUUCCCAGUGAGUCACCCAUCCUGGGAUUGCUCUGGCCCCCAACUCGCUUAACUUCGGAGUUCCUACGACUCUGAAGCCCGUGAGCUCCCAAAAGGCCUUGUGCUAGAUGGAUGCGGGUGUGCACAUAUAAGGCACAUCACCCACUCUCCGUUGGUUGAUGUGGGAUCUUACAAUAAAAGAAGAGGCGAACCUGUCAAACAACCGAUACAACCACCCCAGCCAGUCACCCAGCUGAGAAUGAUCCUCUACGGCUAUUUGGUUCCUAAGGAACUAGAAGCUGUUAAUCACGCUCUGAUCGUACGGUCUUGAUUCAUCAACCAAGUUGGGAUUCCUGUCUCCUUAGAAAUCAAGGAUACAGAGGUACGAUCCUAUAGAACAGAUAUUGUCCGCUUUGGGCCCCCCUCACUGCCCGUACAGUUUUGUUUCUAGGAGCUCACGAGCAACUUCCCAGUGGGUCACCCAUCCUGGGAUUGCUCUAGCCCCCAACUCGCUUAACUUCGGAGUUCCCACGACUCCGAAGCCAGUGAGCUCCCAAAAGGCCUCGUGCUAGAUGGAUGCGGGUGUGCAUAUAUAAGACACAUCACCCCCUCUCCGUUGGUUGAUGUGGGAUCUUACAAUCCACCCCCCUUAAGAGCCCGACGUCCUCGUCGGCACACUCGCACCACACGGCAGAGUGGCUCUGAUUGUCACACCCCGGGAUCGGCUCCGCCGUAGCACGAUAUUAUCCCCUUUGGGCCCCCCCUCUGCCCGCAUGGUUUUGUUUCUGGGAGCUCACGAGCAACUUCCCAGUGGGUCACCCAUCCUGGGAUUGCUCUAGCCCCCAACUCGCUUAACUUCGGAGUUCCUACGACUCCGAAGCCAAUGAGCUCCCAAAAAGCUUCGUGCUAGAUGGAUGCGGGUGUGCACAUAUAAGGCACAUCACUCCCUCUCCGUUGGUUGAUGUGGGAUCUUAUAAUAAUUGUCACACCCCGGGAUCGGCUCCACUGUAGCACGAUAUUGUCCGCUUUGAGCCCCACUCUCUGCCCGCACGGUUUUGUUUCUGGGAGCUCAUGAGCAACUUCCCAGUGAGUCACCCAUCCUGGGAUUGCUCUGGCCCCCAACUCGCUUAACUUCGGAGUUCCUACGACUCCGAAGCCAGUGAGCUCCCAAAAAGCCUCGUGCUAAAUGGAUGCGGGUGUGCACAUAUAAGGCACAUCACCCACUCUCCGUUGGUUGAUGUGGGAUCUUACAAUCCACCUCCCUUAAGAGCCCGACGUCCUCGUCGGCACACUCGCACCACACGACAGAGUGGCUCUGAUACCAAAUUGUCACAUCCCGGGAUCAACUCCGCCGUAGCACGAUAUUGUCCGCUUUGGGCCCCCCUCUCUGCCCGCACGGUUUUGUUUCUGGGAGCUCACGAGCAACUUCCCAGUGAGUCACCCAUCCUGGGAUUGCUCUGGCCCCCAACUCGCUUAACUUCAGAGUUCCUACGACUCCGAAGCCAGUGAGCUCCCAAAAGGCCUCGUGCUAGAUGGAUGCGGGUGUGCACAUAUAAGGCACAUCACUCACUCUUCGUUGGUUGAUGUGGGAUCUUACAAAGGGUCCGUCCCUUUGAAAUCUUAACAUGGUAUCAGAGUCAAGUUGGUUGACUGGACCCGAUUAAACCAAAUCAAACAAACUCAAAUCAAACAAAAAAAACCCCAAAUUGAAUCAAAAUCAAACAAACCCCAAAUUAUAAAAAUAAAACAAAUAAAAAAUAAAAAGUGAACGAUGUGGAAUUGGUUGCACGUGUGGCCCAGUAAAAAGUGGUCCCACGUGAGGAGGAGUGUUGAAGAAUACACGAGUCCCACAUCGAAAACUUAACAAAAUAGAAAGUCCCAUAUAAUAAAUAGUUCCACUCCUAAUAACAUCGAGGCCUUUUGUAUAAAACCCCACACCUGCUAAACAGGUGGUUAAGUUGGGGACAAUAUCGAUGUUGCUAUUGGUGGGCCAAGGAUCCGUCCCUCUGAAAUCUUAACAGAAUCUUCGUCCUGGCAACAAUCUAUAAUAUGAACUAUAUGCGGCUGCAUUGAAUCUGAAUCUGAAGCUAUAAUAUCUUCCCUCUAGGCUUCUAGGCUGGAGGUACAAAACUUAAUUUAUGUAGAUGGGUGAAGCUGCUUGGAAGAAUGCGAUCUAUGUAAAACCUUGCCAAAAACAUCAUAAAAAGCGAUCUCUGCAUCCGUGGGAUUCAACUGCACAGACAUAAAGCCUUGACCAUCAUAAAAGAAGUUGAGCCCUUCUUUGUUCAACCCCUUAAUGUCUCCCCUCCAUGCUUUGGACCCUGCUCCACUUGUUAGAAAUUGUAUUGGGCUGCAACAAAUCCAGUUUCAAUCAGCUUUAGUUGCACAUACAGACUCUUCCAUUCUUAAGAAACACCUGAAUUGAACUUACCUUUCUGUGUCACUAAUGUGUUCUAGGCAAUGAUCGUGCCCGUUCAUGUAAAAAUCGACAUCAUUGGCCUAAGAUUUAUGAAGGAUUUAGCAGAGUUAGCAUCUAUUUUACAUCCAUUCAUCUCAACAAGAAAGCAGCAUAAAAUUAACCCUUUGCUUUAGAAUUGGAAGCUUUGACAGAUAUACCUGAAGGAUUGGGAGAAGCUGCUUUAUAAGUUCCUCUGUAUCACCAUGAUGCCCAACACUUCUAAUUGCAUGGUGACCAACUACUAUCUUCCACUUUGCAGACGACUUCUUCAGUGCAAACUCGACAUCCUAUUACAACAUCAUUAUUUAUAUUAAUAAGCAUCAUCAAUGAUUAAGCACAUUUUAGGUAAGAAAGAUACUCAAAAUUCAAAAUGGUAGCAGAAAAUUAAUUAUAUAUAUAUUAUAUACCUUCAAUAAGGUUGCAAUAUAAUCCUUGCGAGAGGUAAUGCCUCGCCAAUCAUAAGUAUGGUCCUCUGUGUUUGUGAAGUACUUAUUGACAAGAGGAGUGGUGUCCACAAAGAAAAUCUCUGCUAAUUCUGGGGAAAAAGAGAUAGGACGAAAUUGCUUAUGUUAUGAUUGAGUCUUACAGAUAUCAAUUUCUUGUGUAGAAAAACUGAUACUAAGAGUAUGUAUAAUAUAUGCUCACCUGCAUUGACAAUGAAAGACCUCAAACAAAUCCAUCUGCUAUCAAUUUUCCUAAGAAGAGGGCUCAGUUGAGCCUCUGCAUCACCCCUGUAGUCAUGGUUGCCCAACACUGCAUUCAAAGUUAUCAAAGUCAAAAACAAAUUUAUUGAAAUUUUUAUAACUAAAAGCUUUCUUUCGAGUAUUGGAAAUUUGGAACUUACCGCUGUACCACUGCUUUUGCAGGCUUUUUGCUGUGUAGAUUUUGGUAAAUGACUCCUCAAAUGCUGUGUCAUGUUCGCUUGCCAAUCCAUUAUCAUAAAAGUUAUCGCCCGUCGAAACCACAAAAUCUAUGUCAAGCUUCUCUCCAACCUUUCCCAUCUACAAAAGUAGUCGUACCACAAAUUUGUUUAGCAAACACAGAUUAGAUUGACUAAUUCUUGCACUUGAAGCAAUCAAGAAAAUGCAGGCAGGGGACUCAGAGAGAAGAAAAACAACAAAGGGAAACAAGGUAUACUGUUAUAUGUUUUUUCUUACUAUGUAAAACUUUUUUUUUUAUGAAAGUAUGUUCUUGAGUGGCUGUGGCUUCACAUGAUGCACCUUGCCAGAAAUCAUGAGUAGAAUAUAUGAAUGACAAGAAGCAUUAGAAGUUGUGGAACCUGAAAGGCAACUUGAGAUUGGUUAAAAGCUCCUCUUCUCCCCCAGUCACCAAGUACCAAGAAACUAAGUGAUCCAUCUUCUUUGGUGGGAUGUUCGAAUCUCUCAAGCUCUGCAGAUGUAAUUACCAGACACAGGCCAAAACUCAGGAUCAAGAAAAAGCACAAGGUCCUGGAAUUUUUGUAAGGUAUAGCCAUAAUUUGAUAUGGCUCUGCCGGAGUUUAUAAGGAAAUUAAUAACUGUAUGUAUGGAUGAAUGAAACUGAGGCAAGAGUAAAGAGUUAAAGAGUCCUGCGGCCUCUUAUAUAAUAGCAAGGUUGGUAAUUAAGUAAGAAACAAGGCCAUUUAAUUAUAAUUAUGAUUCAUGAUGAAGAUGAUGACAGCAUAUUUUCUCAUCCAGCAACUGAUGUUGGUGUAAAAUUUGUAAUUUAGUGCUGCUGAGUGAUUCUUUCUUUCUUUUUCUUUGGUUUUUUUUUAUUAUAUAUAAGUAUUGGUUUAAAUUUGAUUGCGUUUGAUUUGACAGAGAGAACAUGAACAUGACUCAUGACCAUAAUGUUGUUUCAUGGAUUAUAAAUCUAUAGUUAGAACAGACAGUUUCAACUUUGAAGACAGUGCAGUACACAAGAGGUUUGCAAUUAAAAAACCCAAUUAUUUAUAACCACACAACAGAAUUUGUUAUAAUCAUGCAGGUGCAUGCAUCAGAAUUUCAGAAAGAUGCAGUGAUGAGAUGCGAAUAUGCCUCUGGCAUAACUGCUAGAGCCGUUUAGAAUAUUCGGAGGAUCCGAGUCCAAGAUCGGGAAUUCUGUUUUCCCCCACUCAGAAUAUGACACGGCAGACGUCAUCAUCACCUAAAAGCGAGCCAAAUUGGUUUCUUUGAAACUACCUUCUUUUUUUUUUUUUUUAAGAAACUACUAUUGAGUAUGACUACUACGGCUCCUUAACCUAAUAAAGGCUAAUAAAGGCAGAGGGUAAGCGAGAAGAAAUACUUUCCUUUCUCCGUUUCAUUGUAUUCCUAUUUUUAUCUCUCUCUCUUAUGCUUUAAUAGGUGGAGUCAUGCUAUAGUGAGGGACUUAUCUAAAGCCCUUAAAUAAGAUAAUGUCUUCUCUCUUAACUAUUUGAUUAAACUAAUUCAUUUAAUCUAACUCCUAAUUAAUUUGAUCCAACGAUUAAGAGAUAAUGUUUCAUCUAAGAGCCUUACUUACUAUAAAAUUCUUGUUGAUAGGUGAUAGAAAGAUGAGGACAAUGAAACUAGAAUAGAAAAGUUUUUAAUAGUUUAUACAAUAUUUUAAAGGUAUGCCAAGGGGGUAUACUCCAUAAAUAGUAUAUUUAAUAGUCUAGUCGCACGGCUAUACUACAUAGAAUAUUGUAAAGGUAUCGCCGCGUGGCUAUACUCCAUAAAAGUAUAGCCGGACAGCCAUACUCCAUAAAAAUAUUUACGCUAAAUAUUUAACAGUAUAACCGGGCGGCUAUACCCCAUAAAAUAGUAUGUUUAACGGUAUAUUUUAAAAGUAUAGCCGCACGGCUAUACUCCAUAAAUUAUCAUAUUUAAUAGUAUCGCCGUCGGGUAUACUCCAUGUACAGAAUAUUCUAAAAGUAUAGCCGCUCGGCUAUACCCCGUAAACAGUAUAUUUAAUAGUAUAGCCGGUCAGCUAUACCCCAUAAAUAGAAUAUUUUAACAGUAUAGCCGCUCGGCUAUACUUUAUAAAAAUAGUAGAAUCUUGAUUUCUCUUUUUUAAUUAGUUUAAUUAGUAGUUAUGUUUUAAUUAUUAUUUACUUAGUGAAUAAUUAGUAUUUAAAUAUUUUAUCAAAGAAAUUUUAAAAAAAAUUUAUAUACUAUUUAUUAAGUAAUAUAAUUUAUUAAGUUAAUUAAAAUAUUUAAUACUGAUUAUUCACUAAAGAAAUAAUAAUUAAAAUAUAAUUACUAAUGAAAGUAAUUAAAUAAAGCUAAGAUUUUAUUACUAAUAGAAAAGUUUUUCUCUUAAGAGAGGGAGAAUGAGUACCUGCACAAAUUGGAUCAGGUUGGAUUGAUUUGAAAAAAAAAAUAGAGUAAAAAAAGGGUUGGAUCGCAUCUAAAAUGAUAGCCCAAAACCUAUAUGAAAGCCCAUAAUCAAAAGAUGUUUGAGUUGGGUUCAGAAGUUGGACUGGACCACAGCUAGAAUGUUGGCCCAAACUUGAGGUCGGUUCCAGAGUUCACAGCUUAUAUUAAACGAAUAGGUGAUUAGGGAUUGUGGUUGAUUACAUUCGUUCUUGAAGAAAUCAGAAUUAUAUUCAUCGUCAAGAAAGAAACAUCCUUUCCUUAGCUCUCUCUCUCUCAAACAUGCUAAGAUCAGACGAGGAAGACGCUUCAGAGCUCAAGAUUGGAGACGGUAUCUAAAUAUUAUUUUCCCAAAGAUGUUUUCAAAUCCCUAAUGCACAAUUUUGGACAUUGUUAUCGAUGUGAUCCUAGGCAGAGUUUUACCUGCUGUUCGGCUGUUUUGUCAAUUUUCAAUAUCAUGAUACCUAAAGUUUUGUUUGUGUAUCAAUGAAAGAGGGUAGAAAACCAUCAAUUUUGUAUGUAUAAAGAAAAAGAAGUAUAGAAGAUGUGACAUUGUACCAGAAAGAAAGAAAGAAUGACUGUUGGCGUAUAUAUGAAUGAUAUAAACAUGAGUUUGUAUGGGACCUUGAUUGAAUUGUAAACGUAGUGAGGUUAAAGUUUGAAUAUAUUAAGUUAAUGACAUUGAGUUUGUGGUUGUGAAGAUUUCUUGAAGGCGAAAUGUUUAAUGAAUAGUGAGGUUGCCAUUCUGCUUGAGCAUAGAUGUGAUCAGAUGAAGCAUAUGUCUGGCGAUUCAACGACCCAACUUCCUCAGUAAGAUUUACAUUACACUCUCGUAAUCUCGUAAUCUCGUAAUCUCGUAAUCUCGUAUCGUAUAUUUAUUAUUGUAACCAUUACCAUACAUACAUUAUAUAUACAUAUAUGUUGUGGCUGUGUACUAGAACCAAAUAAGAACCAAGAACCAAGAACCAAAUGAUGAUGAUGAUGAUGAUGAUGAUAAUAUUUGAUCAAAAUGGAUGAUGAUGUUAUUUUCCUUUCCUGGCUGUGUAGAGUGUUGGAGAAAUCACUGCAGUAUGUUAAGCGCUUCAGUCGCUUCACGAAUCAGGGCUCUGUAAAGCAAGUUCGAGAGUAUCCUACAUUGCUUGCUUUCUUGUUGUUGAUUUAUAUACACUAUUACAUGUGGUAGUCUUCGUUGUUAUUCUUAAUAAAUAGCAUUCAGAGUCCUGAGUAGAUACCAAUUGGCUGAAUUCGAGGUAAUAAUUAGGGAGAUUCACUAUUAUACCCAAUAUAUAUUCGAGGUACCAAACCAAAACAUUCAUUCAAAACAACAAAUUAAUUUGUUAAUGUGUUCUGCCCUGCAGCUGGCUGUCAUUGGGAAUCUCUGUCCUGAAAAUGUGGAAGAAGCCAUGUCACUUGUGCCUUCCCUCAAGGUAUUUUUUUAUUUCCGUUUCAUCAUUGAUGUUUUUGUCUGCAAAACCUAUAAUUGAUGAACCUCCCUCCUCAUCAAAUUGCAGACCAAAGGACGUGGGCAUGAUGAAGAAGCCAUUGAGAGACUGUUAAAUGACCUCUUGAUGAUUAAAAAGUUUGAGUGAAAUAUGUGCUUCCUUCCAGCCUUCCAUGUUUCUGUGGUCAGCUGCUAGUUUAUAGCAUGUUUUGAUUUAUGGCCCAACGUACGGUCUUGUCUUGAGGCAGGCUUGGUUGUGUAUGGAGUUUAAGCAUAUGGGCCACGUUAGGCCAGACAACAAGACUAUCGAAGCACAGUCGAGUUUAAUUCAAGAAACAUAUUUCAUUUUCAGUUUUCAAAAUCGCCAUUAAUUUUGAAAACAACUUUAUAGUGUCUUUAGUCUUUUUCUGGAGCUACUUUCUCAUUCACCAAUUGUCAUCACUACACCGAUUUAAAAUUUGGCUCAAUUUAUGUCUACUAUAGAAGAAAGAUAAGAAACUCUUUCUGUGUGUUGCCGAUUUAACUCCAGAAAUGAAGAACAUGCAUCGUCUUCGUCCAACCAUACGUAUACAUAUACGUUUAUUCUCUUUUGAUAAUAAAAGAUGGUGUAAUUGAUUUGAAGUAGCAAUAAUGAAGUUGAGGCUGAGGUAGCAUGUAAUGUAACGUAACCCAACUCUACCCUAUCAAUGUCAUCCCUAUUUAUAACUUUAACAACUAGUUAUGCGCAGCAGAGUACAGGGCCUCAUAAAAUAAUUAACGAAAAAGCUAUUCAUUCAAUUCAAUUCCAUAUUGGAGGUGUGAAAUUGAAAUUGGUCAGUCUGAUAAAUUAUUAUAUAUGUGGAUGGUGUGGUGGAAGCAAGGAAGGAAGGGAGGCCCCUGGUGGUUCCAUUCCAUCCACCUUCACGAAUGUUACUCCCCCAAUUCAAACCUGACCUCACAGACUGACACUAUUAAUUAAUAAUGAUAUACAUAUAAUAUAUAUAUAUAUAUACGUCUUGUUAUAAGAAAAUUUUCAUUUAAUUGUCCAAGAAAAUUACAGAAGUAAUUUAAUUAUGUUUUUUGUUUGUUGGAAAUAAUAUUAAAUUUGUUGAGGGUACAAGAAUACAAGGAGUUAAUUUCAUGGUGUCAGCUGCACAAACUGAUGAAGGAGGAUGAGAAAGAAGAAAGCAGGAAAAAAACAAGUGUAGUAGGUUUGGUUUCCAGUUUCCAGUUGCAUCUGUUGGCUCUGUUGGCUCUGUUAGCUCUGUUAGCUCUGGCUUUCGCAGGAUCACAGGCUCUCUCUGAGUACUGGCAGUCAGCCCUGGCUUGUUAAUUGUGGGAUAUUAUAUACAUAUAUAUAACAUGCAGGGGAACGUCUACAUCUUUCCUUCUCGGUAUUCUAUGCGAUGUGAAAGCUCAGUGACAUCCAGUUUUAUGCUUGACACACACACACUCUCUCUCUCUCUGAUAUACUCGCUCUUGUUCAAUUCAAUUCUAUUCAAUUCAAUUCUAUUCUCAAUUAUGACCAACCUAUGGAUGGGAGAUGGGGGGGCGGUGGUUGAUUUCAAUGUUGCCUCGGGCUUUAUGAACAAUAGGAAAAAAGAAACAAAAAAAAGUCAAAAGAAGUCAAAUUCCAAACAAAAGUUUCAAAGGCCCCAAAGCAAAACCCCAUUUUUUUCACCAUAAAGAAAGAAAGAUUAGACAUCAUCCAUAGUAGGCUGCUGCUGCUACUAGCAAAGCCUAGCUAGUAGGCCUUCCCUUUUUGUUGUCAAAAAGACGUUGGAAUUGCUGAAUAAAGUAGAGGCCUUUUCUCUCUCUCUCUCUCCUGACCCUCCUUCAAUCAUAAAGCAAUCGAUUGCAAAAUCAUUUCUUUUCUUUUGUUUCCUGUGCCCACUCAACUCACUUAAUACUACGACCACUGUUGCCUAGGAAUUGACGUCGCCUGCACCUCCCUCCCUCCCUCCCUCACUUAUUUUCUUUUGAGUUUUGGCUUUUGCAAUUUCACUUUCCCACUCCAAUUCCCAGUAAGAAAACUAAGUCAGACCAAACCCAAAAUAAAAAAUAUUAUUAUAAUUAUUGGACAGUUGGUGCAUUUACCCAGUUGAGUCAAAGUCUGUAUAGUAGAAGAAGUAGACCAUUAUUGUUUUGUUUACAAUCUCUGAUUUCAAAUGGUAACACAAAACUUAAACAGUCUUCAUUAUUGUUUUAAUUGUGGAUGUUCAGUCCUCACUCAUUCUUCAUCUUUAAUUUCUUGUACAUUCAAAUGCAGAACAGAAGCGAGGAGGCAGUAUCAUAAUUAUUAUUAUUAAUGUUUGAAUAUCUACCUUGCCUAUGUGCACGUGCAUCCUUUACUGUAUUGGGAAUUUCAGUGGAGUGUUGCAAUCACAACAAUAACUUUACUGGAAUCGUACGUACGUAUUAUUGCAUAAUGAAACAAGCAAAAGUAGCUACAAGCAAUAAAAUUAAAUGUAUUUGCAUCUACUUGCAACUUUUACCAAGUCAUCAAUGAAUGCAUACUGUAUGGUACUGUAUACCUACACUAGCUAGCUAACGCAGCGAAGCCUCAAUUCUAUUAUAUUUGUAUAUUGGAUCCGAUGGAUGGAUUGCUUGAACGAUUGGGACGACACAGAUAUAUAUUCUAUGUAUGUACGUAUGUAUGUGUAUUGAGACAUCUUCAAAAACCAAGAUUAAAACAAACACAAACAGCACAGAAUUUAUGCCAUCCAAUCAAACCCUAUCUACAUUAAAAUUAAUGGAUGAGAGAGAGAGAGAGAGAGAGAAGAGAGAGUAGAAGACAUGAUGAUCAAAAUCCAACAUGACUACAAAUUUACAGGAAAUUCACCUUGAAAAUUGAAACUCAUAACCCUGCACAGUGCCCUGUUGUUUUGCUCGAAAAGGGGCCCCUAGAUAGAACUAAUUAACCAGAUGGUGGACCGGUAGUUGUCUAAAAGGGUGGCCGAGGGUGCUUCUAAUAAGAAAGGUAAGAUUGUAAGAAGAAGCAGAGAGAGAGAGAGAGAGAGAGAGAGAGAGGGGGCAAUAUUAAUAUAUAUACAUACAUUCAUCUGCGUAAGCAGUUAUCAACAACACCAUGUUUUUCUGGUGCUGCCAUGGUCAUCAUUAAUUUUAAGGCAGUUACACCGUAAAGAAGAUGGAUUGAUGUAUGAUCAGUGCAUGAUUAAAUCCUGGAGUGGAGGGCAUGCAUGAUGCAUAUACAACAUUUCAUUCAUAUUUGAGUGUUGCGGCAUUGCUGUCUAUUCUUCUAGCUUCCUUCGUUUUCAGUCCAGUUUUUGUUUGCAUUGUCAUUUAAUUUCCACAAGACCAACAGCAACAAACAUCUUUACCCCCGCAUGUACCCAACUCCAUAUAUAUGCAAUGCAUACAACAUCUUUAAUUCUCCUUUCCUUUUAUUGGUCAGAUGCAAAAUAUUCCAUGUUAUCACCCAAAAAACAAAUUAUUCGAUGCAUAUAUAUAGCAAUUAAUCCUAUUACCAUAGUCCCAUGGCUUAAUUGCAUAUAUUUGAUAGACAUUAUGGCUUGGCUCCUUAAGUUUCAACAAAGAAAAAAAUAUUUUAAAAAAUUUGAAACGUGUCAAAAUCACAUUGACUGUAAGGAGGAGCUCCAACUCAAUUUUAAGGAGCCAAGCUUUUCCCUUUGACAAAAGACUUAUCUAUACAGUUGUUUUUUUUUUUUCUCUUUGAAAAUGUGUGACAGACAGAAGAAGGGUAUUGAAGACGGAAGAAGGAGACAUGCAUGCUAUCUUGACUUGACCUACAUUGCUCAAUUUAUUUCCUUAGAAGCAAUUAAUAAAUGAAAAGAUGCCGGAAAAGAAGGAGAAAAGUAGAAAUAGCUAUUAUUUACCCCUUCCUCUUUUCAUACCCCAACAAAAUUUGUAAGCAAGAAGAAGUACUUUAUAAUUUUGUAUUGCUAGUUAGAAUCACCCCAAUAUAUAUAAACCCAUCAUCCUCAGCCACCCUUUUAGAGAUGCCCUUUUUUUCGUAUUAAUUAACAAGUAGACAGUGACACUCUUUACAACUCUGCUUUCUUUUUCUUUUCUUUUAUAUACCAUUUCCAUGGUCGGAAGGACUCGGAGGUCCAUUGUGUUUGUACGUAUUUAGGCUUCUCUUUUUCUUAACGACGAUUUGAUCGUAUUUGCUUUCUUUCCCUAUACUAUCAAAAUCUCAAUUCUAUGAAGGGAGAAUUUAAGAUCACUGGAUUAGUGCACUAAAGAACAAAUUAUCUUUAAUUCAGUUUUAAACAUUAUCCCUCGGUUUUGGGAAAACAAGCUUAUCAUUCCAUUUGCAAAAUUUGGAUGUCGUUCGUUUCGUUAAUUAUGGGUAUAUCUCCUUGCUUACUUAAUUAUUAUGUGAAAAGCAAAGUCAUCAUCCAUCAACAGUACUAGCUGAAACUUAUGUUUUUACUGGAACAUUUUGACAAUUGUAAAGCAGCUAGAAAGAAAGUCCGAGAAUAGGUUUUCUGAUUAAUUACUGCCUUAUCAUUGCUAUGAAAUUUUCACUGUUAAUUAUUCCAGCCAACAGUUAAUCUAGUCUUAGAUCCACUGCUUGCCGACAUGGUUAGUUAAGACAUACUUUUUUUGUUUUUAUAGAGAGAUAUAUACUGUACACAUGAUAGGAUGCAACAACCAAAAUUAUAAAUGCGUGGUCAAAAAAUAAACUUGUUUGUUUGUAACAAUGUUCUAUAUCUAGUACUUUUAUUCGGAGAAAUUCUAAAAUUGUAUUUAUAUUUGAUUAAAAAAAUCACUAACCACAAAAGACCAUUACAAUAACGAAACGAUCUACCUUUCUAAUUUAUGCUGUCAUACGGUCCACACCCCCAAGAUACCACCUAGCUAAGUAAGAGCAAUAGCAGUUGUUGAGAGAGAGAGAGAGAGAGAGAGAGAGAGAGAGAGAGAGAGUAAUUCUUUUUGCAUAUGGAAUUUUUGUUGGUUUUCUGAGUGAGUGGAAGGCAUGCAUUAACUGUUACUAUUACUUGUGACAGGAAUAAAGCAGUUUCCCAUGUGAAGAUUAACAUGGGCCAAAUAUAUAUCAGCUAUUAAUAAUUGCGGAUCAAGUCAUGGCGAAAUAUUACUACUUCAUGAUGAUGAUGAUUAUUAUUAUUUUAUAAUUUACGAUGGAAUUAAAGAAAUUUUGUUGAUAAAACGAAGUACCUAAUUAUGACUCAAAGAAUUACGUAGUAGGGUGUCCUGAAUAAAAUUAAAGGCGCCUCAAAUCAAAUAAAGAUGUCCACAUUAUUACUCAAGAAGAUGAAGAAAAAUCACAUACGCGCACUCGGAAAGGAUAAGUAUUUUGAGGUAUUUUUAAAUUGAUGAAAUGAAAAGACUCAUAACGCCAUUUCGGCUAAAUCGUUAAUACCACACCGAUUAAACUAAUUUGAAGCAUUGAAUGCCUUAAAAUUUUCACCUUUUCAAUGUAGUAGACUUGCCUCAUCUCACUUAAUUAAUUAGUUAAAAUUAAGACAUGGGCAUAUAUAGGGCCUUGUAACUCUCGUUGUGUAGCAGUCGAGGACAGGUUUAAAUAUCGACAUAUGGUGAAUGCAUUAAAGAGGAGAGGAUUAGAAAAAUGAAAUAAUCCUCUCAGGUAAACGAUAUCCGGGCCAGAGCAAUGAUUUGUUUAAUUAUUAAUUAUAUAUGUUAAGGAGAAACGGAAGCUUAAUUAGUUGAUUUGGCCUAGGUUUGUGAGAUUGUUAGUAUAAUAAUAUUGUACUAGGCACUACUAGCUAGUGAAUGAGACCGUAGAGUGUGAAGAAGAAGAAGAAGAAGAAGAAGAAGAAUAAUAAGGAGGAGGAGGUGAUGUGGGGAUAACAUCUCUAAUAUUAAUAAUACAGGCAAAAUGGUAGACAAAGUUGUUGGAGGAUUAGAAGGGAAUAUUUGGGAGGAUGAAAAGGAAUAUAAGAAAGAAAGUAUAACAAAGGUAUGUGGAAAUAGGGUUUACGAUGACAACCAUAUGAAAGCAAACAAACAACACUUUAGAGGGUCCUCAUAUAAUUUUCUUUAGGUCAAUGGGUCCACCUAAUUAAUCAAUAUUUCUUGACUAUUACACCCACCCCGAGUGCGAGUACUUCAUUCAAUUUAUUUUUUAUUUUUUAUUUUAUUUUUUUGCCAUGCUACAGUACGAAUAUGGAUCACCCUGCUGCAUUAUUGCUAUUUUAACUCUUCUACGAUGCACCGACACGUGCCAACCAUCACAAACACGUUUUUGCGAAGCGAUUAAAUGAAAAGGAAUUAUUGAGAAAGCAGGUUGGGCGUACAUGAUGAUAGGAUAUAUACCAUGCAUAUACCACAGAAUUUUGUGUAUUGUUACUGUCUGUUUGUAUCUCUCCUUUUGCUUGUUUU
rnacentral:lncRNA from 1 species